rnacentral:lncRNA from 1 species
CGUUACGUUCGUUCUCGGAUGAAUCCUCUUGUUGAUGUGGUGUGUUAUGUCCGUCCUUGGUCUGAUACCAUUUCCUCGAUGUGAUUCAGGGAAAUCCGCAAGUACCAGAAGAGUACAGAGCUUCUGAUCAGGAAGCUCCCGUUCCAGAGGUUGGUGAGGGAGAUUGCACAGGAUUUCAAGACAGAUCUCAGGUUUCAGAGCCACGCGGUCCUCGCUCUCCAGGAAGCGGCCGAAGCCUAUCUGGUGGGACUCUUUGAAGAUACCAAUCUCUGCGCAAUUCACGCCAAGCGCGUAACAAUCAUGCCCAAGGAUAUCCAGCUAGCCCGCCGCAUCCGCGGAGAACGUGCCUAAUCGAGAAGGCCUCAUCAGUUUUAAUCCGCAACUAAUGUCUUUAGUGAUCUUAGACUUCUCAUCUCUUCUCUUUUACCAUCAAUACCAACUGUUGGAGUGCCGAUAGAUCGUACUACCAGGUGAUUGUUGUAGCGGUGUCGGAAUUAGCUUGUUAUCUAUUUUUCUCUCUUUUUUUUCUUCUCUUCCCCACUCUCGAUGUACAUCAUCACUAUACUGAACAUGUUACGUCGAGUAGCAUAGUCUAUAAUCGGUAUAAGGUUGUUGAAUUACCAAUGAUUUUCUCUUCAAUGGCGUAAUCGCUCAAAAUUCAAAUAACUAAAUCUACUGUUCAUCAACGAAGAAUCGAUCCUCCUAAUCUUCUGAUUCGAUUCUCGAAUCUGGUUUUCUCUUGGUUCGACCCGCGGGCGACGAGUUGUGAUGCAGAUCGGCGUUGUAUCAACUGUCCAUAGAUUAAGAAUCAGGUAGCCUCCUGGUUCGAUUAUUGGAGCUGCCGUAGCCCCAGUAAGGGACGAAUUGGGAUGACAAUCGCCGUCUUUCUCGCUCCAUGCUCCUAGAACCGAUUGCGGAGAGCUCAGAGUUCUUUAUAUUUCCUUCUUUAUAAUGAGAGUCCGUCGUUAGGGUUUGCGAUUCCUUUUCCCUUCGAUAGGUCGUCUAAUCGACGGCGGCCUCGAGCUCGUCUCCGCCGCCAGUUUCUCAGUCGCCGCCGUCUAAAGUUGGGAUCUUGGCGUAGGCCCGUCAGAGGAGUCGGGUCCGACCGGUCCAGAUACCGACAAGGGGGAGUCCGAAGUCAGAAAUGUCGGAUUCUCCCCAAAAUGGAAAAAGCGUCUCCGGAUCGUAUGUCUAACGGAUGGGGAAGUUUAAAAGCGCGGAGAGCGUCGUCGAAGGCUGACAGCCGGUCCACCGCCUCCCGCCUUCCGAGGGCAGUCCAUUCAGCGAGAGAGAGAGAGAGAGAGAGAGAGAGAGAGAGAGAGAGAGAGAGAGAGAGAGAGAGAGAGAGAGAGAGAGAGAGAGAGAGNNNNNNNNNNNNNNNNNNNNNNNNNNNNNNNNNNNNNNNNNNNNNNNNNNNNNNNNNNNNNNNNNNNNNNNNNNNNNNNNNNNNNNNNNNNNNNNNNNNNCCUGUCUGUAUGUGAAAAAAUAGAGAAAAAAAAGAGACAGAGUGAAGCUCCAAAAAUUGGGCUAUAAGAUAGGGGAAGUGUUUAUCUGCUCUCCUCUCAUUUUAGAAGGAAAGAACCGUGAGGAAAAAGCUACAUGUCCUCAAACCAUUUGGAAAGGCCAAAGUAAACUCCAAUUAUGGAAAGAGAUUGAGGUUUAUAGAACAGAGAACAUUCUUGAAUGGUAUAUAGAAAUUCUCACAUAUCUAUUUGGUGAUAUCUACUAGUUAUAUGAAGAUGUAAUUAAUAUGAAGAUGAAAUUUUGAAUGCACUGUUGAGGUGUGUUUGCACAAUUGUGAUACACUUGAGGUUUACUGAAUUUCUCACCCUUGAUACUUGCCAUAGAAUUUGAAGCAUCUCUGAGCAAAGUAGAUAUAUUUAGAAUCAAUCGUACUUUACUAAACAUGAUAGUUUGAAUCAGUGCUAGUCCCAAAUUUUAUUUCUUAUGAGUAUUGCUAAGGGGUUAGUAGAUAAUUCAAGUACGGGUCAUCAUAAUGCAUCAUUUGAAUAUGUUAAUUAAAUUAAAAUGAUCACAAAUUUUGUAUUAAUCAAUGUCAAAUAUUAAUAAACCGAAUUAAAAUUUUAAAAUAGAUUAUAGAAUCCACUUCAUUAAUUUACACCUAAUCUGCAAAUUAUUUUUGAGAAAUUUCUGCUUGCUUUUAUACUGUGUUCUAACAAGAUUAACUUUAGUGGAUAGCCUUGAAUUUUUUCUAUAAAUCAUAUAUUUGAUUUUAAAAGUGAGAAUUCAAUAUAGAAUCAAGAGGACAUUAUUUUCUAUGAUUUUUGCAAAGUUUGAAUUCGAAGCAAAGAUGACGCCAUUUGCUUUAAGUGUCAUGUGAGGUUUUCCCAGGUGUAGAUCUCUAUUUCUUUUGCAGAUUUUCAAUUGAGAAUAAUUAGAGUUGUAAUCAAUCUUGUUUACUAUUGUUUAAUCGUAGGCAGGACAUUUUUCUUUGGCUUUUUUUUAGUGUUUGUUCGCACUAAAUCAUAUGAAUUGGAAAUAAAAUUUAUUUGUGUUGAAAGGUAGAAAUGUGAACAAAGUGAGCUUUUAUUAUUCUUUUUUUCCCUAAAUGCUGUUAAUUUUGGUGAGUUUUUGUGCAUAGAUUGACCUUUUGCUUGGCCACACUUGUUUCUUUUUUUUUAUGGAGUGUCGUGAUUGUCUUCAUAAGGUACCACCCAAUGCUAAAGAGUGUUGUGAAUUUACUUUUUAUAAAGGACUAUCAUUUUCAUUACUCUUGAAAAAUAUAUUAAUUUUUCUAGAGGAAGAAGUUUUGGGAUGUUUAGGUGUUUUCUUUUGGGUUGGUAAUUCCUCCUCCCAUCCUCCUUACUUUCAGGGUUUAUCACCUGGUUUUAGAAUUUCCAUUGUGAUGUAUGAAAGGUCAAACAUGUCCCUCUUGAGCUUGCUUGCUAAUGUAUGAAAGGUCAAAUAUAUUACUGACCGUGAAAAAAGAAAGAAGAGCAACCAAGUCAUCAUUGAUUGUCCACUCUCGUUCCUGAACCUUUCUCUUGCUGCUCAAAGUCUACCUUUUCAAUCUCUAUCUUUUGUUUUCUAUCACACAUCAGUGCUAUCUCUUCCCAGUAAGUUUUUCCCUCUUUCCUUCUCUUCUUUUGACUCUCCCUCUUCUUCUCCUUUAUAGUUUUUUUUAGUGGGUUUUUGCUAGGGUUUGGCAGUGUUUAGGUCUUACAGUUUAAGACCUAGGAUUCGGGUUUAGAAGUUGAGGAAUUAGCUUCGACCAUGGGGUUUGGAGCAUAUUGUUGGGGUUUAAGGGCUUAGAAUUGUUUCAUAUAGUCAUCACUUUUUGCAUAAUCUUUACCUCUUAGGCUUUAGUGUUUCAUGGUCUUUAGCAUAUAGGUAUCAGAGAUUAGCUUUGUAUUUAUUUUUGUCCAAAGUGAAUUUUCUUAACAUUUCAAGCAAAUAUCUAGCAGAAAAUUAUGUAAGUCAGGGUUUGUCUAGGUUUUAGGAUGCAUGGGACAACCUCCCUACUCUCUAUGGGCCCAUGUCAUGACAGUUGUCCUGUAUCAGGUCUUUGGCCAUCCCAGCCAGNNNNNNNNNNNNNNNNNNNNNNNNNNNNNNNNNNNNNNNNNNNNNNNNNNNNNNNNNNNNNNNNNNNNNNNNNNNNNNNNNNNNNNNNNNNNNNNNNNNNCCCUCCCUCUCCCCCCCCCCNCCCCCCCCUCCCACGUGUUUAUUAUUCUCCUGAUCGACUCUCGAGUAACUCACAUGCCAUUUGGAAUGUGAAAAGGAAGAGAAGAAGGAGUUGGCCGCAGAAGAGAAGGACGGGGAGGCUCCGCCUGAGAUCGUGCUCAAGGUCUACAUGCACUGCGAGGGCUGCGCCAAGAAAGUGGAGAGAUCCUUGAGAGGAUUCGAAGGUCAGCACUUCAAUCUCCAACUACUUCCGGCUAAGCCUCUGAGAGACGGAGAUCGAUCCGAAGAGCUCGUCUGAAAGUGCAGGCGUGGACGAGGUGAAGGCGGACUCCAGAUCCCACACAGUUGUGGUGAAGGGGAAGGCGGCCGACCCGACGAAGAUCUGCGAGCGUGUCCAGAGGAAGACCGGGCGGAAGACGGAGCUCGUCUCUCCAUUGCCCAAGCCCCCCGAGGAGGAAGCGAAGAAGGAGGAGCCCAAAGAAGAAGAGAAGAAGGAGGAGGUACCCGCCAUCACCACUGAUCAGAGCUUCCUCCUCCAUCAUCCAGUCUACUUAUCUAAGAAGAUCCAGCAUGCAUGUGGAUCUCGUUCUUACCCUAAACAGUUGUUUAAAUUUAUUUUAAUUUCAUUUUUUGGAUCGAAUUCGGCAGCCCCCUACGGCGAUCACGGUGGUGCUGAACGUUAGAAUGCACUGCGAAGCAUGUGCUGAGGUUCUGCAGCGGAAGAUCAAGAAAAUCGAUGGUAUUAACUCGUACAUUUUCUAGUUUCUCGUACAUUUUCCAAAGGAAAAAACCUAAAAUAUAUUAAUUUUUUUAUAGUUUCCCUAAUUUUUAUUUCAUUUUCGUAAUUCCUGUGGAGUUCAUACAGCAGAAUAAAACCAUAGAAAAAAAUAAUAACUUCGGAAUAUGUUCUGGACGUGUCGGUUGAAUCUGGCCAUUUACAUGUCUCGGAUAUAAUGGCCGAGGAAAUUCCACGUGGAUGAAUAGACCAUAAAGACGCGGGGUAUUGUUGUCCCCAGAUCAUUUAUAUGUCUGUCCCAGCAUAGGAUGUAUCAUGGGGGCCAAUAUCAGCCUAGAAUAUUGAAACAGGGCGUGGAUAAUUUCUGAUAAAUUUAUCAAAAAUUCAAAGUGAUGGAACGUUGAACCUGCCAAUGUCGGUGUGAGAUAUUUCUAAUUGUAUCAAGCGAAGAGACAGCGUUCGUGACCGUGGUCAUAGUCAACGCUCAGAAUCGAAUCUAAUACGCAUGAUGCUGCCAUGUCUGCAGGUGUGGAAUCGGUUGUGACAGAUUUUCCCAAUAACCAAGUGAUUGUCCAAGGGAUUAUAGACCCUGAAAAGCUGGUAGAGAACGUGAAAAGGAGAACAAGGAAGCGAGCCUCAAUUGUGAAGGACGAAGAGAAGAAGGAAGAGGCGGCGGAGGGGGAAAAAAAGGAGGAAGUAAAGGAAGGGGAAGACAAAAAGACCGAUGUGAAUAAGCAUGAAUAUUGGGCACCAAGAUACAGCAUACAAUAUGCAUAUCCGCCGCAAAUAUUUAGUGAUGAGAAUCCAAACGCUUGCUCUGUUAUGUAGACUGGUUUCAUGUACUGUAACUUCCCUUACGUAACCUCAUGCAUGUUUUCCACUCGUAUGCAUGAUUUUGAUCGAAAGUUUGGGACAAUGAUAUGCGAACCUAUGAAUAUGUAUCAUUUUUCCAGCUAUUUCAUGUAUGUUUUAAAUUUGGGCUUCCGUUAUUUCCUAAUAUGGUGAGUAGUUCGAUAAAAAGAGGCACAAAAAGAUCGGGACGGUUGAAGACAAAAAUAAAAUUGAAGAAAAAAUAUAGGCAAAUAUUAUAAUUUGAACUGAGUGCAAUUAAUGAAAACUUAAGUUAAUGACAUUUUCAUUGUACCAUCUAUUUAUACCUUUCUGAUAUGGUUUUAUUGAUAUAUGUUACAAAUAACGUAUUAAUUUGUGCUAACUUUAAACUGACGUUGGAUCAUGACCAAACUCCUACGAGGCAUUCUCGUGCAUAAGGCCUCCGUGAAUGACCUUAGUCAAAGAAUUUGAACCGCCCAGCCCCCCCUCCCCCCCUCUCUCUCUCUCNNNNNNNNNNNNNNNNNNNNNNNNNNNNNNNNNNNNNNNNNNNNNNNNNNNNNNNNNNNNNNNNNNNNNNNNNNNNNNNNNNNNNNNNNNNNNNNNNNNNAGAGAGAGAGAGAGAGAGAGAGAGACACGAGGCCGUGCCCCCCCUAACCAACUUGGUGUGGGACCCGCACCAAACGUUUCAAUCCCAUUUCUCAUAUAAAUGGGGGGAGGCUUCUUCAUCCGCAUCAAAUACGCUUCUCGCAUCCCAGAAGGCGAGGUCCCCCUUCCAUCGUCUCUGGCGCCUGCCGAGGGGAUUCCUCUGGCGCCGUCUCUGACGACGACUGUGUUUUCGUGAAUCUUGAACAGGGUCCCCUCCUCUCUCUCUCUCUCGGCCCCGUUUCAUGGCGGACGAGGAGGAUAUGGACGCCCUACCACUGAGAGACGGCGGCGGGCCCGGCGGCGGCAAUGACAUCUUGAAAUUCGUAUCCAAGUCUUCGUCUGAGACGGUCGAGCUCAUUUCCAACACCAAGAUGAAGCUUCUGAGUGGCACGCUGAGCUUCAUUCUUGAUUCCCCCUCCGCCGGAAUAGCCUGGGGAUGGUGGUGGGUCCUCGCCGUCCACUUGUUCGUCUACGCCAUCGCUCUGCUGGUGAAGACCCUCUCGGUUCUUCUGUCAGCCCCGCGCUUCCCCAGAGGAAGCCAGCUGACGCUCGUGAUCAUAGCCUACCUCGCCCAGCUCGCCGCUGAAGCUUGUCAGGUACUGGCCCUCGUCAUCGCGCUGAAGCUUCUCCCGGCAGGCGUCUCUGCGGGGCUGGCGUCUCUCUUCUCCGCUCGCUGCUAACACGAGACGAUGGGGCCUGAUCUUCACUCCACGAACCCACCCUAUACCGACGGUGUUGCCUGUUUCUAUUUACGCUCCUUCCUUCCACUCUGCGGUGGAAGGAGCUCUUACCCCUCUGCGGACUUGUGAUUACUAUACAUAAAUCUCCGGUGUCUCCGGGCUAAUUAAAAGAUGUGUCUUAUUUCAUGUAAAAAUAAUGUUUUUUGGUGAUCAAAUCUCAUCACAAGUUGACAACGUGAAUUCCUGCCGCCUUUGACGCAGUGAGAUGCGUUGGGCCGGUACAUCUGAUAGAUCCAGAUGAGGAAAUAAAUGAGUGCCACGCGGUUGUCGACCACUCCUGUAUAGUCUUCAAACGCUUCGGAGCUCUGGUCAACGCUAGGAGCCCUGGUAACCAAAAAGCUUAUCUUAAUGUUUGCACCACGGUUUCUUGGGUGCUCAGAUGGUCUAACAGUUGAUGGGUGAUUCAUUUGUGUGUUGCUUACCCGUUACCCACCCUGAGCCCCCCAAAUUGAACGGAAAAUAAUAAGUCACACAAGUCAUCCCUUAUGUCAUCCCUAGAUCACAUAAGUCAAGAGAUUUAUAUAAAUUAUUAUAAUCCAUUCCACCUUCUUCACAUCAUUUAAGGUACCAAUUUACUCUGUUCGUCGCCAAAGCCAUCCACUCGUCGUCGCCAACCGUCGUCACCUUCGCCUCCGCCAUUGUUUGUCGCGCCUAUGCCUCUAAUGGACAGUGACAAUCAACUGUUAACUUUGGGUCAACGGUCAACGAUCACUUCUGUGGUCCAAGUCCUUUCUAGUGACCUCUUUCCACAGCCAAACUCUGGCAUCUUAUGAUUACAUCACCUGAUCUUUUAAUAUAUUUAUCCUGUGAUUGUCCCCAAGUGAUCCUAUUAGUAUGACUACUUUCUCUUUGAGUGAUCAAUUACUAGUGAUUUUACCACAUCUGCUUUGUUAAAUUUGGAGCACCCUACGGCUGACAAUUUGCCUAAAUCACCUGGUCCUUGCCCACUGUCUUGAUGAAGAUAGUUAUUGAGCUGCUUAUGACUUUCAAAUUGUCUCCUUUUUAGAUUCUUCGGAUGUCGCUUAUGCUUUUUACUAUCCUUUAUUAGCUCGUUGUUACAUAUCAUUUAUCAUCCCCAUCAUCGCUCCUCUCAGAAGAAGCUGGUAACAAUAGGGAAUUUAAGUGAGAACAUUGUGUAUGAAUAAGAUUGUCUCAAAAUAGAAAUUGACAUCCAUAGUUCUAGAAGAGCAACCGAGAGAGAGAGAGAGAGCAACCGAUAGAGAGAGGUGGAGAUUGAGAGGGAGAAACUGAGAGAGAGAGAGAGAGAGAGAGAGAGAGAGAGAGAGAGAGAGUAGNNNNNNNNNNNNNNNNNNNNNNNNNNNNNNNNNNNNNNNNNNNNNNNNNNNNNNNNNNNNNNNNNNNNNNNNNNNNNNNNNNNNNNNNNNNNNNNNNNNNAGAGAGAGAGAGAGAGAGAGAGAGAGAGAGGUAGAUACAUAGAAAGAAAGAGAGAGAUAGGUAGAUACAUAGAAAGAAAGAGAGAGAGAAGGCUAGAAUUUUCACAAUAUGUUCAAGAGUUUAACAUUCUCAAUCGUGGUUAGCUUUGCUUUUUCUGAGGUUUGUUCGAGGGACUAAUCUUUGAGGUUAAAAUCGACAGUUCAAAUUAUCCAUAAGAUGCUAAACGCAAAUAAUGUUAUUUUCAAUUUAAUAUUGAACGAGUCCUUCCGUUGCUCUUCUGAUUAAGCAAAAGUAGAUUAAGCGCAGGAAAAUAUUUCCAAAUGUUUGACGCCCUGCUUGUCUAUCGCAUGAAAGAUCAUGUCGGCCCGUCUCCGUCCUUCCCCUCCCUCCCCACCUCCUCCUCUUGAACUCUCAUUUUAGCAAGCUCAACUCAUGUCCCUAUUACAUAAAAUAAUGGGUGGGUAUAUAGAGGACACAGAUAUAUGCGAAUAAUUUUUCACGAUUAUUAAGAAAAAGGAUGCGGGCCUUUGAAUUUUUAGCAGGUCGAUAUCUGUUUGAAGGCGGAGGUUCAAACCUAAUGACGAAUUUACCCAUAGAAUUGCUUUGUCGCAGCGAUUUCUGGAAACGUAGACAUGAUCUUAUAAAAAAAAGUAAAGUCGAAAACGCAUUUUAAUCCAUGGAUUUGCUUCUUUCAUAGUGAGCUUUAGACGAAUAGGCUGAAUUGCUUGAUUUAUUGUGCGCAAUACCAUUCCUACAGAUUUUGUUCAAUGAACAGCUUCGAGGGGGAUCUCGUGGGGCAUAUCCUUUUUUGCAUACCCUUGAAUUGGGGACAUAAGAUAAGGUAGUGUGAGAUAGGCUGCUCCGCGGAUCUGCGACGUGAGGCUUCAGAGACACAAAGAGCAGGACAAUAUGGUCUUUUCUCAGAAGUGUUCAUCCCGUUCAUGGAAAUUCUAUCCAGGCCUGUAAGAAUCUCGGGUUAGGGUUUCUGUAUAAAUACUCGACUCGAGGUCAGCUGGACGAUCCCUCACGGCCGCCGGCCCCCAUUGUCUGCAGUCGUUCCUGCUGUCUGAACGCACGGUGAGGUUCCGAUCUCGAUCGCGAUUCAUCUCGUCACGCCACGAAUUGUUCUUUCGCAUCCCCUCCCCCCACCCCACCCCAUCUUCAGUGCAUUUCAUUUCUGGGUGAUUGUUCUUCCGGGUGGGGGGUUGGAAUUUAAACCCUAAACCGGCCAGCGCCACAGAUGGGCUCGCCGAGGUCUGGCUUCCGCCCCCUUCACAGCAAUGCUCGGGGCGUUUCUAAGCCCCGACGCGACCUUCGGACGGCGUCGGGGUCAUGCGCGCUUCCACAUUAGGUUUCCGGCCAUGGAAGAUCCGCCGAGCUUUCAUUUUCAUACUUUAAAGACUCUCUCUUUCGCCGAUCUUCUGGGUUUUUUGGGCUCGUCUGGGGGAGGAGGGAUACAGAUGAACGGCGGCGCAGUCGGGUACUUCCGCCGAUGGAGCCCCGUGGUUGCGCCGCCGCCGUCACCCCCUCCCCGCCUGACAUUGGCGCAGGUGGCGCGUUGAAGCCCCGACACGAUACACUCCAUCCGCAGUGUCCGGGUCAUUUCCGCCUCCACAUCUCCUUCUUCCUUGCGCGGUUUUCUGGUUCCAUCUGAUCGAGAAGCCCCCCGGUUCUCCCUCCCAAAGUCCUCUUCUUCUUGCGGAUGAGAGAGAGAGAGAGAGAGAGAGAGAGAGAGAGAGGAGGGAGAUUGCGGGUAAUUGGGCCGAGAGCCAGAAAAUACGUAAUUGGGCUUGCACUGACAGUGGUUGGGCCGAGGGCCCGCGGCCACAAGCUGGUCAACCUUUGUACUGCGGCGAGACGACUCUAAAAUCGGCCCAUAUUGGGCUUACUGGGCCGACUCAGGCCUACUGCGUUCUCUGCCCAUUAAAAUCGACACAAGCUUGGCAUACCCGCGGCCCAUUUGUUUCCUUCCUGGGCCAUAACAGUCAUCCUCGCGUCGAAAUGACAAAACAAGCCCAUUAUUCUCUGGGCCGGACCAUAAUAAGCAUUCGAAUACUCUCUCUCUCUCCCUCCCUNNNNNNNNNNNNNNNNNNNNNNNNNNNNNNNNNNNNNNNNNNNNNNNNNNNNNNNNNNNNNNNNNNNNNNNNNNNNNNNNNNNNNNNNNNNNNNNNNNNNCACACGAGAGAGUAGUACAGACGAGCGAGAGAGAGAGAGAGAGAGAGAGAAUUAUUUCUACUUUGGAUGAGAUGCUGGCCCAAGAAUUCAAGGGAUCUCUUUCGUCGUCUGUUGCAGGUGUGGAAACUAUGGAAGGAGGGCCGCUGCUUGGAGCUACUUGACCCCCUGGUGAUGACUUCAUGCCCGGAGACAGAGCUGCUGAGAUGUAUCCAAGUCGGUCUGCUGUGCGUGCAAGAGUCCCCCAGCGACAGGCCAACCAUGUACGCGGUGGUGACGAUGCUGACCGGCGAGAGCUUUCUGCUGCCAGAACCAGAGAGACCCGGCUUCCUGCUUCUUCAGCGUCCCGCAAAAAGUUCGUUCACCACAAAUGAACCCUUCAGCUCCAAUGAAAUAACCCUCACUGUCAUUGAUGGUCGUUGACCAGCUUGGCGCCAACGAGUCUCCCGUUUUCUGGGUGAACACGGGACGGGCUGUUCUAUCAUCUUGAUGCGGUUCGUGAUAAGAAUCCAUCUGCACAACGAGAAAAUCCUCUUUCAGCAGGUACCUGAAUUCAAUCUCCUCCCCAUAGCUGCCGAUUUUGGUGAACAUUGGAUUCAUUAUUUUCCUUUAUCUGUACAGUUUUGUGAAGAACACACCGAAUUUUUUUACUUUAAAAUUAAAGUUCAUUAAAAAAAAUUAAUUAUAAAAGUUUCACAUUUCUAUGACACCUGUCAAUUAACAAUGAAGUGUUGUAAUCUUCUGAUAGGAAAUUUCAACGUCUUGUAAUGUUGGAAAAUAAGUUUUGCUGUAUCCUUUUAUCGGGAAAAAGCCAUCAAACACCCCUGUGGAUUUUUUAUCAGCUUCACAAAUAUGUUUAUUACUAAUUUUAACAUUAUCGUGGAGAACAAUCCAUCCAAUCAUUGUUAACAAGCCUAUGAUGAUGCCUUAUAAUUUUACGUUUUAUAUCCUAAGGAAAUUUUAAGCUCAAGCAUAAUUUUCUGAUGUUAGCCACUGCAUGGCAAAGAGCCAACCUUGAGGUGAGCCAUAUGUAAAAUACAGGAUAAUUAGAACAAUAGAUGAAAAAAAUUCUUACACUCCUCUUGAACUGUAUGACCCCCUGCACUUUGUCGUUUCUUAGUGAAAUAUCGUUUUAGAAGGGGUUGUUCUACAAGACUAGGAAAUAUUUAGUGCACACUCAACUUGUAGCAUGAUUUUUUGAAUAGUUUAAAAUAUUAUUUGAAAAGGAUUUUGCAUUAUCAUAAGUAACCAAAGCUAUGAUUCUACAUAUUGAGCUUGUAGUUUCAAAAGUCUAUGACAUUCAUGAUUUGUUUAAAAUGAUUUAAAAGGUUUUGAUUAAGAAAUUAUUUUAUUAUUUUAAUAAUUAUUAUAAUUUUGUUUCAAUGAUAAUGUGUUAUUAUUAGACUUCAGCGAACAAGUUUAAAAGACCUUAUUUGAAUAAUAUUUUUAAAUUUUUGAAAUGGGCCUACAUGAUUGCGUAUAUUUUAGACCUACCCCCAGACUUGAGUAUUAACUUGACUUUUAAUAUUACAGAAGUAGUGACUUAUCAUAGAUCACACAAUGUACUUAGCAAGACUUUUUAACCUUCCCUAUACCUUUGAGUGAUACCCCAACCAAUGUAUUCACUAGCCACAUUUCUUAUCCGAUAUGAACAAGUUCAGGAUGUAUUAGAUGGGCAGGUGAUUUCUGCUAACAAAGAGUGUCAGAGACUUUUGGUUCAUGGCACGAUUAUCCACCAUCAGAUGACUCUUGAGUCAUAGGCUAUGAUCUUUGUCAACCUGAUCCUGGCACAUAGGAGCAUUACACCACUGACUCAUCCCUUUACUCGAUAGAGUCAAGCCCCCUAACCCGUGGAGAGUUGACGUAGGACAAGGCCCUGUCCAAACAUGGUGGACUGAACAUUGGCCCAGAACCCCUUUGCCCUCCUUAUUGGAACCCUUUCCCUUCCAUCCUUGUUUCCCUGCCUGUGUGAGGUGCAAACCUCAGCUGUUUUGAGGUAGUGAAUUUUUGAAUCAAGAAAUUUGCGAACCAGGGCCUGUGUGGCCUGCGUGUGUGGUUUGCCUAUGUGGCUUGNNNNNNNNNNNNNNNNNNNNNNNNNNNNNNNNNNNNNNNNNNNNNNNNNNNNNNNNNNNNNNNNNNNNNNNNNNNNNNNNNNNNNNNNNNNNNNNNNNNNAGAGAGAGAGAGAGAGAGAGAGAGAGAGAGAGAGAGAGAGAGAGAGAGAGAGAGAGAGAGAGAGGGAGAGAGCGCGCGAGAGAGAGAGAAAGAGAGUGAGAGAGGAAGAGAGAGAAACGGACUACCGAUGUAAUGGUCCAGUGGACCAUGGGAGCACAAUUGUGGACCAAGACCAGGGAACUGAGUAUAGACUGCGUCAACAAAAAACCCAAUUAAAACGUGUCACAACAAGGUGGGAAAAUUUUAAAAAGGUUAGAAGAAGCUGGGUUGUUUAUUGGGCACUUAUGGGCUUCCUAAUCUGAUAGGGACUAUUGGGCCAAUCCACCAUUUUUAGGAACAUUUAGGCCCAAAUGGGUAAAAUAGGGACAACUGCCAUAGGCCAAAUGUAUGCAGAGCUUCUAUUUGCACGGUCCGUUUAAAGCACCCAUUAGUUCUUUCUGUUAAAAAGAUUCAGCAUUAGAUAUGCCCAGAAAAAUCUAUGGCCACAGAAAGGGUGCCUACUACCUUCCUCAUAACUUAUUGAUGUUAUCUGUAUUCAAAGACUGAACAGUAAGAUCAUAUGCCGAACUUGUUGAGAGUAUGUCACCGUGUAUGAAUUAAUAGAAAUAUAUGUCAGCCCUUGUUCAUGAAAACAAAUCUACUUUGGUGAUAUUUACUUAAUUUUUCCAGGUGGGAUGAAACUCAUUCGUAAGCCCAACCUUCUUUUUCAAAAUAUAGUCACCAGUAGUAAGUAUGCUGGUAAAAAUCUUGUCAUCAAUCAAGUGACUUUUAAGUGCAAUCAUAGGAAAAAAAAUGAGGGCAACAGAUUCUAACGGCAAUUGCUUGGAGACAUACAACUGAAAAAAAUUCAGAUUUCGAAAAACCUAACAUUUUUGCCAUGGCUAAGAUCAAGCUACUCUUAAUUCUAUCAAGCAUCAUAUCAUCAUGAUAGCCUAUUUAGACUUAUUUUUAAAUAACAUAUUCAUUAUAUUUAUCAAAAGAAGACUUUGUGGGAGUUCUCAAACUGCCAGUUUUCUUACAGAAAAAAUCACCAUGUCAAAUGUCAUAAUGCUACUUGGAGGUGAAACAAUGGUGUAUGGAGUGGUAUAAAUUGUUUGAGUCUAAUUGGUAGAGUUUUGUCUGCUAAUUUCUAGAUUCAACUAAAGCAACGGACUAAAACACAUUUAUUUUGAUAAUACAUGCGCACAUGGACACCAAGAAAUCGUGAAAAUAUCUACUUCUGAGUAGUAAUUACCUUCCUCCUUGGAGAGAGAAAAUUACGGCGUAAAAAGAAACCUUCUCCCUAGGAGAGAGAAAACUAUGAUGCAAGCAAGAAAAUAUCAUUAUAAAUAGAUGGUAGUUGAACCGUUUUGUCUCUUGCACUGCCAUGAACUGGAGAUAUCUAGAAUAAAAUAAACCUAGACCCCUAGUAUUGUGUGGUCUAAAACCCUCCACUUAUCCCAAGAUUUAGGCACGUACGCACCGAUUCUGCUCACUCCCUUCUUUUGACUGAUGAUUUCUCCGCCUCCAGGUGUGGUGGAGAUGACUGUAGUACCCAUGAUAUUUCCUCAGAGUGGUUCUCCAUCAUGAAAAGAACCCGACGUGUUACCUGUCCUUAGCAGCUGGUUCGGUUUCACUCGUCGAGUCUAACAUUUGACUUCGUCUAACGUGACUCGUCGUGUCGAACAUUUGACUUCGUUUAACGCGACUCGUCGUGUCUGACGUGUCUUACGCGUGACAAUAGAUGGGCUACGAGUCCGCUUUGACAGGCUAACAACCCUGUGCUGGCCACGUGUAAAUAUCUUUUAUUAUUCCCGUCCACCGAUGACUGGGUCUCAUUUCAAGGUCACACUGGGAACUAAUUUUUUUUUGUCGCCAAAUGAUCCGGUCCCUCUCCACCUUUGAAAUUAUUAAUUUCCUCUCCAGCAGAACCCCUCGUCGUAAAUAAAUUUAUGUAGAACUCAUCAAUCAUUUCCCACCCUUAAAUUGAUUUCUAGGUAAAUUACGUCAAGGACUUCCCUGUCAUUGGUCAACUCCACCCCCCAUCGGCGUAUACUUUCUGUUAUAUAAGCAUAACCGAUGCUUCAAAGAGAAGNNNNNNNNNNNNNNNNNNNNNNNNNNNNNNNNNNNNNNNNNNNNNNNNNNNNNNNNNNNNNNNNNNNNNNNNNNNNNNNNNNNNNNNNNNNNNNNNNNNNGGAGGAGGGACGGAGAGAGAGGCGAGAGAGAGAGAGAGAGAGAGAGAGAGAGACGCAUAGAGAGUUUGUUUGCGUGACUGGGGGAGGUUCUGUGACAGCACGUUCGGGAACUUGGGUUGCACCACGGAGUGGCUGGAAGUGGUCUUCAACAUCAUCAUCAUAACCAGCGGGCUGAUCCUCGUCACCAUGUUGAUCGGGAACAUCAAGGUGAACCAACACGAAGCUCGAUCAACUAUCAAGUUUGCGAGUAUCGGUCGUCUUCUUCAUCAUCAGUGGGGGAGGUUGUGGGGCAGGUGUUCUUGAGCGGGACGAGCUCGAAGAAGCAGGCGAUGCAGCUGCAGCUGAGGAACACAGAGUGGUGGAUGCGGCGGCGCCGCCUGCCGGAGAGCUUCCGACGGCGGGUCCGGCAGUACGAGCGGCGGCGGUGGGCGGCGAUGCGAGGGGUUGACGAGUACGAAAUGAUCCGGGACCUCCCCGAGGGACUCCGCCGGGACAUCAAGUACCACCUCUGCCUCGAUCUCGUCCGCCAGGUAACAAGAACACAAUGAACUUGCCUCCUCGAGAAUCAUCCCCCAUCCCCAUUUUCAAAUUAGGAGAAAAAUAUCAUUCCGACCUCCAACUUUCCUCCAGGUGCCCUUGUUUCAACACAUGGAUGCUGUCGUCUUGGAGAACAUCUGCGACCGGGUGAGGUCGCUCGUCUUCACCAAGGGGGAGACUGUAAGCACCCUCUCCCUCUCCUCAUCCUUCUCUCUCUCUCUCUCGCUCGCUCUCCUCCCCUCUCUCGCUAUCUCUAUGAUGAAUAUCUUCUCCAUUUUGAUGAAGAUAACGAGAGAAGGGGAGCCGGUGAAGAGGAUGCUGUUCGUGGUGAGGGGGCACCUGCACAGCAGCCAGGUGCUGCGGGACGGCGUGAAGAGCAGCUGCAUGCUGGGGCCCGGAAACUUCACGGGGGACGAGCUCCUCUCAUGGUGCCUCCGCCGCCCCUUCGUGGAGCGGCUGCCGCUCUCCUCCUCCACGCUGUUGACUAUCGAGACCACCGAAGUCUUCGCCCUGGAGGCGGCUGACGUCAUGUACGUGACGCAACACUUCCGACACACCUUCGUCAACGAUAAGGUGCGGCGGAGCGCCCGCUACUACUCCCCCGGGUGGCGGACCUGGGCGGCGGUGGCGAUCCAGCUGGCCUGGCGCCGCCACCGCCACCGCCUCACGCUGUCCUCCCUCUCCUUCAUCCGCCCUCGCCGGCCGCUCUCCCGCAGCGCCUCCAUGGGGGAGGACAAGCUCAGGCUGUACACCGCCAUUCUCACCUCCCCCAAGCCCCUCCUCGACGACUUCUCUCUGUAAAUUGCCUGUAGAGAGAGGAGAGAGAGAGGAGAGAGAGAGAUGAAUUCCAUGUACGUAUAAAGUAGACGUUGCUUUCCCGUGCUUAUUUUGGUCAUCCCAAUGCGGGCUGCUCUACUGAGCACAACACGCCCUCACAGAACAACUGGAAGGAAGCCCGGAGAGCUAUAUGGGAAAACGCGACCAUAUCUGGGCCGAAUGCUAAGGCCCGGAAGGCCCAAUAAAGCCCAUAAAAGUCCACCGGUUGACCGGCCGUUGGGCCCGCGGAAGAAACGGCGGAUCUAAGAGAUCAACCGCAGUAAAAGAGUAAUCAAAACAAAACGAGCGGCGUCGACACGUGGAGGGCUCCCACCCCACGUGGUGGACCAACCGUCGAAUCUUAUCAUUGGGUUAUUUGCUUUUAUUCUCCCCACAAAUUAGUUAAAAAUUACCGGGAAGCACUUUUUGUCUCAGAAUUCGACCGCUAGGGCUCCAAAAAACUCGUCUUUCUAUUAGUUUUUCUUCCCUCUUCCUGAUUAAAUAUACUUAACAUCUAAACUUGGGUUAGAAAAGUUUCUCCGCACUUAGUUUUUUUACUGUCGAGGAACAAUAGUUGCUGUCCAUCUUCGGCCUGAGUGAGAGAGAGGGGGGGGGUGGUAGGAGGAAGAGAGAGAGAGAGGAGGGAGAGGGAGAGGAGGAGAGAGAGAGAGGAGGAGGGAGGGAGGAGGAGGAGGAGGAGGAGGGAGGAGAGAGAGNNNNNNNNNNNNNNNNNNNNNNNNNNNNNNNNNNNNNNNNNNNNNNNNNNNNNNNNNNNNNNNNNNNNNNNNNNNNNNNNNNNNNNNNNNNNNNNNNNNNAGAGAGAGAGAGAGAGAGAGAGAGAGAGAGAGAGAGAGAGAGAGGGACCGGGUGGGGUGAUAAGGUGACACAUGCUUUCUGAUUAGAUAAUUAGGUAGUGGGAGACAGGGAAGACACAGAGGAGAGCUUUCAGAGGAGACUGUGAGAGGAUGAUUAUAUUUCCUACAGACUUACCGCAGGCAUGGAGUGAAAUGACCCACAGAAUGGAAACAACAGCUUCUUUUAUGCACAUUUGUGUUUAUCCAUGCUACUCGUAGACAGGCGUAGAUGGGCGGCCGGGGAGAGCAAAUAAAAGAGACAAGACCCCAAUUAGACGUUGAUGAGAUUAGUCAGAUUCACCUUUACUAUCACCAUAGAUGUUACUGACUGAUGAAGAACCGUAGAGACGGAGAAAGAGAGAAAGAGCGAGUACAGACAAAAGAGAACCAGAUCAGAGCUUAGGAAGAGUUAACUUUACAGACCGUAUAGCCAUUGUAAUUAUUCUCGUUACUGGUAACCAGGCAUAUAUACAUAUAUAUAUAUAUAUAUGUAGAGAGAGAGAGAGAGAGAGAGAAGAAGAAGAAGAAGAAGACAGAAGAUAAAGGAGGCAAGAGUCAGUCAGAUUAGAGGUCUCAAGGGAGACAUUCAGGUUCACGUACGCCUUAGCAAGGAUGCUCCAUUCUUUGUUUAAUCUUAAUCCACGCAAACUUUGUUGAAAAUGUUGAAUAAGCCCGAUUAUUAAAAAGUAAUCAUAGAAAGCGCAUCCGUUCUGCAUAAGAACAAAGACUCUCUCUCUCUCUCUCUCUCUCUCUCUCUCUCUCUCUCUCUCUCUCUCUAUCCCUCCACUUAACUAGUUUACCUCCAUGAAUAGGACUCCACCUUGUACUUCUCCUGUGGGAUGGCGCCGUGUCAUCCUGUCCUCUUUUCCAUAGACAAGAAGUAAAGCUCUGGGAACUAGGCGUAUUUUUUUCGAAUUCUUCCCUCGUUUCAGCAGCCGUCGUCUUUAUUCAAUGUAAACCGGAGUAACGUGUUUCAUGCUGCCUAUAGUUCUCAUACUAGCGAAAAAAAUUUCUUAAGCCCUGGGCUUCGCCUUGCUACAGCUGUUUCCAAUAGCGAGGGAUCAUGGUGGUAUAAAAGGGACUCUCGUGGGUCUGUUUUGUCGGAUUUGGGAUUAACUAUGGAGGGAUGACGACCGUGGAUUGGGAUUAGGUGGUUCUAUCCAUGUGAACGAGCAAGCGCAUGAUGGGCGCUGCGACUCCUAAGUUCAUACUGGAAUCAGCUAAAGUGGCUUUUAUUCUAUCAGCAAAAGGCAUUGGAUGGGCCUUUCUAGAAACAAGAGAGCUUAUAACUUACAUUAACUUGUUUCCGACUUUAUGCAUGACUCUCUCUCUCUCUCUCUCUCUCUCUCUCUCUCUCUCUCUCUCUCCCUCCCUCCCUCCCUCCCCCCAAAUGUGUGUGUACAUGUGCAUGUAAGCUGAAGAUAUUUCCGUCUAUAGUUUGGGUGGAAAUCUUCUUACAAACUUACCCACCAUAAAAAAGGGACGACGAGCUCCCGUUGCCAACAAUGAAGCACUGCCCAUAAUUGGGUACAAGGUAGGGAAGAGGGAGGAGAGAGAGAGAGAGAGAGAGAUGUUGUCUUCUACUUUUCGCUAGACUGGGGGCUUACAGGAGACCAAGCGAGCAGGGUAACCUCAAAGCUGAGCCCACGAGAUUAGUAAUCAUUAAUCCAGGGAAGCGAGGCAGAAUAGUGAAGCCCAGGAGUCUUGGUUCCCACGGAAGACUGCUCUCGUUCAGAGGGGAGAGAAGGGAAGUGGAUCGGUUGACGACACAUGGGGCUUAGAGCGCAUACUCCCCGCAAGGGAACCGGCGGGUUAAAAGCUAGGCACUUUGACUGGCAUCGGCCCUGACGAGUCCCGUUAGAACCCCCCACCACCACCACCACCACCCCCCACCACCACCGCGGAAGGAUUCCUUGCUUCUUAGACCCGAACACUCUUCCCUGUUCUCCUCCUCUGAUUUUCGUCCCCUAUCUUUACAGCUGUUUCUCCCUCUACCCCUCUAUACUUGCCCGAGAGUUCUCUCUCUCUCUCUNNNNNNNNNNNNNNNNNNNNNNNNNNNNNNNNNNNNNNNNNNNNNNNNNNNNNNNNNNNNNNNNNNNNNNNNNNNNNNNNNNNNNNNNNNNNNNNNNNNNUCCUCCUCCUCUCUCUCUCUCUCUCUCUCUCUCUCUCUCUCUCGCUUAUUUCUCUGAGUCGGGAGGCCCAACCAUCCUAUCGACAAAAACUCUGUCCACUGACAAGGAAACCCGCUACAAAUUUAUAUCCUUCUUCCCUCCUCUCCAUUCCUGACUCCUCUCGUAGCUCUCCGUAGGGACACCCUAGCAUACUAUCGAAGAAAACUCGGUCCAGGAGAUCCGCUGAAAUUGAUAUCGUUUCCCUACCUUCAUUCUAUCCUCCCCGCCCUUCUCUUUCUGUUUUUUAUUUUAUACUCUCUCUUUUUAUGUGUGCAUGCAUCUAUAUCUCUAUCUGGAUUCGUAUAUAUAUUUAUCUCUAACAAGACUCUUCUCCAACUUAGUGGUUAAACAAAAGAGGCUUAACCUAUGAUCAGAGGCCCUCGUUUUUUCCUGAACCCAAUGGAUCUGCUUUCACCUCUUUUGUUUCAGUUCUACCGUUCAAACCUGUUCGUUCCUUCCACUCUCUUCCCCUUUGGAGCUCAUUCAACUCGAGAAGAAGAGAGAGAAGCCCAAUAAUGCCCACCUCCAGAGUCCGACUCUUAUUUUUCCCGUAUCCAUAACCCAUCUUUUUCUCUCCCUACGGCGGCAAGUCCCUGUUUCCUUGUUCUGACAUAAAGGCACUCGCACUCAUUCCAUUUCAGAAAAAAGAGACACCCCGAUACUGUUUACUACGAGCUCUUUCUUCCAUCCGUAGACCGGCGAUGUUGCUAGAUCUUGAAGGCUUUCUACCUUUUACACAUCAAGGUUGAUUAUGUUGAUAAGUACGUCAUCUAGGUGGUUUUCCUCUACAGGCCUCUCUCUCUCUCUCUCUCUCUCUCACACACACACACACACACACACACACGCACACACACACACACAAUUUCUUCGUCUCUAACUCUACAUCUCUGCGACAGGAGAGUGGAGGGUGAACCAGCGUCCAGCGUGAAAAGAAGCGGUCAGAAGGGGCGAGGAGACGAGGAAGAUGCUUGUGAGAUGUUGAAAACAUAGCAGUGGUCUAUUUCCAAGGAUCACUUGACGACUGAAACGGUGCCUUACAGACCUUGACAGCUUUCAUAUCUUUCCCUCCUGACAACUACAGGACGGGGAAAGGCCAUCAAUCAUACGCUUGACCCACCUUGACCAGCCCCUUCACCUGCGACGACCGACGUCGGAGUAGCAGUGGCGCCCAAUUCUCGAAUAUGAUUCACCACCUUAAAAAUAGAGGGCAAUGAGAGCUCGCUAUAUACCAUUUAGAGAGAGCGAGCGAAGGAGCUAGAGAGAGAGAGGAAUGAUCAGCUACUUUGAAAUAUGAGUCACCUGGACGUAGUUACGUCCAACAAUAACACGGUGUAACAGAGGUUUAGAAUGGGGAUGCCCCUAUCACCUGAAGAAAGCUAGAACUAAGAGAGGAGAUAGAGACAGACAGAAAGCUCUGGUUAUGAUAAAUAGUCUGUACACCAUUUCGAGCAAGAGAUGGAGGGAGAGGAGAAUAGUUCACUGCUCUUAAACAUGAUUCACCGUAGGCGCUGUUUUCUGUUGCCAUAUUACGGCAUUUCCAUGGGGUUAGAACGGCUCUCCUUCAAGCUGCAUGUUAGUACUGAGAGAGAGAGAGAGAGAGAGAGAGAGAGAGCUCUGGCUAUGAUGACGAUAGACGUAGGAAUAUAGUUCUGUUUCCCCUCCUUUCUUCUUGUCUUCUUCCUGGGUGAGUUUCUUAGACACGGAACGCUGGGUUUCUGUCGGAAGGGUGCAGAGAGAGAAGAGAUAUGUGCAUGAGUGUACGAACCCGCAGACAGGUGGGGCGACAUGUGUUUUGCGGGCCGCAGUAUCCGGUACAGAGACGACGGCAGAACAGCGACGCUUGGCCACGGCCAUCUCCGGUCUACCUUGUUGCCAGUUUGGUCUCUCUCUUCCUCUCUAUAUCUCCAUCUCCUCCACCUCAUCUAUAAGACCAUUCCACAGCCUCCACAUUGUCAUUAUGUGAUAAUCUGCGGACCAAGAUCCAGAUAGCGUGCUCUCGCUCUCUCUCUCUCUCUCUCUCUCUCUCUCUCUCNNNNNNNNNNNNNNNNNNNNNNNNNNNNNNNNNNNNNNNNNNNNNNNNNNNNNNNNNNNNNNNNNNNNNNNNNNNNNNNNNNNNNNNNNNNNNNNNNNNNAAAAAAUAAAAUGAUUUUGCAUUAUCCCAAUUGAAAUUGAAGUAAUGAACCUCCCCAUAUUCUAUAUGGGAGGUUCAUUACUUCAACUAGUCCCCGUGUUCCUCGAAUGGGUCUCUUAGUUGUUGAGAGGGUUGCCCAAAGGCAGUAUAUAAGGCGUACCCAGUAAAGCUUACAAGUAAACCAGAUAUGGAGAUGGCGACUAAGGUUGCUGUUUCCAUUAUUAGAUUUAAAAAUCGCGAUGGAUCUACAAUAAGGUUGUUUAUUUACAACUACAACGGAAUGGUAUACAAAGUCAACAGAUCUCAACCAAUGAAAUUGUAUUUAUGGCUACACAAACUGUUGAGGGUAGUUCUAGAUCUGGGCCAAGACGAACUCGUGUAGGGGAUUUAUUGAAACCAUUAAAUUCAGAAUAUGGUAAAGUAGCUCCGGGCUGGGGGACUACUCCCCUUAUGGGAGUCGCAAUGGCUCUAUUUGCGGUAUUCCUAUCUAUAAUUUUGGAGAUUUAUAAUUCUUCCGUUUUAUUGGAUGGAAUUUUAGUGAGUUAGGUUCAUAAGAGCAAUGAAGUGCUAGUCAAAAAACUUAGGACUCGCCUUGCUAGUCUAUUUGAGUUGGUAGUUCGACCGUGAAAUUUCUUUGUUUCGGUAUUUGCGGAAUAUGAGUGUGUGACUUGUUAUAAUUGAUCCUAUUGAUAUACAGAAAAUGGAUCUGUCAUCUUGAUAAAGAUGAUUCUACCUCGUCGGAUAUUUAUAUUUAUUCUAGUUUCCGGAGCACGGAAUAUAUUUAAUAGAUCAAGAAAAGAAAUAUUUGAACUAUGAUUCAUACCCUACUAUUCAAACCUCGUAACCGGACUCUAAAAAAAUUUCAAAAGGCUAUUCUAUUUCCUAAAUCAAACCAUUUUUCUUCUUUGAGAACUAUGUGUUUUGACGGAAGUACAACUAUUUCUCUGGAUUUUGUUGAGUCAUUACAUCUUUUUCAUUAAAUAAAUGAUGAUCAAAUGGUUCUUACUCAGAGAACUUUUGAGCUUUGUUUUUGAACUUAUUGAUAAAUCAUCGUGGUUCUAGUAUGAAUCUGAGGUUUCAAUUGAUUUAUAGGGUCUCAACAAGAGAAUCCCUAUUCAGAAGUAAAACAAUAGUCAAUUUUUUGAUUACGCAAAAAACUCAAAUUAAAAUACUAAAUAGGGAAAAAGAAGAUUCAAGAGGCCUGUAAUAAUCAAUAUAAAAAAGAAAGACGGAUGAGCUAACUUGAUAUUUUUUGGCAUUAUCAUCACAAAGAACAGAUUACGGAUUUUUAUUUUUUGGGGGUAGAUUGAAUCUAUUGGCUAAGAAGUUUAAAUUUUCGAUUACAUAUCCGUUAAAAGAGUAUUUGUAUGUUUUUGCUUGAGCCGUAUGAGAUGAAAUUCUCAUAUACGGUUCUCAGUAGGGGGAGUUACCUUGGUUUACCUAUCUCAAUAAAGUCUAUGACUGGUUCGAAGAGCGUCUCGAGAUUCAGGCGAUUGCAGAUGAUAUAACUAGUAAAUAUGUUCCUCCUCACGUCAACAUAUUUUAUUGUCUAGGGGGGAUCACACUUACUUGUUUUUUAGUACAAGUAGCUACGGGUUUUGCUAUGACUUUUUACUAUCGACCAACUGUUACAGAGGCCUUUGCCUCUGUUCAAUACAUAAUGACUGAGGCGAACUUUGGUUGGUUAAUCCGAUCAGUUCAUCGAUGGUCAGCAAGUAUGAUGGUUCUAAUGAUGAUUUUACACGUAUUUCGUGUGUAUCUGACAGGCGGAUUUAAAAAACCUCGCGAAUUAACUUGGGUUACCGGUGUAGUUCUGGGUGUAUUGACUGCAUCUUUCGGUGUAACUGGUUAUUCCUUACCUUGGGACCAAAUUGGUUAUUGGGCAGUUAAAAUUGUGACAGGCGUACCUGAUGCCAUUCCGGUAAUAGGAUCACCCUUAGUAGAGUUAUUACGAGGAACUGCUAGUGUGGGUCAAUCCACUUUGACUCGUUUUUAUAGUUUACACACUUUUGUAUUACCUCUCCUUACUGCCGUAUUUAUGUUAAUGCACUUCUUAAUCAUACGUAAGCAANNNNNNNNNNNNNNNNNNNNNNNNNNNNNNNNNNNNNNNNNNNNNNNNNNNNNNNNNNNNNNNNNNNNNNNNNNNNNNNNNNNNNNNNNNNNNNNNNNNNCUCCCCUCUUUACGUAUGCACUCACCCAUGAGAUCCUCUACAUCUAUCAGACAGAAACACGAGAGAAAGGAGAUUAGCCACAUGAAGACACGCCGGGAGAAUCAAAGGCAAAACAAGAACAGCCGUUGGCUUCCUUCUAAUCUGUUCUUGAGCUCCAUCGGAUGAACAAGUUCAUGAAAAACCAGACGAUCUGAAGACGAAAUACGCCCACACGGACACGACCCAGAUGCUGCAGAAAGCCCCACAGAGGCCGCACGAGCAGCCGCUGUCGCUGAGCCCCACCAAGAACCGGCAGGCCCCCUCAGAGGGAUCCAAGAAGGUGACCAUCCCCAGCCCGUCAAAAUCACAGCUUUUUUCUUCCUGCUUCUGCAACUGGUAGUAGCUGUUGAAGGCGUAGGAGACGUUCCCCUCCUCUCCGAUUCCAUUGCAGGACCCUCCGUAGAGCAGGGUAGUGCAGUCGGCGGCGCUGCAGGCCCUCUCCAGAUGGGCGGCGGCGGCGCCCCCGCCGCCGCCGGAGAAGAGGAUUUCCUUGGAUGGGUCCGCCACGCACCACCUCGCCGGCAAGUAGUUGACUUUCUCAGCAUUCCUCAGCGUCCCACUUCCCAAAUUUAGGGGGUACUUUGCUUGGCCGUCAAAGGAGAAGAUCCCCCAGUGCCUCUCAAAGUUCCCCGGAAGAACGUCCUUCUGAUCUUCGUCGAGGAGGCUGAAGAGAUAAACGUCCACCUGCGGCGAGUUGGGCCUGAGAGGGGUCCCCUUGCCGCUGAGGAUGUGGUUGACCAGGCCCUGGUUGAAGGCCCUGGCGGCGGAGAGGUUGGCGGCGCCGCCACCGCCCUCGGUGGGCCAGCCGACCUCCCCGACGAUGACCGGCAUCUGCCCGUAGCCGAUCCUCCCCAGGGCGGCGACCAGGGUGUCGAAGUUGCCGUCGAAGGCGUUGGAGUAGAGGCUCUGCCCGUCGGUGACCGAGUGGGUUGACCCGGAGAAGAAGGCGUAGUCCUGGGGGAAGUCAGCGCUCUGGUAGAGGCUCAGGAAGGGGUAGAUGUUGACCACGAAGGGGGAGCCGUUGGAGGAGAGGAAGGCCGCGAGCUCCGACAUUAAGGGAGCGAGCUCCGGUCGGAAGGUCCCCUGCGAGGGGGUUGGCCCCUCGUAGGCGUCGGCGUUGCAGGGGACGACGAGCUUGACGAAGCCCGCGAGGUUCGCUCUGGACAGGGACUGCUGCAGGUUGGUCAACGCCGGGAGGACGAAGGGCUGGUACUUGCCCUGGUAGCUGGCCAGGAAGGGCUCGUUUCCGACGGCGACGUACCUGCUCAUAUCGACAGAUCAGACCAUGGGGUUCGCCGGAAUUAGCAUGAGGAGGAAAUAUAAUCAGAAUCGGUGGAUCGGAGAGGGCAGCUCGUCGAUCCCAACGCUGGAAUUGAACAGGACGAUGACGACGACGACGACGACGAUGAUGAUGAAUCAGAGAAGAGGGAGAUGAAUUUAGGGCUCGAAAGAUGGGGAAGAUGAAGAGGGGCGGCGAGACCUGAUAUCGACGCCGCCUUUGACGGUGUAUCUGGAGACAUUGUGGGCGACCCAGGAAUCUGCGGCGGCCGGAGAGGAGCCGAGCGCCGCCAGCAUCUCGUUGGGGAUCCCCACCAUCACCUCGAUGCGGCUCCCCCUCAGCGCCCUGAGAACCUGAGGAUCGGCCUCGAAGAGCUUCACCUUCCCGAUCUUGUUGUCCCUGAGGAGCUUCACCACCACGGGAGGGGCGAGCUUGUGGGAUUGCAGGGUCCCCCAGUUGACGCCCACGGCGGCGCUCGCCGUGGGGAUCGAUCGGAGGAAGGCAGCGGCGGUGGCGGCGAGGAGGAGGAGGGUAGCGGCGGGGAAAUGGGCUCCGGCCAUUCCGCCGGCGGGGUGAAGAUUGGGCGGCGCGGUGUCGGUUGUAGAGUGGGAAAGUUGUGAAACCCACCGGUGGGAGUGAGCUUUCAGUCGGUCUGUGGCGGAUGCUUAUUUGUCUUUAAGGAAAGGUCGGUCCUUUUCAAACUUGAGCGCUUGAAGCCCGGCUCCUCUCUCUCUCUCUCUCUCUCUCUCUCNNNNNNNNNNNNNNNNNNNNNNNNNNNNNNNNNNNNNNNNNNNNNNNNNNNNNNNNNNNNNNNNNNNNNNNNNNNNNNNNNNNNNNNNNNNNNNNNNNNNCUCUCUCUCUCUCUCUCUCUCUCUCUCUCUCUCUCUCUCCUCUCCUCUCUCUCUCUCUCUCUCUCUCUCUCUCUCUCUCUCUCUCUCUCUCUCUCUCUCUCACCCUCAAAAUGAACCAGCAGACUCAAUAGCUAAGUCUGAAGGCCAGCAUUAGAUUACUAUCUUGGACCAUUCCUUAAAGCUACUUGGAUCUCAAUAAUAAAUAGAGGUAAAAGCAAGUGGGACUUUGAUGAGUCCAAUGGCACGUAGUGAUAUUCCUUUAAAUCCUUACAAUGUCGUCUAAUUUAGACCCAGCUUUGAUAUCUGAGACUCAAAUUUUCUCCCAACUAUUUGAUGGGCAUUCCAUCACCAUUGUUUUCUAACCGUCCACACAAGUUUCAUUGGAUUUCUAGAAUACAAAAGUGACUCAUGAUUUUUUUGAUUUCCAAACAUUCAAGCUCCCAAUAAGGCAUGGUAAAAAUACAAUGCACAAAAUUUAUGCUCUUCUUAUCUUCUAUGCCUUUUGGCAUUCUGGUAUGGACCACAUCCUCAUCAAGAAUAUGGAAAAAUGGCAUUUGAUGAUAUAGAGGAAAUUCUUAGAAUACUUUCCUUGAAUUCUUCCUUAUAGAUCAUUGGAGCAUCCUAAAUAUUCAUAUGAUUUUCAUCAAAAAAAUAAUUUCCAAUGAAAUAUAGUUACAGUCUUUAGCUAACAUGGAUUUUACUCCUGAUCUAACGAUUCAAUACAAUGGGUGCUUUUACCAUCAUAAUUGAUACAUGUUUACGUACAUCACAGGGCAAAGAUGGUACGUGACACUUGCAAACAUUUUCGAGAGGAUCAAGAAUCAACGCACUCCUGUAAGAUACUACCCUCUCAAGUUGUUCUGCUUUGACGUCCUUUUGGCAUGCACUAAGUGAGUUAAAAAUAUCCAAGAUAAAGAAUUACAUUAAAAAUAUGCAAGCCGUCGUCGAUCCGGUUGAAAUCAGAUAGGCAAGGAGUCAUCUGGUGAUUGAAAGUGUAGAGAUGAGGGGCAAUCCCUCUCCUUGGGGUUUUGAUUUUGAGCUAAGCUCAUUGCCCAACUUGUCAGCUCAUGAGAAGGGCUUGAUUUAGUAUAAUUACCGGGAUCAGGGUAUGUAAUGUCCUCGCCCAAUUGCCAAGUUUAGAAUUAUUUUUUAAAUAAAUAAGGCUAUCACAAGGAGCCGAGGACUCUAGGGCAGAAAAGGCUGCGUCGAGGGUCGCAAUCGGCGGCAGAAACCGGACGGUGGAUUCUCUCUCCGACCCGCCGCCAUUGGGGAGCCCACUUGGCACCGUUACGUCAUAGCAGCGCUGGCGGCCCGGCGCGUCACAUGACCCACCGUACGAUUCAACGUACUGCCCACUAUUUUAUACAAAUCCGACGUGGCGAGCCGGUCCACUUUGAUUGGGCAGACGAAAGCUAAGGUCGGCGGAAGUGUCGACACGUGCUCCGUGGUCGUGUUUCCUACGUGGACUCGAGAAGCCUCUCUGGUAGACCCUCGAGAGCACGGUACUGCCUCCACCAGUCGCCCGAGCGGAAGAAUUAUCUGAGGGAUUUUAUUAUCGGGAAUACUACUUUUAAGGUAGUCCGGGGGAACACCAGACUGCGGCUCGCCCUUUCCCAGUGCUUGGACGGAGACUUCCCACCCGACGCACCAAAAGUGGUAUCUUUUUUCUAGAUGCUUUCAUGGAAGAUAUUUUUAUUGCAAUUUUGGUAGAAACCCGCUACGAAUAUUGUGUUCCCUAUAAAGGUCCUAAUUUGACAAUAUUGCGUUCCUACUUUAUUGAAGUACAAGUGCAAUCAUCUUCACGGAAGAGGGAAGGGUAUCUAUCGAGGCGGUACGCGUGACGUGGGCGAGGGUUGCAGGUCAAAUCCGGCGUACGGAGGGUUCUUAUGGCAAGGAAAAUGAGAGUGGUGGGAAAAUAUGCAUUCAAUGAGGGGUUUUCUGAAUAAGGGACGUGUAAUGGGGGUAAUUUAUAAAAUUCGAGAUGAUGGCAUCCAACGACGGAAUCUCCGGACGUAGGGGUGGGUCACGGCAAUUGCACUCGUGAACGCAAAUCCCUCUCUCUCUCUCNNNNNNNNNNNNNNNNNNNNNNNNNNNNNNNNNNNNNNNNNNNNNNNNNNNNNNNNNNNNNNNNNNNNNNNNNNNNNNNNNNNNNNNNNNNNNNNNNNNNCCCGGGUUCCUUUCCCGUCCGCCCCCCCCCCCCCCUCCUCCCCCUCCCACACCGAGCGUUGUGACACGCGUCGUUCACCCAGGAAGGUCCAGGAUAGCGCGAGGUGCCCAGACAGCGAGGCGCCCCCAUGCACGGGGUAUCUAUCCAAUCUCAUCGUUGAUGCUCCCCUGUUCUCCGGCGUUCUUCUGCUCGCAGACGGAAUGUCGGCGUGGCGCAGGGCCCCGUGUCUUCCUUCCUUGUUUUCUCAUCUUCUGAGCUUCUGCCAGGUGGGUGGAGGGGAUGGCGCCCGUCUUCUCCAGGUCUGCAUGGCGCUGUGCGUGGCAUCUCAUCCAGGUGUACGUCUAGCAUCGCCUAAGUUUGACUUUCCAAAUCAGGAAAUAUAUCAUUUUGGGAGCUGGGUAGCCUCUCGCAUAAGUCAAUCGGUCUUGGAUAAAUGGGAAUUUAAAAAAUAUUGCAACCGUGUGUGGGGAUCGUCAACGGAAAAAGACCCGAGAGUAUUUCCAUUACAUUCGAGUGAAGUGUCAGGAGCUGAAAUUAGAAUGAACGGCAAGCGUUGACCCAUUUCAUGCUGACAGAACGAUCUCAUCCAUGGGUGGGGAAUGGACAUGAAGCUCGGCUACUGCGCCCAGGUCGGUGAUCCCAUGCUGAAUGUAGAGCCAGCCGCAAGUCCGCGGUUGUUCGAGUGGGAAUCCUACCCUAAUCUAAUGAGAGGUCCAUGUUUGCAGGGCGAUCGGAGGAAGAAGGUGGGGGUCGUCGACAGUGAGUUCGUCGUCCACUUGGGAAUACAGACGUUGGGUGGAUCUUCCAGCUCGGCUCCGAGGAGGGUCGGUAUCACUCCCUCCCUCUCUCUCCCUCCCCCCCCCUCUCUGGGGACUGCGGUUUGCUGCUCCCCCUUCGCAGCUGAGACGCUUCCUCUUAGUUGCAGACAUCCGAAGCCACCGGCGCGGCCGGAACUCUGAGCAAGGUGCUCACUUCAUUCUGAUCAUGGCUUCUCUCUCUCUCUCUCGGUAUAUGUAUAUAUAUGAUCUAAUGUUUUCAUGGUUCUUGUUCGCCACAGAUUCGUGGGAUCUCGAGAGGCGACGUGAGAGUGGAGGUGAGAUUUUUGCUUUGCGAUUGGGGGAUGAUGGAGAUUAUUAUUUCGAGAGGCGCGUUUUGACGGAUCUCUGUGGCAGAGUCGGCGGCGGGCGAAGUCAGAGCUCCGGAUAUUCCAGGACCGCUGGGACGAGGCGGCGAGGGAAGACGCGGGAUGGGUUGACCCCUUCCGCCGCCCCAGCAGCAGAAGGAGACGCCAGCGCCGCCUCCAGUCGCCGCCGGAUUCUGCAGCGGAGGAAGAAGAGCUAAAAGCGGACAGGGAGACUUAAUUUUCCACAGUUUUGACCUGUCAGACCCCCCCCACCCUCUUCCUCUGUUCCUCCUACAAACUGAUUAGAUUAAAAGAGAGAAGAACGCGUUGACGAGCGGCGCUGUGAUCGUUCUCUGCCAGGCCUCCGGCGGCGGCGGCGGCGGCGCGACCUCCCGCGCCGGAAGAACAAAGAGAGGAGGGGAAUAGUGGGCCGGCCCAGUAAUAAAUGACCCUACAGUGUCAACGACGCGUUUUGGCCCAAUAGCCCAUUCCAGGCCCCCAGGAACCGUGGGCUUCCUUCGCCACGAAGGGACACGUGACAGACAGUCGUGGGGUACCCGUUUUGACCCGUUAACUUGAUCCGGGAAGGAGUGGGCGGGUCGAUCCGAAAUUUCCAACCCACCUGGUCGGUCGUCUACGCGUUACGCCGGAUUUGACCCGCCGAUGGGGAAACGGGAGCAGGGAUCGGACGGUCCGCGCUCCCGAUGAGUCUCCUGCCGCACACUCUGUGGACCUGGACCACCAUCAGGACAGUGAGGAGAGCCGGCAGGAACGGAGGUCGUGAUGGCGGGAGAGGGUACAUAAAUAAAUAGAAUAAAUACAGGAGGGGGAAUGAGUCUCGCCCUCUGCCCCAACACGCAAGAAUAAAAGCGCUCUCUCUCUCUAUUCGUCUCUUCCUCUCUCUCUCUCUAUUCNCUCUCUCUCUCUCUCUCUCUCUCUCUCUNNNNNNNNNNNNNNNNNNNNNNNNNNNNNNNNNNNNNNNNNNNNNNNNNNNNNNNNNNNNNNNNNNNNNNNNNNNNNNNNNNNNNNNNNNNNNNNNNNNNUCCAACACUUGGUUGAAUUGCUACUUUACCUUUUUAAGCUGCAAACUUGAGUUCAUCUUUCUUCAUUAGUCCUCUCUCUUAGUCUUACCCUGUUUUUUACAUUAGCACUGAUUGUUAUGUAGUGAGGUUUUCAUGUGAUGUCAUUGCAUGUUCCUUAAACAUUCAUCAAAUUGUCUCACACUCUCAUAACAUCCAAAUGGCCAAAGUUUCAUGUAUUUUCUUCUAUAUCAUCAUACCCUAGACAUUGCCCCUUAUUUUGAUAGAUAUGGGUUGCCAACUUAUCAAUAAACACCUCCCUAACUCUUGUAUCUACCAUUGUGCAUGGCUCAUUAUAAGUCUUAUGUAGUGCUCCUACCAUCAUGUAGGAGAUUCUCCUCACUAUGUGUGCACAUACAUAUGUCAUCGAAUGCCUCCUUCACUAUAUGCUUGCAAGCCCUGCUAUGCUCAUUUGUGCCACAUGCAUGUCAUAUCGUGUCACAUACACCUUCUUGCCACACUAUACAUGCCUAGAUUGUGUAUGCUUAUCACAUUGAGCGUCCAUGUCUUGUUGCACAUGCCCUUAAUUUUUCAUAAUGACAUGUUGAGUAUUGAAAGAACGAAUGGUAAUAGAUCAAGACAAUAUUUAAAUCAUAAUCAAUUGGCAACAUUACAUUAAAUUGGAGUUAUGAAGAUUUUUGAAAUUCAUAUAUUACUACAAAAGGUUUGCCCAUGGAUGCAACAACAAAGAAAAUUACAUUUAAUUGGGGUGAAGAAGUGAAAAAAUCAUUUGAAAAGCUCAAAUCUAUCAUGACUAUAAUUUCAGUAGAGGUUAACAUUUCUAGAUGCAUAAUUAGUGUACUGAUCAUAAAAAAAUAUCAUCUUGUAGCCUAUUUUAGCAUAAAUUUGUCAGCUAAAAACAGAUCAAAAUAGUUUAUAAGCGAGAGUUGAAAACAACCACCCUAAUACUGAAAAAUUUAGGCAUCGUUUGCUAAGUUGGCAUUUCAUGAUAUCAAUAUAUUUUAAAAUAUAUUAGAGCAGGAAUGUAUUACAACAGAAUAUUAAAAUAGUUAUCAAGUAACAUAUGCUAUGAUUUUGAAAUCAAAUACCAUGUAGAGACAAAAAUUAUAGUAUCAUAUAUACUCUCGAGUUGGCUAAACUUAAAGUAGGAACGAUAAUUUUAUCUUUUCUAAUUAAACCAGGGACAUGAAUGUUAAUUAAUUUUAACUUUAAUUAAACUAAAAUUAAAGAAUAAUUUGUCUUGUUUCCAAUUGGUUACUUCAUUUGAAUAUCAUUAAAUAUUUCUUACGCGCUUGUUAAAAUCCAUCCUAUAUAAUGAAUAAAUUACAACUUUCCUUAUGUGGGUUUUACUUAAUUUUUUUAAUGUCAUAUUGACUUUUUAAAAUCAAAUCCGCAACCUAAUUUUCAGUGAUACACAAGAAACGGUAUUAUCGUUACCGAUUCCAAGGGGUUUUUGAGGCACCUUCAGAGUACUGCCUUAUACGGCGGUCAAGAGUUGUAGUAAAGAAAUUUGAGUGGGGAUCUUCACUUGGUACAACAGGAAAUUUGUAGAAUCGAGUGCAAGAAAAUUCAGAGGAAUUCUUACCCAACUUUCUCGGGUGUCAACGUCGCCCUUUCAAAUCCUGACGUCCAACAUCGGCACCUUGACGUUUAGCGACUCCUUGGAAAAGUCACUAUCGUUUACGAUUUCCGGGGGAUUUCGAAACCAAGUGCAUUUAAAGUACGACGACUUUGUACCGUUCUUGCUGCCUAAGAUGUCAACUCCUACCGAGCGUGGUGCCCAAGGAAGUCCAAAACUUCGUGCCACCCACGUAACCGAACGGUAUAUAAUAAGGCCUUCCCGUCCCCGUUUAUCCGACAGCGCUCAACGAGGAAGGUCAAAAAGGCCCUCCUGAACAUUACACUCCUCUCGUCUCAGCUGCUGGCCAGUCCCCCUCCUCACUUCUGCCUCCAAUCUUCUCCCCAAUGGAGGCAGCGGCAGCAGCAGCGCCGGUGGCUCCAGAUCCACGCCUUCUCGGCCCACCGGAGAUCCGCAGAUCCGCCGCCCCGGGGCCCCCCAAGGAGGCCAANNNNNNNNNNNNNNNNNNNNNNNNNNNNNNNNNNNNNNNNNNNNNNNNNNNNNNNNNNNNNNNNNNNNNNNNNNNNNNNNNNNNNNNNNNNNNNNNNNNNCGGGGGGGGUGGGGGGGGGUGGGGGGGGAUGGCCCUUCUUUGCUCAAGCAAAAUAGUUUCUUGACGGCGGCAUGUUGGCGCACAGAGACCUGAAAGUCAACCUUAAGAGCGUCCGAUGACGGAGAAUGGCCAACAUGUCGCAAGAAAAAAAAAUCAGCUCACACUACUUGCUUUCCUGGAUCGGAAGUGGCCCCUCUAUCCUCAAGCAAAAAUAGUUUCUUGACAGCAACACAUUAGCGCACAGCGACGUGAAAGUCCACUGAUGAGCAUCCGAUAACGGAGAAUGGUCAACCUGUCGCAAGAAAACAAAAUCACUAAAGUCAACGUUAAUUUCCCAAAAAGGGCAACACCAAUACCCAUUCAAUAUGCACGCACUGGGGGGGGAGGGGGGUCCAAUGUCAGCCUCAUCCUGACGCCAUGCAUGCAUGCAGCAGAACUACAGAUAGCGGUGCAACAUCUGCAUGGCAUGCUGCUAACGCUGCAUGGAGGGCAUCCAUCAGAACCCCACAUCUGGGAGCUUUGCCAUUUGGGGAAGAAUCAUAUGAUGAGUGGGGACUUGGGUAUUUUCCAACCACUUAUUUAUCAAAAUUUAUGCAAGCCAAAGUAGCAUAAAAAUAGUGCGAUCAAGAAGCAUUGUCCUAGAUGUAAGACAAUAUGCUGCUUAUUGAGGACGAUCUAGCAAUGUUACUUAAUGAAAAAUGGUGUGUGUCAUUAGUAAUGUUUUUUCUGUGGGGUUGGCACAGCUUAUUAGGUCAACCAUUUGUGCCUCUUGCUCACUCUCCCUCGAGUGGUUGACUAUGCAUUGAACCCAUGGAUGUGAAGCACCAAAAAAAAAUUAGAUUUCAACAAUUUUUUGACUCAAAAUUACUCAAAGAAGAUUAUGCUCACAAGGCACACUUGAAACUAGUAAAUUGAUAAACUAUGAGUAUGAAGACAAAUUAUUAUUUCUUUUAUGACUAUAUGGAAUGAUGUUACACAUUUGAAAAAUAUAAAAAAACGUGCACAAAAAUAUUUAAUAAUCCACCCUAUGAAAAGGAAUUCUAGUGAGAACUGCAUGCAAUAUGGUUACAACAAGUCCAAUAAUGAUUUGUAAUCUACCAGAUUUAAAAUAACUAUCUCUAAGAAUUUUUAGUUUUAACUUUUAGAGGUACUAGCAAACAUUUUGGUAUAAGAGAUCAAUUCAAAAAAUCAGGAAGACCAAGAAUUUUGAACUCAUGUGACCUGAAAACAUGAAAACUUGUAUUGCAAGCAUUUGAAAGCCCAAAGUAACUUUGACACCAAAUUCAAGUGUUUAGGCUGAAAAAAAUAAAAAAUUAUAAUUAUAAGUUUUAACUUUUUUCACUAUUUAUUAUCUUCAGCCAAGCUUUUGAGAACUUAUCCAUUUUUUAUACAAAUUUGGAUUCAAAGCCAGAUUUUUAUUCUUCCCUGAUUUCGAAUUUCAUGCUUUGUGAAUUUAAGGCUAGAUUUUUGUUAUUCCUCAACUUUCCUACACCGCCAUUGCAGCAACACACUUGAACUUAUAGACCAUGAUCUAUCCAUAUAGCUGCACCAUAUGUUUGAAUAUUAUAUUAAUCUGUCAAGAAAAAAUCAGUUAUUUUGAAAAGCGGUCACUAAGACACGGACAAUAUCAUGUAUUUUUUUUUUAUUUGUAAAGGUAAAAUUUACUUCAAAUGUGUAAAAUUCGUACAGUCCUUGUACAUAAUUUAUCAUUUUGGGGCUAGUCUUACAAUCUAAUAGUGACAUGUGGCUAGGACCAAUCGUGCACACAGGACAUCUCUUGCAGGGUACGAGUGCUUGCCGCAUGUGAGUCUUUGAACGUUUUAUGCGUUUACGUGUUGACUGUCUCUACUUCGUGGAGGGUUCUGUUGCGUAAGCGAUGCACUUGGUCGUGGUAAAAGGUUCCGUGGCGGCUGACCCAUUAAUCUAUGGCUGGCGUGCAUCUCAAUGACGAUGCCCUUCAGUUAUUCUUAGGGUAUUCACUGGUCUCCAUCCCCAUAACUGUUGCGGAGUGUAGAUAUAGAGACAGAUAACGGACCCAGAUGCAGACUCUCCCUCUCCUCUCUCUCUCUCUCNNNNNNNNNNNNNNNNNNNNNNNNNNNNNNNNNNNNNNNNNNNNNNNNNNNNNNNNNNNNNNNNNNNNNNNNNNNNNNNNNNNNNNNNNNNNNNNNNNNNAGAGAGAGAGAGAGAGAGAGAGAGAGAGAGAGAGAGAGAGAGAGCGAGAGAGAGAGAGCAAGAGAGACAGAGAGAGAGACACACACCUGCCGGCCGAUCGCCGGAAUCAGCCAGCCGCCGAGGGAACCCGCCGCAGCCGCGACCUUCCAAGCAGAGCAACGAGACCUCGCCGGCGGAGGGCUCGGGGGAAGCGCCGGCAUCGGCCGGAGAUAUAUAAUUUCAAAUACAGUGUGCAAAAGUAGGGAAGGACAAGGAACUGGCGAAGCUUGAUGUGUAUGGCAAAGCUCCUCUCAUUGGGUUGUCUUAGAGGUUGUCAGAGAAUAAUUUGGGCACGUGUAAAGUAUACCAUGAUCAGUCAGAGUUCAAUCUAUGGGAGUUGAUUGCUGAAGGAAAUUUCGCAGUGAAGCCUUUUGAUGAAUUUUUUUAGGAUCUAGAUAAAGAAUGUGGUAAAAGAAUUUCAUGAUGAAUAAAGUGACUUACAAAGGAUUGCUUUUGCUUCGAAGAGUCAUUAAAGUCACCAAGGUUCCUAAACUCAGAUGUAAAUCUGCGAUGGCCAAGGGUUAAGUGAGUUCAUCUGCUGAUGCAGUUGCUGGGACCUCAAUUUUCUGCAAACUUGAAGAAGAAAGAUGGGUGGGUGUGCGCUAGACGUUCUGAACUGUGAGGAAUUCAAGAAGAUUCCAAGAUUCAUGCAUAUGUACCUUUAUAUAUAUAGGCAACUUCUUAUUGAUGGACGAUUGCUGUAUGCAGGCGGGCGGGUAUGAAGCAUACAUGAAAUGCAUUGUUGUGUGAUAUCUUCCAGAGCAGUGGGUCUGUUACCUGGUUUCUCUAAACUCGAUUGUGUCAUAAAUGUAAUUUUGUGAUCUGAGAACUCUCUGGAUCAGAAGACUAGUUCAUUAUGUGCUAGGCUUCCUUGGACCAUAGAUUUGAAUUGGGCUGAUAGCCAGGAGUUCAGUAAACAGCUCUUGCAUGCUUUUAUUUUAAUUUUAUCGCUGCUGCAACCUUCACCAACAUAAAAACACGAGGUUUAGGUGGUUUAUAUGAUGCAAUAUUGGUGUCAAGUUGUGAUCUAAAUGACUCACAGUGCUUUUCAGCACGGGCUUGGUACUAUGGUUGACCUGAAUCUGAGUUAAGUACAUUUUUUUCAUAGCUAAGAACUAACUCAUUUGAACUAGAUGGAAGUGUGCAUUGUCUAAAGUGUCAAAUAGCAGAAGCCAAUUAUGUACUGUUUUCCUCAUGUAAAUGAAGCAAAUAAUUCCUGGAGGAAAUUGUGUUCUUGGUUGUCUUUCAAGAUCAAGAUAGUUUCUUACUAAACUCUUGUUUGAUAUCUUAGUGUCCGCUUGCGCACAAGAAACAUCAUCGAGGGAUUUAUAUUCUCAAUGAUGGUCAAAUGAUUUAUUUCACCAGGUACUCUGCUAGGUACAGCAUUGAGGGAGGAUUUAAUGGGCUAAAACGGUGAGAAAAGUAGAAGCGGAUGACGAUGUCCUCGGUCUUUCUGGUGUUCUCUAGGAUUAAGUGCUCCCGAUUUUGAUGUUGAAGGUGUGGGGGUACAUGACUGUAUGUGGUAACUAAGGCUCUUGUUUGGGGACUGGAUGUUAACCAAAGUUCUAGGAAGUUUUGAACCUCCAAUUGCCUGUUUUGCACCCACAGGGACGAUGAUGCGCCAAGAACCCUGGAAAAUUACACAUUAGGGCCCCAAUCAAAGGACGAAAUCUGGUUUCUUCAGCUUUAGCUACGAGAUGUGUUCAAUAUCGGAUGAACUGCUGAAGCGUUUAAUGCUUUUUUUUUAAGGGGCUGAUAAGCUAAUAACCUCACUCUAAUUAGGCAUCAUGAUACCAAUCUAGCAAGCAUAGGGCAAAAGAUUGGGGGGCGGGGCGGACAUUUGCGACAGGCCUUUGAAAUUAUCUUGAAAUUAUGGAUAUCGUCCAGAAAGAUGCAUGAAUCUGGGUCUAGUUAGGGAUAAAUGACUAUAGGGACCAAAUCUUGACUACUGUAGAUUAAAAGGAUUUUACGGUGCUAUGCAUCAUGUAAUAUGCAGCCAAUCCAUUCUUCUUGUAAUCCCAAUUUGNNNNNNNNNNNNNNNNNNNNNNNNNNNNNNNNNNNNNNNNNNNNNNNNNNNNNNNNNNNNNNNNNNNNNNNNNNNNNNNNNNNNNNNNNNNNNNNNNNNNGGGGGGGGGCGGCUAUUACUUCAGAAGCUCGACUUGCCCCGCCGCCUUCCGGCAACGCCCGGAUAUGACGACAUGGGCUGUCGCAACCCAUGCGAGGGCCAAGUGGGAAGGAUGGGUAUCGGGGGGCGAUGACCCGAUAACAGUGAGUGAGCUUCUUCGUUCCAGCUGCCGCCGCGAGCCGUCUCCCUCGUCCGCCGAUUUAUCAGGGGACAUGACAGGCGACACAUGUGAACAGGGAGCUGGAUUCCGGAGAAAAAAUGGGGCGGAGAUGUCGUCGUCGUCUCCUGCUUUUCCUUGGCGAAGUAAAAGAUUUGAAAAAGUGAAAUUUUCAGGACGAGCGGGUCUCGUCGAACUCUACAACAGGCCGGAGCUGCCGGGGGGCCGGUCGGUGCCGUCCCAGGCGUCUUGGCGGUCGGUGGCCCUCUCUAAGCUGCCACCGAUGGAGGUGAUCAGAGCCGAAAGGCCGCCGGCGGCGGCGCCGCCGGGUCCCCUUCCCAACCCUAGAAAGUCCAGCGUCGUCGGCUUCGGCACGAAGAACGGCGGCGGGCCCACCAUGAAACUCGGCAUCCCGCCGCCUCCGCCGCCGUAGGGGAGCCCGAGAGCCAGCGCCGGCGACAAUCCCGCCGGCUCCUCCGGCAGGUGGUGCUGCUGCCCUCGCCAUGGCUGGUAGCUAUCCCGGGGAUUCUCGUGGUGUUGUUGCUGACUUGUGGAGCUGGAACUCGGCGCUAGUCCGAAGCCUCUGAGCAGCGACGAGUUGCUGGCCGUGGCCCCCAUUUGCGCCGCCUUCUGCAGCAAUGCGGUGGCGGACAUGUGGGGAGAAGGCGGCGGCGGGGCCAGAGGCCGCCGAUCAAGGGGGCCCGAGAAGAGCGGUGAUCCGCCGCUGUGCGAGAGGCAGAGUGAAAUGGGCUCUGCGGAAGAGGACGACGGGCCAGCCGAAGAGAGCGGCGGCGCCGCCCCGUUGUCGUUCCUGGACAUGGCGGCGCCCAUCAAAUCAGAGAACGAGGUACUUUGGGUUGCUCUGGCCGCCGCCGAGGCCAGCAGGCUGGCGAAGGGACUGGCGCUCGGCCCCCCGGCGCUGUUGCCGCUGCCGCUGCCAUUCCCUGCGGCCACAACCGGCAACCGAGGCAGACUCUGUUGCAUGAUCGCUGCGCGCUUUGCCGACUCCGGCUCUGUAAAGACGAAAGAUCACCAUCAGCGCCAAGAAAGGGCGGGAGAUCGGGGAAAAGAUUAGAGCUUUAUGCAACCCUUUUGUGGGGGGGGGGGGAUGCGUAGUGAUGACCAUCUCAUAAUCUUCACAGGAUUCCCGGGAUUAAAGCGUGCCGGAUCGCCACUCCAAUCUCGAUUAGAGAGACGGAAACCCAAUCGGCCGGGAAAAAAAAAAUCGGAAAGCGAAAGACCUUUAGAACGAUCCCAUCCCGCCGCCAUAAAGAAAAUCUUCCUCCAGCUGAAAAAGAUCCAGCCGUGGAUGGCCGAAGAACACACCUCGCCACGGAAUAUUCAAACAUAUGAACAGACAAAGCCCGCAGCGUAUUCUAGGAACGGCAAUCGUCUCAAUGACGAUUCUUCCGCAUCUAACUCAGUUCUAUUGCGUUUUCGAGAUGACGAUCGAUCCAACGAACACAACGAAAAAUCGAUCCUCCCGCUUCAGGGCCAUGCCAAGCCAAAGCCAAAGCCAAAGCUAAAGCCAAGCCGAGGAAGAAGACGGCAGCACGAGAAGAGACAAAAGGGGGAACAGAACCUCGGCCUCUGAACUGACCUUGCUGCGGCUGCUCGGCCGACGGAGGCAACGGCGGAGCAGGCAGAACUGUAUUGAUCACAGCGGAAGACGGGGAGGACGUCGAGGACGUCACCGUCUUCAGCUUUUCCUCUUCCUCAGCCGGCCCGAGUCUCGCCGCCGGCGCCGCCUCCCCGCCGGCUACCUGCGCUUUUGCGCUCUCCUCCGCCAGCGCAUCGCAGAACGCCCUGUGAGUGAUGAAGCUAUCCCUCCUGCGCCCGAUCGAGAGAGAGAGAGAGAGAGAGAGAGAGAGAGAGAGAGAGAGAGUAGUUAGACGACGGAGGACGGACGNNNNNNNNNNNNNNNNNNNNNNNNNNNNNNNNNNNNNNNNNNNNNNNNNNNNNNNNNNNNNNNNNNNNNNNNNNNNNNNNNNNNNNNNNNNNNNNNNNNNCUCUCUCUCUCUCUCUCUCUCUCUCUCUCUCUCUCUCUCUCUCUCUCUCUCUCUCUCUCUCUCUCUGUCUCCCUCCCUCCCUCCACGUGAUAUACGUAGAUAUAGCCGGCGAGAAUAUAUGCAUAUUCAUCAAUUGUAGCAGAAUGUCGGUAGGCUAGGGGCCCGUGUGGUCCAGUGGAAAGAGUGGGAAGACGCUUUUCGAUGAUGAUGAUGACGAUGAACACGAUAAUCUAGGGCGGAGCAUGUCAUCGUUCAUGUGCAGCUUUUCUCGGUUCUUUGUCUGUUUAAGAAUGUAAAACAGACAAACCUGUUUGAUUCCUCUAUUUCCUCAGGAUCUCAAGUACUACUACUCGAAAAGGAAUUCCCCAGUGGAUCCCAUCGUCCAGAAGCCAUCGCCGCCCCUGAGCAGACAAACCCUGCAACUCGGCACGGAUUCUACGGUCUAUCCGCCAAAUGCACUGAACGGCGGUACGUCCUACCAUCACUACCAGUGCCCCGCUCCCCACCCCACACUCUACAGCAUCUGGGUAAAUGAUGCUUUUGCUCCCUCUACAAUGGCGAUACCAUGUCCGCUCUGGUCACUCCUCUGGGUGAUUGGAUUUGUAAGUGUUGCUGAUUCCCAUUUGUUCAUCUGUCGACCCUAAUUCACCGGACCCACCCUCAUCUAGCGGGAAAGGCCUUGCAAGUGACUUCGUUUGUUCAUCUGUUUCAGAGAUGUUCGAAGUGGGGGGGUUUUACGAGAUCGACCACGAGCAGCUUCUGCCCAAAUCCCCGAUUCACCUGAAAGAUGUCCGCGUCGUCAAGGUUUGUACGUGAGACAUCGCCAGAUGGGUAGAGAUUUAAUGAGGCAAUUUAAUUCCUAGAGUUAAUCCGUUUCUCUGAGAACAUUUCUUCGUUGGGAUCGGCCGCAGGUCAGCGAGAAGACGGGAUUAAAUGUGACUGUCAGUUUCCCCAGCGCAUUCUCGCUGCGCAAGUACUUUGGAGAAGAGAAGAUUCCCGUUGGAGGAGAGGCGACGGCGCCACUGCAGCACCCGGAGCUGGACGAGCAGUUCGUGAUGGGCUUCGACCGUGCCAGCAAGAUACUCCGCCGACUGAUUCCCUCCGCGGAGGUGGAGGGAGAGGUGCAUCUGGAACGCUUCUGGCUAGUGGCUCCCAAGGAGGAGGAUGAACGUGAAUCCAUCCCGCUCACCGCUGUAGCAGACGAGCAGGAGGAGGACGAAGGUGGGAUAAUCCCGGCGGAGUCGUGCCUCCUCAUCCUGAAGCGUUCUGGGGCGGUCGGCUGGGGCGUGCGGCGCAAGAUCAAGUACAUUGGUCGUCACCGGGAGGAGGGCUCGUCGCUGGGGGCUGUUCUCAAGGAAGAAGAGAUGGUCGCGCAGUGUGGGGCCGUUGGGAGCAAGAGGAUACGCGAGAUUGCCCGGAAGAAGAAGAGAAAGAAGGAAGAGAAGAGCUUCAAGAAGGCCAAACUGGACAGGGGAAGGGCAAGCGACCGCAAGGUCUUCAAGGCUCCCAAGGACCGGUGGUCCUCAGAAAGGUUAGCGACCAGAGAUCUUCUACCGUUUCCUCACCCAUCCCCCCUCGCCCUGAUUAGAGGUCAAAGAAGACAAUCCGCGGGGGAGGUGCAGUGGACUGACCGCCUUCUCUCCUUCGGAGGUGCAGAUACCGAGCGGCGGAGCUGAAGCUGUUGGAGAUCAUGAAAGAGAAGGGGGCUGUACUUGGGAACCCCAUACUGCGCCCGGAGCUGAGGGAGGAAGCGAGGAAGCAUAUCGGGGACACGGGCCUGCUCGAUCAUCUCCUGAAACACAUGGCGGGCAAGGUGGUGUCGGAGGGCAAGGAGCGUUUCCGCAGGCGCCACAACCCGGAGGGUGCGAUGGAGUAUUGGCUCGAGGCUGCCGAACUGCAGGAAUUGCGGAGGACCGCUGGGGUGAUGGACCCCUUCUGGCUGCCCCCCCCCAGGAUGGAAGCCCGGGGACACCAUCUCUCCCUACGGCGUCGUGUGCGGGAACGAGGUCGAGCUUUUGAAGGGAGAACUUGACGAUCUCAGAAGGUCUCUCUCUCCCUCUCUCCNNNNNNNNNNNNNNNNNNNNNNNNNNNNNNNNNNNNNNNNNNNNNNNNNNNNNNNNNNNNNNNNNNNNNNNNNNNNNNNNNNNNNNNNNNNNNNNNNNNNCCUUUUUCUCAUCUCUCAUUGGAGCAUUGGGUAUUUUAUUUACAGCAAUGACGUGAAUGCAUGAAGGGGCAGUUGACAUCGCCUUAGAUUUUUCUUGCGUUGGUUAGGUGAUUCUUAUUCUCUUCUACAUUCAUUCACGUCCAAAUAUGUUUUCACAAACACUUUAGUCUCUACAGUAAGUUCUUAGCCUCUACUAUCAAAAACAUCGCCAAUCUUUCCGCUGUUCUCUGGCAACUGUUUACCUGCAUGUGUUGGAGGUGGGAGGCAUUAUCUGAGAUGUGAAACUGGGGAGGCCAGACGCAGCAAGGACAGUGAGCGAGUCCGACGCCAACAGAGACCUUCCACCUCCCACUGCUCACUUUAACGCCCUCAUCUCUAGUUUCCAUGCCAAAGGUCUCUCAACUCAAGACCUCGUUGCACACUCGCGUAUGCGUUCACUGCCUUGAGGGCCCCCCCCCCCCCCCCCAAACUAUUUUGGGACGAGUAAUAUGAAAUGACAUGCAAGAAUAAACCCUAUCCGCCUCUGUUGUCAGGUCCUCACACCGUCGGGCAGGCACGAUGCCCCUCCUUCCGGGAAGGCAUGUACAAGGAAACCAACAUCAACAUCACCUUCGAGAGGCAGAGGUGAUCGAACUGCGGGAAGACCUCAGGCGGCAACAACCAGGUUCCGGUGAACCUGUAGACCCCAACGCCAUUGAUAACAACGAUUUCAAGACCUGAUCGAGAAGAAGGGCCUCCUCCACUCCGACCAGGAUCCGCUCAAUGGUGGCUCCAUCAACGCGCUGAUCUAGGACUAACGCAAAAACCCAGGUACCUUCGCAUCCAACUUGUCGGGAAGAUGAGUGUGCUCUCUUUCUCUUUCUUGCACAGCGGAAGACCGAUGCAAACACACCACGAGAGAGAGAGAGAGCGACGAUUACAAAGAAAACACUAGAUCUACGUGGUUCGGAGAAACUUCCUACGUCCACGGUCGUGCAACGAUUUGUUACUUCAGAUCACCUUACGGGUCUCGGUAACAACUCACAUAGCACACUUUCGCACGCCCUGAUUGCUGAAGAGCUUAUUAGCGCCCACAAAAGCCCAAUAGGAGAUCAUUCUCCGCAAAUCCAGCUUUUUUUGGGAUGCCGCUAAGAUAAAGAUAGGCGACAUCAACCUUGUCACGGGCUUUAGAACAGAGAUCAGAAAGAACUGCGGGAGGAUCAACUAAUAGUUUUUGCCCACUGGUUCUGUCCUAUCGAGGAGCUCUAGUUCAGCAGAGGAUAGUUCAACACCUCGUUUUCUUUGCUCAUUUUUUGCGCGAUUGGAGGUCUUUCUGAAGUACGUUGUCAGGCAACACGAUCUUCAUUUCACGGUUGACAUCAGUUGGUAUAUUGUUCUUUAUCAAGCGUUGUGUUCUCAAUUUUUGUUCCCAAAAAUGUUUCCCCCUCACGAGACUACUUCGGCACGGAAGGUGAAAGGUCGUGAUAAACGGCACGUCGGUCAAUUUUUAAAAAAGGAAAGUGGUCGGCUAUGGGUCAAUGCUAAAGGACCACCUAUAUCGGCAGAUUUUCAGGGUCGACAGAGAUUCGAGAUUCUACCCGAACAAACAGUUUUGGACCACUACUGGAACCCUUACCAGUGUAUCAAUGAAGACGCGGCCGUAUCCUUCGCAGAAUGAACAUCGGGGAACACCUAGUCUAUUAGCCCAGGCCAGGCCACGCUUGGGCCCAAUUCAACGACGGAACUAGAGAAAGGUAACUCCGACGGAUUCCAUUUAGAAAUCCUGAAAUGAAAGCAUCACAUGCGAGUGACUAGUUGUCAACGGGAAACACCAUUCUUGAUCAUUUUUAUGGAAUUGACUUAGGGUAAUGUGGCAUGCGUAAAGGCUACAGUGGCGUCAAUGAGCCGAGUGAGUCUAGAUUUCGUAUGGUCGUGGCCUGAUUUGUAUCUGGAGUGGGCGUCAAAAUUAAGCCCUCGAGGAUGAAUGGGCUGAUGCCUGGUUAGUAUAAAUCCGGGGUUUUAUAGAGCAAAUUUUGGAAUCAUUUUUCUUACGAAAUGUCUACCGCGUGAUCUCUCUCUCUCUCUNNNNNNNNNNNNNNNNNNNNNNNNNNNNNNNNNNNNNNNNNNNNNNNNNNNNNNNNNNNNNNNNNNNNNNNNNNNNNNNNNNNNNNNNNNNNNNNNNNNNAUUGACUUGUGAUCAAAUCAUUAUAUCUCUCACCACGUCUUGUGACAGAGUGUUCGAUUCUCUCAUUGUGAUGACUAAUUACUCAUUUCUUGAAAAGGAUCAUCUGAGUGUUGUUGCAUUGAUGUAUGAGUUACACCACUGUUUGUGUCAGCUCCAUAUCCAAAUGCUCUAGCGCUGCAAUUGCAAUGGGGAGAAAGAGAAAAAUCAUCAGAGAAAAGGCUUGGAAUAAAAAAAAAUCAGAAAUGUCGCAUUAAAAUAGGGAAUAAGGGGAGGCUGUUUUGUCAUAGUCCAUAGUGUCACUGUGAGAGUUGAUUCGACAACACCCUCAACUCACCGUAUUUACACCUACCAAUGAAGGUCCGCAAAUAAUCAGGAUCCUUUAGGGUUCUUAUAACCCUUAACAAGUUAAUAUCUACCCUUCUUGUUAUUUUCCCUUCUUUCUAUAGAAGUACAUUUAACUAGAUAUUGUGGUAGAGAGUGGGGCUAACAAAAUCAUGAUAGAAACUCCCUCACAAUCUUGUAGCAACCAAAUGGAACAUUUAUCACUCAAUAUCCUUUUUCAUGUACCAGCACAACAAAAAAAUCUGACGUUAAAAUACCCUUAAGACUCUGAAUAUUCCACAUUAUUAUUGCCUCUUAAAACUAAAACCUAAUCCAAAUCGUCACUUGGACUACAAAUCUUACAGACAUUUGGACAAAUGGUAAUACGUUUGAUCCUAUGUUUUGAGGGUUUUCUUGAAAUAGUUUGAACCAGGAAACAACAGAUCAGAUUGGGACAACCAAGUAGGAUCAUAGUUGAUUGAUCCUAAACAAGGCUCUUUAAAACUUUUUAAACAAUUUCUUUAAAAUAUUUUUUUAUUUCUAAACGCAACAACCCAAAUCUAGUUUUAUUAAUAUUCCAUCAAUCUUUCACAAAAAUCUUGAAAAAAUUCCUUUUUAAUGUUAUCAUAAGUGAUAUAAACCUUGUCCGACUGAAAGCGUUGGACCAAUUUCAAGUAAUAACCUUGUUGUAAAACAUUUUUUGGGCAGAUCUCAGAGCAAGAUGAUGUGCAGUUGUUUCAAGAAUUCUAUCAUUACACCAAUAUAUCAUUGGUAAUUAAAAUGUUUUUAAUCCUCCAUCUCAUACUAUGAGUCAAGAGGAUACUGGAAACCGUCAGCAUUACCAUCACUAUAACUAUUAAAGGCCGUACAGAAUUCGCCUUUAGAUUUUAUGCCACUUGCAACCCAAUAAAGUUUACUUUGAACAAGUGUAAACUUUCAAAAGGGGGCCAUUUUUUUACAAAAUUAUUCAACCCAGAAGCAGAAACGGUCCAAAGGCGGAACUAAAUAACCCUGCACCCAGCUGGGGUGUGUCAGGGGGUGAGUUGCUGCUGGACGAAGGCCUUCAGAUUCCGAUCGGACGAGCCGCCUUCCUUCACCGCCUCGCGGGCCUUCCUCCCCCAGGCCUCAGCGCUCCGGCGCACGGCCUCCCCGCGCUGCCCCUCGCCCAUGACCAGGUCGAGGCACCGCCGCAGCUCGGCCGCGUCCGGCAGACCCUCGCCGCUCGGCUCGGCGCGUACGCCGGCCCCCCACACCAUCUCUGCCAAGCGGGCGUUGGCCGGCUGGUCCGUCCACGUCGGCAGCCCCACAAUGGGCACGCCGCAGGUGAGGCUCUCCAGCGUGGAGUUCCACCCGCAGUGCGUCACGAAGCAGCCCACCGCGCGGUGGGAGAGCACCUCCACCUGCGAGCACCACUCCACCACCAUCCCCUGCGAGCUCUCCUUCACCCCCUCCCGGGCACCCCGCGCCACCCACAGGUACGGCCACCGGCUGUCCUCCAGCGCGCGGGAGAUCUCCUCCCGCUGCCGCACUGGCAGCACCGUGUAGCUCCCGAAGGAGACGUACACAACCGAGCGGUCCGGCUGGGCAUCCAGCCACGUCGUGUAGCUCUCCCUGGGCGCCGGCAGGAAGAGGUCGCCGCCGAAGGAGGUCUCCUCCCCGUCGAGGCCGUCGGCGUAGGCCGACGGCAGGACCGGCCCUAUGGGGAGGAGCUCCACCGGCUCCAGCACCUGCAGAUAAUCCNNNNNNNNNNNNNNNNNNNNNNNNNNNNNNNNNNNNNNNNNNNNNNNNNNNNNNNNNNNNNNNNNNNNNNNNNNNNNNNNNNNNNNNNNNNNNNNNNNNNCUCUCUCUCUCUCUCUCUCUCUCUCUCUCUCUCUCUCCAACCCCACGUUGAAGAGAUCGGGAGAAACACCCCCCCCCCCCCCCCCCCACCAAAGCUUUCACGAAUUGACUGGAAUUAUAACGGAUAAAUUUCAAGGGUAUGCGACUGCUAUCAGAGAAGGGAAGGAAAUACGCAGAGCCCAAAAGUCCACCCACCCACGCACCCGGCUCAUUCAGGCUUGUUCCUGGCAACGGACAUAUUCUUCCGGUGCGCCCCCCAUUCCCUGCGGCUUUUCUUGCAGGCUUUUCUUCGAGCACUUGGCCGGCGCUACUAGUUAAAGAGAAGCGAGUUCUUGCUUCACUCUCCCAUGGAGGUGGGAGAGCUCAAAGUAUUGAUCUCAGAGUCUUUCCACGGAAUCUCUUCACAUGAACUCCGCCAAAAAGCUUCCAACUCCGCUGGAAAACGCUCGAAUUCCUCAGAAUCACGAGGAAGAGGCUCUUCUUCUUCCCUCUGAGGAAACAAAUUGAAGGGGAGGAGCCACAGGUGCCUGCUCCGUUUGGCAAGAGGGGACCUCCUCGGAAUCCCAGCGGGGAGAAGGCUGUAAAAAUGCCUCUCAGGAGCCUUCGGGAGCUAAUACCGCCAGCCUGUGGGCUGGCAAGGUUGUCCUUCCUCUUACACAGUUGGAAUGCGGACCCAAUUGAGCCCGAGUCAGGCGCCCAUUGGUCCACAGCCUGGCAACGACUCUGGCUCACGCCCACGGACUUGGGCUCGGUGGGCCAGAGCCCGCGGGGUGGGGGUGUGCGCCCCGAGGCCUGGCCGCCACCAGCUGGGUCUGCAGUAGUGUGGAUCUAAUCUGAACUCAACACGGCUGGAUGAUGACCGACGACCGUCCCGAGAUCACAAAGAUGGGAACUUUAUGCCACAUAGGCUGUAAAAAAUCACAUUUUCACGAGACCCCAUCUCCCAUCUCCAUCACUCGCCACCGCUGCCACCGCCGCCCACAACAGUGGUGGAGAAACAGGACGUCGAAUAGUUCGCAGGAAAUUAAAGAAGGGCGACGGCCGCCCGCCGUCGGAGCUUCCAUUCUUCUCCUCUGAGAAUGAGAGAGAGAGAGAGAGAGAGAGAGAGAGAGAGAGAGAGAGAGAGAGAGAGAGUGGAAAGGAGGAGAAAAAUCGAAGAAAUCCGUCCCCCCAGCUUCGAGAUUCUCAGGCGGUGAGGCAAUUACCGUUCGAAAAUAUUCAAGAAGACUUUGAUUCUUCUGGGGGAGGGGGUUCAGAGGUUGCAUUCUAAGCAGUUGCAGGAUUUGGGAGUGAAGGAGCAGAAGCCGAAGGGCCUGUUGGGGAUGUUGCAGUUGAUGGCGUAGCAGCAAGGGGAGGGUAGGCAGAUGCCCCGUGGUCCGCCGCAGCAGGUGCACAGCGCGCAUAUCUGGAAGCUCCCCAGUCGCCGCCGGGUCUCCUCCAGCAAAAGCGCCGCCGCCCCCGGUGCCGCCGCCGCCGGCUUCAUCACCCACGCCUCUUUCUCCGCCGCCGCCUCCGCCACCUGUUCCAAGAAGAAUCGCACCCAGAGGAGGGCGAAAUUUAGAGGGGGCCAGAAAGAAGAAAAGAAGAAAGGGAAGGAUGGGGGGCAGGCAGGCGGCGAAACCCACAUGAGCCGAGCACGAAACCCCGAAGACGGAAGCCGCUGCGAGCACGAGGAGGAGGAGGAGGAGGUGAGACAGAACGCCUCCAGAAGGCAUCUCCGCUCCGGCGCCCGCGGCGGCCCAGAGAAGGGGCGCUCGACUGGUAGAGGAAGAAGGCGGAGUGAGGUGGCACAGCCACUGGCUGUUGCUCCGAGUAGUUAGGGAAGGGAGGAGAGGGGGAGGUCUCGUAUUAAUGGUUAAUUAUGGAGGCGCUUCGGAAAGGGUAAGGGGAGAACGCAGAGGAGGAAGAAACGGGGGCCCUGAGUGGUGAGAAAAAAAGGAAAGAGGUGGUAGUCUGGGAGGAGGUGUCGGCCCACAGCAGCGGUCGCCCCAGCCGGGCCAACUAACACGUGAAGUGCUGACCGAUGGAGAAAGAUAGAGAGAGAGAGAGAGAGAGAGAGANNNNNNNNNNNNNNNNNNNNNNNNNNNNNNNNNNNNNNNNNNNNNNNNNNNNNNNNNNNNNNNNNNNNNNNNNNNNNNNNNNNNNNNNNNNNNNNNNNNNAUUGUCUUUCUUUUGGAUCUGUUCCUUUCAAUGCACUGAAAAAGUCUUCUCAGAAAAGCUCGAGCGCAUUUAUCCGUCAUUUGAAUUUUAUCACGCGUGAGAUGAAAAUAAAAUCCCUCUAAUUCUGUUUGCUGAAUUGGUAGAUCAGUGAGCCUGCACUUCUAUUGGAAUGUCUUCUGCUCGUCCCCAUGCGAAAUUCUUUCUUUUAUCUCACUCAAUUUUUUGCAUGCCCUCAUGAAUUUCAUAUCGAAAUCAACAUCCUAAUCAAUUGGCCCCUCUUAAUUUUUUCGGUUUACUCAUGGCUCGGAAAGGAAACGAUCCGCUUGCUUAUCCACGGUUACCCUUCGUUGACCUGAUUUUCCAUCCAUAAAUAGCUUGAUCCGCGACUGUGCUCAUCUUCUGUUAACACAAAUCUGCGGAUGCUUCAUCCAGAUUUCUCUGGGUUACUUUCUCUAUGACCUGGGGAUGAUUCUUCGGCUAUUCCCGGAUUUAGGCGGCGUUGAGUAUGUAAGUACAGCCGAUUCGACUCCUUGACGAACGACCAGCAUCAUCCCUUUCUGAUUUAUUCAUGCCGCAAUUUCUUGCGCAGGUUGUCCACCACGGGCUCUCCUUGUAUUCUUUUUCUCUCGCCCUCCUGAGCGGCCAGGGGCACCUCUACAUCCUCAUGGUCCUCUUCUCUGAGAUCACCACCCCGUUUGUGAACCUAAGAUGGUGAGCCCCAGCUUCCAGCGCCCUAAUAUCAGCUGACCGCCAUUUUUUUUUUUCUUCACUACGCAAGCAAUAGCCGGGCUUCUUCUGUAGGUAUCUGGACCUGGCCGGGAUGAAAAGCUCCAAGCUUUACCUGUGGAACGGCAUUGCGUUGACUCUUGGAUGGCUGGUGAGUCAGACCCAUCAAACAUUUCCAACUUGAGAAAAUUUCAGACGAAGAUCGAGAGCUCCCUCGGUGACCUGAUCGCCCGCUGUUCGCCGACGCAGCUUGCGAGGAUCGUCCUGUUCUUCUUUCUCUUUGGCCACAUGUACCUCCAUUUCGAUCAGGUAAUCUCGCUCGUUCUGUGAAAAUUAUCUCGCGCGCAUUUGAAUUUCCUUCCCUCCUCUGCGCGGGCCGUGUUGAUGAUCCUCUGCUGGCCUCUUCUCCAGGUGAAGACGAUGUUCACUCUAGGGUUCUACAGCCUCCUCGCCGUGCCCUCCACGUUGGCAGUGAUGAACGUCGUCUGGUUCUGCAAGAUCCUCCGCGGCCUGAAGAAGGCUCUCUCCAGAAAGACCCACGCGCAGUGAUCCAACGGCUACCCCCGUCUCUCUCUCUCUCGCUCUUCAGCACGUGCGGUCACUGCCCCCGCACUCUAUUCUUGGACAGAAGAAAAUCCAGAGGCCUAUUGCCUGCCGCACGUGCAGAGCCUUCGAUCUCCCCCUCGCCCCGCCGCCGAAAUCUGCGAGGAGAGAGAAAGAGAGGAGGAAGUCCACGCAUUUCUCCAUGAGGGGAGGUGGGCAAGGUGGCGCCUUUACUCUUUUGGGUAAUCAACACAUCUCAUAUGCCUUUUGAUCAUGCGACAGUCGGAGACCGCAGCCGCCUUCCUCGUUAGGAAGCGACGGAGGUGGGGGUGGGCGGCUAGUUUUUACUCUUCGGAUUUUCCCGCAUAUUCGUGCCGUCGGCAAGGUGGGACGGCGGUAUUUUGGUCAAUGCCGCCCACCUCAUCAAAACCCUGGAAAAGUCAAAGGGAAGGGGCGGGCGCGUGUCGGCGCAUCCUCGGCCCGCCGCCGGAUUUGGCCUGCUUCCCUCAUCCGGGUAGUGUGAGAAAUCCUUCGGGUGAUGGAAAGCUCCGAACUUUGGCAGAUGGCGAAUGGCUGCAUGCUUUCCAGUAAACGCGAAGAUUUCGAGCCCGUAGGUGGAUGAGGACGCAGCGUUCCUCACAAUUUCGGAAAUAACAUUCUGGAGAGCGACUCACAGCGACCGGUCUAAUCUUGCCCGCUGAAAUCCCUCGCCGCCCCCCCUUCCCCUCUACGAUCUCCUGCCCCUCCAACCCUUUCUCUCUCUAACCCUCUCUCUCUCUCUCUCUCUCUCNNNNNNNNNNNNNNNNNNNNNNNNNNNNNNNNNNNNNNNNNNNNNNNNNNNNNNNNNNNNNNNNNNNNNNNNNNNNNNNNNNNNNNNNNNNNNNNNNNNNGAGAGAGAGAGAGAGUAUUUAUACUAAUAUUUAAUGGACCGACCAUAAUGGCCCACUAAAGACAAGACCAACAUGACCCACUAAACAAUAAAAACAAAUAGCUUAAUAAAGACAAAAUAAGACUUCUUUUGUAUUAAAUAUUAACAGCGGGAAGAGGGACGAAUAGGAAGAAGGGAGGAGGGAGGUGACGUGGAAAACCAAAGGAAUUUAUUUUUAAUAUAUAUUUAACCGCUGAUCAAAUCGAAAAUAUGAAGUGGGGCCCACAUUCUCUAAAUCCACGUGACAGAUUAUCAGAUCACCCACGUCGUAGAAAACCAUUCCUCUCCACGAGUUAUUAAAAUUCAAUAAAAGUGAAGUGCAGUGUAAUAAUGAAAUGCAUAAUUUAUUUUAAAAAAAUUUAAUUAGAGAGGUUAAUAUGUCACAUUUGAGCUGAAAUCGAUAGGAAGAUUAACAGUUGAGGGAGCAAAAGGCAAUUUUAUGUUGUGUUGACUAGUUUUGAUAGUAAUAAGACCUUAUUCAUUAUAAUUAUCAGCUUAUAUUUCAUUUAUGAAAAUUUGUGUUAUAAAUUAACAAAUAAGUCUAUUUUUUAAAAAAUGAAGCUAAUAUCAUAAUGGCUGAUAUUGAAUUUUACAGGUUGACAUAAUUCUUUUUCUACAACUUUUAAAGCAGUAAAAUAAUUCUUAAAUAAAUAAUAAUUUUACAACAUCUAGUUUUUUUAGAGAAUCAAAGGCACAUUAACUCCACAAUGAUGAGAGCCCCCAAUAAUUCCAAAAGUUUAAUAUUUCUCAUCGAGAACAUGGCAUUUUUUUAAGCUAUAUAUUUUAUAAUGAAUCCAACAAAUGUGGAUUUUGAUUGUUAGUUUUGUUUCUAUCGGAUCAUAUUUUAAAAAAAUCUUGUGUUAAAUUGUGCCCUUUUGAUUUUUAGACUGAUUUAAAUUAUUUAAUAAGAUACUAUCAGACAAAGUAUUCAACUUAAACUUUUGAGUUCCUAUAAAACAAAAAUCAAAGAUGGAUCAUCUAGUUGAAAACAUGAAGGACUAUUUUCCUUUAAUCCUUUGUGCAAUUCUGGUGUCAUAGUCUAUUUCGUUUUAUGUACAUCUUUUUUCUUGGAUUAUAGUAAAGGACAAGACAAAAAAAUGUUUGCAACAUAAUAGUUUUCUCAUCUAUUACCAUUGCUUUUACUCUUCAUAUUUUUUACCAAAUAAUGAAGGCAUUCAUCAGCACCUAUGUAUCAAUAGUAGUACAAUAAUAUAUUUUUACUUUAAAUUAAUUUUAUUAUUUUGAUGCAUUUUUUCAAUAUAUUAUGUUCAUAUUAGACAAUAAAGCACGAAUAAACUCAAUAUACAGAGGAAUUUAACAUGAAUUCAACACUGAGAUUAGAAAAUCCUAUAUUUUGCUUAAUGUUCAGAAGAUAAUUCCUAACGAGGAAAAAAUUACCUUGAAUAUAAAGAUAUAAAGAAAAAGCAUGAAAAUUUUUUAAGUAAAUGCUAGUAGUUACAUGGUUUGGGUCCGGUCCAUAACGAUCAUUGAUUAUCUUGAGAUAAUGGAAAUCCAUUGGCUGCUUUCACGGGCUAUCCUGGUGAAGGAAACCCUAUGAACAGCUACAACACUGAGAUGAGCACCACUACCACCAAGACCAUAGCGAUGAUGACGAACACCCAACAACACUACAACAAGAUGAUGCAAACGAUUAGCUAAAUGGGGAGGGAAGGAAGAAAAAAAGGAAAUAAAAAGAUACCCAUCUCUCCAUUUUAGUCUAAAAAUCAAGAAAAUGUCUACUCACAUUCUAGAAAUGGGUAUGUCCAUUUAGAGGUCUUAUUGGUUAAUCUUGCCCAUUUUCAAUGACCCUUUUGAAUCAGACUCCACACAUCGUCACUGACUGAAGAAAAUAGUUAUCUGAUUCUGGUUCCUACAUUUUAAUAGAUCCCCAAGUUGAAUUCUCCUCAACUAGUUCCAAGGGCCAGUGUCAAAAAGGUGGACUGGCAUGGGCUGGGGAAAUCAUAGCAAUAAAACCUGGGCCAGACCACUUUGAAGCUGAGAGGAGAGAGAGAGAAGAGAGAGNNNNNNNNNNNNNNNNNNNNNNNNNNNNNNNNNNNNNNNNNNNNNNNNNNNNNNNNNNNNNNNNNNNNNNNNNNNNNNNNNNNNNNNNNNNNNNNNNNNNAGAGAGAGAGAGAGAGGGUGGCGAAAUGGGGAUGGUGUGCCCAUGUGGGGGGGGGGUGAGCUUGUCCAUUUCCCUUCACCGUUUUUCACUUUUUCUAGAUCCACGUCAGGGCCCACCAGAGCCCAUUAUUGAAGUGGCCCAAACCUGUACGUGGCCCAUUACUUGGACCACAGCCCUCCAGCAACAAGAGUCCAACGCUCGUCAGGAAGAAGAUCCCCCCCCCCGAUCCGCGCACGUGCGUGCGGCGGUAUCGUGUCGCCUCCCCACUGGCCCGUCACCGCCCGCGCCAAAUGGGCUUCAGAAGGCCCAUUUGAAGACCGCCGCGAGUGAAACGUGCCGCAUGGCCAUUGGUCGCGAGCCCUCGGGGAAUCAAUUGGGCCGCGAAGUGGGUGGGCCCAUAUCAAAAGCCCAUUCCCCCCGCAUGUAGUGAGGAGUGGCAUAUAUGUAAUUGAUAGUAUAAUUAUGGGUCUUUAGUACUAUGUGGUCCACCCUUUUCAAAACGGCCUGCUUUCGUCCCAGAAAGGCAAAAACCGCAACGGUACAAAUUAGAGCUCCACGACUCUUGCUGCCGCUCCGCAUCCCCUCCUCUUCCUCGUCCUCUCUCCCUUUCCCCGGUGGUUCCCCCCCCCCCUCCCCACCCUCCACCGUUCUCCACCGCACGGCGCCAUGAACAACCUCGGGGAGGACCAUCCGUGUGGGCUCUUCUGCUACUUCCACCCGAGGGAGACGGUGAUCGGCGUCUGCGCCGCCUGCUUGAAGGAGAAGCUCCUCGUUCUGGCCUCCAAGCAGGGCCGGCUGUCGCCGGCGGGGAGGGGGCACGGGGCCUUCAGCCGAAUCCCCAGCCUUAAGCCCUCCGUCGCCAUGCCGAAGGUCUUCGCCCUGGGUUCCUCCCUCCUCCACCGCCUCGAGUCCCGGCACCAGAAGCCCGGCGAGGACUCCGACGGCGGUUCCAUCGCCAGCGCCGACGGUAACGUCCGCUCGCAGAACAAGGGGCGGAAUAUACUUACUCAUUUAUUCUACAUUCAUCCCCAGUCUCAGCCUAGGAGAUUGGAGAGUUUCUCCGGUGGAGAGAUAAUCGAGACAUGAUAUUAGGUUAUUCUGGGUUUGGUGAAUCUUCGAUCGGAGAGGAAAAUCAGGACGCGCUCGGGUGGUAGAUUAUGGAAUUAUAGAUCUGUUUAGAGUGAUGUUUAUCGCUGGUUUUGAUCCGGCUGAGAAUAGAGUAUGAUAGAUCCGCCGGUCUGUGGGAAGAGAGGGUGUAACUUUACUGGGACUCUCCAUGCAGACUCGUUCAUAUCCAUCAAGUUCGAGGACAACAGGGAGGUCUCCUGGGACAAGAUGGUGGCGGCCGGCGACCGAUGGGGCGGACAGGCCACGCCGGCGGUGGGGCUCGACGUGCCGCGGGGCGCCGUCCGGUGGAGGAAGCGGGUGCGGCGGCUGCUUCAUCUCGUGCGGUGGAAGCGGCUGGCCAUGGCGGGCGGCGGUGCGUGCCACCGCGCAGGGCGAGCCGGCGGAGUGGGCGGCGCCGAGAGGAUGGGUUGGAUACGGAGCCUGACGAGGAGGACGACCACAGAAUAAAGGGCGCGUUUUGGAGGGAGGGAGCAAGGAAGAAGAUGGAGGAGUCUGCAUGGGACCGCCAUCUAGAUACCCCGUUUGUGAUGACCGAGCUGUUCGACCAGUCGACUGACGGAAGGACUUUCUCUCACUUCUAAAGCCGUGCACCAUCUCUCUCUCUCUCUCUCUCUCUCUGUAUCUCUCCGGAUCGCAGUGGGGGGGGGGGGACGACACCCACAUGGGGGGGCUUGGAAAAGGGGGUGCAGAAUGGGGGAGGGUGGGUGCCGUCUCCAGCCUGUAGGUGGAACAUCGCCAUCCACAUCGAGCGGGGCCGCCGCCGCCGAACCCUUACCUCACCGCCGGCGGAGGUCGACCAUGGCGGCACGGACCUAGACCUCCCGGACUUGCCCAGUCCCUCAGUCGAACCGGAUUCUCGUCGACCCACCUCAAAGCACAGGAAGACUCGCGGUUUCUUAAAGAAGAUAAAAAUCUCCAAAUCGUGUCUUCNNNNNNNNNNNNNNNNNNNNNNNNNNNNNNNNNNNNNNNNNNNNNNNNNNNNNNNNNNNNNNNNNNNNNNNNNNNNNNNNNNNNNNNNNNNNNNNNNNNNGAACUCUGGAGUUAAGUGAAAAAGGUGUGCUUGCACCUCCCCUCAUCUUGAAAAAGGUCCACUUGCACCUCAUUCACCGUGGCCCUACCAUGCCUUGAAAAUGGUGCUUGCAUCACCUAGCCCCUAUAAUACACCCACACUACCCAGCCAUUGAUGGUGCAUUGAUUGGUGACGUGAAUUAAUCGUUCUAUAAUAAAUCACAUAAAUUUAAAAUUUUUAUAAAACUAGAAAGGACUAAUUCUUGGAAUUUUAAAUGUUUAUUAGAGUGAAUAAAUCAAUUAUAAAUCGAUAAAAGAUUCCAAAAAUAGUGAGAAAUUUUCAAGUCGAUCAUAGGGAUGUAAUAUAAUAUCAGGUAAUAUUUCAGAAUUUUUUCGAAGGAAUAUGAUUUUUUAUGAAUUUUUUAACUAAAUGAUAAAUAUAAUCUAUUUAAUAAAUGCGAAAAGGAAAUAAGGCAAUGAUGUCAGGUGACGUCAGCGCCUGAAGAACACGAAUCGGGCGAAAAUAGAGUUCCGACCUACAAUUCUUUCAUAAGCGAUUACUGUGAAAUUAAUAGAUCAAAUUUAGUUCUAUAAAAGCCCGAAGAAUCAUAACUCAAGUACGAAAAAAUUUGGAUGUUGAAAUCGUGUCAAAUAUUACUAAUUUAAGUGAAAAUAAAGUUUAAAAUAGGAAAAAUAGAGUUCCAACUUCACGGCGGCAAUUGCUAGAAUUCUACAUGUUUAGAAAAGAAAUUGUGCAAUGUCCACGGCCUCGAAGGCUCUCCUUAGACAAAGACGAUGUGGGUGAUCUCUAGAACUUCUUUCGAAGCCCAGAAAUCGGUGGAAUGGAUCGCCAAAUUGUUUCCGGCAGCUGUCACCCGGCGGAACGGAAAAACGGCGACUUGCGGCCCUCCGGCGACUGUCACUCGACGGAGGUGUGCUGGAUGGAGGUGGGGCGCGUCUCAAAGGCUUCGUCCUUAAGUCAGCGCAGCGAGAGGAGGCCCUUUAUCGCAUCUGAUACGCUCUCAGGAGGUGGCGACUCGUCUCCCGGCGGAUCGUCCUCUUCCCGGUGAUGGCUUGUUCGUCGAUCAAGCGGAGAUGAUUUCUUCGUUGAGUUCGCGAUGUUUUGUCCAAAAUCCUACACCAAUUUCGGCCACAAUGCUCCGCGAAUCGCAUUGACUAAGUUUUUGCUGAAUUUUUGGUGAUUUUUGCAGCUUAAUCGCUCUCCGGAAAUCGCGAUUUCUUUGUUGGUUGUCCGCCUGUGAGAGAGAGAAAGAGGGAGAGAUGAAAUAAGUACUAAAAUGCCCUCAAUCUAUGAUGUCAUAAGGAUCAUUUUAUAUCGGUCAUUGAGGGGCAUUUAUGUCAUUUAUAAAAUAUGCGGGAAAAAGUAAGGUGCGUGGUUUAGUCCCACAUCGGUUUUCUGGGCGAGUUUCACGCGCAUAUAUUACGGGCGAUUCUUUACCCAUCAAUAGGUACAAAUCACCUGUGUGUGUACGAACACUCCUUGCCCCACACUCGGCUGGCCACGGGUGAUGUGGAAGGGGAGUGACGCACACAUCAGCUGCUUGAGCGCCUAGCUCGCGGUCCGCUUUGCCAGCCGCUUGAGCCUCGAGCUCGUGGUCUGGUCCUUAGCCGCUCGAGCCUAGAGCUUGCAGUCCUUAGCCGCCCAGCGGCUCUGCCCGACUAGGCCUCUGACCCGCUAGCGGGCUCGGUUGGCCAGCGGAUAUUUUUACUUUUUCCAUAAAUAUAUUUUUUUUCAUUUCUCUCAACAAAAUAAAAUUAUAAAAUCAUAUAAUUAAGCAAAAAUUCAUAUUAAUCAACUAGAAACUACUUCUCACGAUUUAACACAAAAAUAAGUAUAUUUAUCAUGAGUUAAGACUAAAAACAUCAUUGUUGGAAUUAAUCGUAUCUGAUAUGCUCUCAAGAGGUGGCAACUUGUCUUCUGGCAGAUCGUCCUUCAUGAUAAUGAAGGCUUUGCAUCUUUCUUAUUAAGCAAAUAUUUUAAUACUGCAUGGUCAGUAUAAAUGAUGAUUUUAGGUCCUAAAAUAUAUGAUCUAAAUCUUUCUAAUGAAAAUACUACNNNNNNNNNNNNNNNNNNNNNNNNNNNNNNNNNNNNNNNNNNNNNNNNNNNNNNNNNNNNNNNNNNNNNNNNNNNNNNNNNNNNNNNNNNNNNNNNNNNNCUCUCUCUCUCUCUCUCUCUCUCUCUCUUCCCAUGGGUACUUCUAUAUUGCAUGUAUGUGUGAGUGGGGGAAUGUACUACGACUAAGAACAAUGACGAAGCCAUAUGAGACCCGCAAGGAAGAUAAGAAGUCAACCGACCCAGUCUUCUAUCCUACGAAAGAAGGCCAUAGUUUAUCAACUAUUAAAAGCCAAGUUUCUCAUUCUUCGAUAAAAACCCAUUUCAUGUCACAGAUAGAGAGAGAGAGAGAGAGAGAGAGAGAGAGAGAGAGAUUCUCCAUGUCUGAUUAAGCUUUAAUGGCCCACGGUGACAGACAGAGAAACAUGCCUGGUUUCCUGAAGGUGGGUACGCAGCGUACAGCAGCCACUCUUCAUCGAUGAGGAGGGAAGCAUGAUUGCGGGUUGAAGAUACGAAAAUGCCACCGGGCCAGCGCAUGGGAGCGCAGGGAUCUGACCAACCACGGGGGAACAACAGAGAGAACGAGUGGCGCUUCUGUCAACUUGUCCAAUAAUCGUCUUCGUCACCCGCCCUCCCCCGCCUCGAAGCCUGAUUGGGACACUCGGAAGUGGAGGAACCGGCGCCACCAUAAAGCCACCGGCUCUGCGCCCAUGGAUCCAGCUUGGAAGGGAAAUCUAGGCGGAGAGAGAAGAUGAGAGAGAGGCCACGUUAAGUUUCUACCGGGUUUCAGGGCCUCCUUCGCCUACGUACCGAGGGAAAUUAUCCCUCAUAGAGAGACCAGAGCUCCUCUCCAAUGGCCGCACGAGUUGCAGAGGAGCCAGAGCCCCGGAUGAGCGAGGUAAGGCAGCCUCUUCCCCUUCUUCAUCCCAGCUGUGAUGGCCUGCGCGCUUCCGCAUCAGCCAAUGCAACUCCUCUACGAUACAGAGAUCAUGGACGGAUAGACCAGGCCGGGGGUUCCCUCAGUGGCCUCUGAUUGAAUCUGAUAGAACGCCGCUUUAAAUGACUAACUUGGUCUUUAUGGAACCGAAAUCUCAUCUACCCUGUUGUGGAAAACCUCGGAAGAAACUCAAAAACAUUAGCGAUUAAUUGAUCAUGGUUUUUAAUCUUUCAGAGCUCAUCAGAAGCGGCCUUGGAACGUGACCGAAGCACAGCAAAUUCAGCUCAAGAACUGGCCCACUCGAUGCUUGAAGUGAAACCUUCAGAGCUGACACGCCUGACUGAAUCGGGACCGGCCGCCGCCGAACCAGCUGCUGGAGCUGAUCUUUGUGAUGUGCCGGCCUCUGAACCUCCGCCGGCACCAGAAGAGCAUGCUUCUGUAUCUACCCCCCCGCAGAAUGAAGAUGCUGAAGAAGAGAGAGACCGCGAAGCCUCUUCAGAAGAGCCCACUGAAGAGCGGAGCACAGAUGAUCAGGAAGCCCCACCUACGAUCCAUUCCGGGACUGGCGAGCGGCUCAUUCCCGAGGCUCCAAAGCCAGAACAAGAACACUCAGAUGAAGAUCCAAGACUAGGCCAUGACACCAAGGUUCCUGAAGCUAUAGAAGCCGCCGGUGAUGAUCGGGCUUCAGGGAAGGAAGCUCUCGACGGCGGCGAGGCCUCCCUGCAUCCCGAAAGCUUGCUUCUCAGGGAGAACCAAGACACCGCCAUCUCACUAACCGAUGAUACUCCAAAAGAAGAAGCUACAGCCGACGAUUCUUCUCAGCAGUCUGCAGAAGGCCACCGCCUACAGAACGAACCAGAGCAUGACGAUCCUGCUCCACCUAUCCACGAGACAGUGGAAGAAGACCAGCUUCACAAAGCGCUGGAUCCAACUCACCUGGACUCCCAGGUCGACGACCACCACAACCCAGUGGAGUCGGAGCACUACGUUGAAGAAAGCUCAAAGGCCAGGGAUGCCGGCUCUCCAGCAUCCCAGUCCAGCGAACAGGAGGAAGACGGACCAUCAACGACACAACCUCCAGAUGCCCAAGACACAAAGGAACCUCCAAAGUCAAACGACCCAGGUCCUGACCGUACGGAGGCCCUUGAAGAUGCCCAUGUGGAGGUCGCCCCACAGAGCCAGGAACGAGAAGGUGAGGACCUUGACAGUAACCUGGCANNNNNNNNNNNNNNNNNNNNNNNNNNNNNNNNNNNNNNNNNNNNNNNNNNNNNNNNNNNNNNNNNNNNNNNNNNNNNNNNNNNNNNNNNNNNNNNNNNNNCUCUCUCUCUCUCUCUCUCUCGCUCUCUCUCUCUCUCUCUCUCUUUCCACCUCCCUUGCAAGGAUUCUAUCGAUGAAUUGGCCCAAGAUCCUUAAUUUUCUCUAUUAUUUCCAGGAAAUUGUAGAGAAGGAGGCGCCUGGGCUGAUGAAAGAGGCGGAGAAAUUUCUGGUUCUGAGCAACAUUGAUCGACUCUGGAAGGAGCAUCUGCAAGCGAUCAAAUUCGUACAACAAGCUGUCAGCCUGCGGGGAUACGCACAGAGGGAUCCCCUUAUUGAAUACAAGCUCGAAGGUUAUAAUCUCUUCCUGGAAAUGAUGGCCCAGAUCAGGAGAAAUGUGAUAUACUCCAUCUACCAGGUUUGCUCCUUAUUUUGAAUUUUUUUCUUUGCCCAAUAUCAGGGAUGUUUAUUUCUAAUUUAUUUAGCUUGGGAGAAAAUAAAAAAAAUCUCCCCUGGGUCUUUUCUAUUUCAUCUACCACCAUGAUUCCAUUUGAUCCUGAUUUUCUUUUUCCUGUGAGGCAUUUCGAGAGUCAUUUAUUUCCAAUUUAUUUCUCUUGAGAAAAUAAAUGAAUAAACUCUCUCCACUAGGUAUUUUUUAUUUUGUUCUUUUCAACCUUAUAAUGAGGAGAGCUUUGAUAAAUACUUAUUCGAAUUCAUUUUUUUCGGAAUAUAAUUAAAAUAGCUUCGUCAGAUAUUUUCCGCUCUUUUUUAUUCCUGCUUAUCAUGAGACUUAGAGGAUCCUUUAUUCCUAUUUUAUUCAUGUUUAGUAAAAAUCUCUACCGAAGUUUUUCAGUUCUCUUCUUUCCCAAUUUAUUCACAUUCCAAUAUAUUUUAUUUUUUAAGAAUCUGAAUAAUAAACAUCUACUGAAUCUUAUCAGUUUUAUUCUUUCCUAAAGAUACGAAGAGAGCUUUGAGAACCAUUUCCCAAUUAACUUAAUUUUUUUUACUAGAGAUUGACAAAAUAUCUUCUCCGAGUCUUUUUAAUUUCCUGUCUUUUGCCGAAUGUCAAGACUCUGAGAUCACUUUUUUUCCUAUCGAUUUAUUUUUUUUACAGACACUAAUAUUUCUCCGCCGGAUAUUUCCUUUAUCAUUCUUUCCCAACACAUCAGAAUAACCUUGCCAUCCCCCCGCCUCCAAUAUAUUAAGAACGCACAAGCCAUCAGGAUGAGAGCUUUGGGAGUGUAUUUCCAUAUUCAUUUAUUUCUUCCGCAAAAAUAAUACUUUUAAUCUCUAAAUAUGGAAACUUCGCCGAUGGGUCCUCCCUCCAGUUCAAACCCGUGAUGGUCCAGAAUCAGCCGCAGCAGGACGACAACUCCCGACGAAAAGGGUCGAAGAGGAAGGGGAGCAACAGCGGCGCCGGCGCCGUGGAGGCGGCUCAAGCUUCUUCAUAGGGCCCCCCUUUUUUUCGUUUUCUUUUUAUUUUUCUAAUUCCAGGGUGGAAACUCCGGAAGAUCAUCGAAGGAUGUAUUUUUCGUUCAUGUAUUUAAUUUUGUUUAUUUUAAUUUUUUGGAUGCCUAAAUGAGGAGAAUGUGGGGUUAAUUUUCCUCAAUUUUGUCUUUAUUUUUAGUUUCUCUUGUUGAAAUUUCCAUCCUUUAGAUCGAAGGAUGGAUUCGUGGGCUGUGGUUGGUGAAGCCAGGGCUGGAAUAUAAUGGGCUCUAAGUUGACCCGGUCAUCGUGUGGGCCGAGCCUGAGAUUGGAUAGGGUCUGACUCUGACGUUUGGGGUUCAUUUUCCUUCCACGUGGCUACCCUUCAUGUCUUUGCUCUUAUCUCUCUCUUUCCCUCCCUCUCUUUCUCUUCUCUACAUUGACAAUUCAAAAUUUAAAAUUCACUUAUUGGGUUUCUCUCCCUCCCCCCCCUCUCUCUCUCUCUCUCUCUCUUACAUUAUUAGGGGUUUUGGGUCCAAUUUGGCAUGCGCUUUUACACAGAGAAUUCAUAAUUAUAAAAUUCACUUUUGGUUCGUCUCUCUCUCUCUCUCUCUCUUAUAUAGUUAUUAUGGGUUUUGGGUCUAGUUUGGGCAACCACUUUACAGAGAAUUCAUAAUGGAUAAAAUUCNNNNNNNNNNNNNNNNNNNNNNNNNNNNNNNNNNNNNNNNNNNNNNNNNNNNNNNNNNNNNNNNNNNNNNNNNNNNNNNNNNNNNNNNNNNNNNNNNNNNAUGAUGACAUACCUUUUCAAAAUCAUAUAUCAAUAACAGAAACUAGUACUUAGGUUGCUUAAACUAGAUUGUAUAUAUCUGAAUCCUAUUAUUUCAAUCAAAGAUGGGUGAUCAUUCAAUGCCACUCAAAUAAGACUAACCAUAUAUAUUCAAUAAAAUACAUAAAUUAAGUACUAUUCCUUCAAAGUACGUUUAAUAAAUUCUCGAGAAAUUAUUUAGCCACAGUAUAUUGAAUCAUAUAUGGACACUUUCAUAUUUAGCUUGAUAUCAACCAUAUCAGAGAACUGAAAUAAUUUAAUCCUUUAUUUAGCCUUGGAAAGAGUGUCAUAAUUGAAAUAUCAAACAUUUUAUGUUCUUAUAGCCACUUGACUAUUUUUAGUCUUAGAGAGAAUUUUUAGUUUAUUAUCAUUUAUUUUCGUAUAAUCCACAAGAUUAACAUUUCUCAAGCCACUCAAAUAUUCACUAGAAUGGCCACCUAAAUUUUACCUAAUGCAUGCAACAUGAAAAGCUUGAUCUUGAGCAUUAUAAAAUUAUGUAUUUGUAUAUUUUGUUGAUCCCAAAUUCUUCUCCUAUAAUAAGCCUUUUUACUAUACUUAUUUUUCUAUUUUAUCAUAUCUCCUUAAUCAAAACUAUUUUAUUCUCUUGUACUUUAGUACUGACAUUUAGACUUUGUAAACUUCAAAACAUCCUAUUCUUACAACUAUUUGUGCCAAAACUUGAAUUGAAGCUUCUGAAUUCCACAAUUGGAUCGAAUCAUUAUUUUAAAUUUACCAUUUAUCUAAAUAAGUACUGAUCCACUAGUUUCAAAAUGCUCUCUAUUAAAACAUAACUAUCUUACCAUUUUUCUGAUUUUCUUGUUGUCUUGAUGUAGAAGAUAUUUAAUGGAAUCUAUCUAGAACUACUUAAAACUGAUAACUACUACAUAUUAAGGUUAGUUCAUCGUUUAAUUCAUUAUACAGAAAUUUACAUGAUAUUUGUGACUUUACCAUAGUUAGCUAAUAAUCUUUUACCACCAAGCAUUCCUAAGGUAGAGAAUUACUUAAUCUCAAAUAUUAACACCUUAAAUUUGACUAUUUAUAACACAAUGAAAAGAAUGAUAUGCAUAAAUGAAUGUGUAGAAUGUUUGACACAUACAACGAACACAUGCAAAAGUGUCAAUCUUACGUAUUCACUUAUCAGAAAAUUUUAAUUCAUAAUUUAUUGAAACAAUAGACAUCAAGAAGUUAAAAAUUAUUAUAGUUGAUUAAUAGAAAGGAUGAAUCAGGAAUACAAAAGUGAAUCAUGAAAAUUUUCAUCAUUAGCUCAAUAAGAGAAAUGGAUGAUCUCACUGACACUUAAAAAGAGAAAGAUCAGAAAGAUCAGACUACGUUGAUGUGCAACUAUUCUCUAAAUUUGGGAACAAAUAGUUUUUGAAAAAACCUGAAAGUUUCUUACCUUAGUGAACGAUAGUUUGGAAGAUAAAAUGAAAUAUUUUGAGUGGAGAAAGGGCAAGUCAUGAAUAGUUACAGGAAAAGGUGAAAAAAGUGUGUAACCAAUUAGACUUCAAUAACAUGUAGAUAAAACUUUAUCAACCACAAGACAUAAGCAUUAUCUCAUGACAUCAUUAAAUUGCAAAUUGAAUUCAAAAAUCUGAGGGAAAAAGGAAAUGGUGACCAAGCAAAGGAGAAAGAGCAUAAGUAAAAAAAGAGAAGGAAACAUAGGUUUUUUUGAAAUUCAAGAGAAUCAAAAGAAAUUAGCGGAACAACCUGGUACCCAACAGGUAUACAUGAAUAAUGAGGGCAUAUGAUAAUACCAAAAAACUUAGGGAAAUCAAACCCUAAGCCCUGGUGAAUAAACUCAUUAUAUUCCCGUGCACAAAAAUAAUAAGACUUGAGAGAUCACUACUUCCAAGCACAUUCAUUUUAUCUGUCUAAAAGAGCAUAGAAAAUUGCUAACAAAUAUUCAAAAAUAUAUUAGUAUAUAUUAAAGAACAUUUGGAGUAUUAUGUGUCACAUUACUGAAAGUGUGAUCCUCGUACUCAUGACACUUUUCAAACAACAUGAUCAAUGAAANNNNNNNNNNNNNNNNNNNNNNNNNNNNNNNNNNNNNNNNNNNNNNNNNNNNNNNNNNNNNNNNNNNNNNNNNNNNNNNNNNNNNNNNNNNNNNNNNNNNAAGACUAUCCAUCGAUCUACUUAACCUAUACUUGUGUUCUAACUUCUCAUUAGAGAACAUCGAAUUGAACCACCAUUUUUCCAUAGAGUCUUCCCGCCCCUUAUUUGAAAAUAUAAUAGAUGAAUAGUCAUUCGAUAAAUAAUUAUUUUACUAUUGGAUUUCGGAUUUCGUAUCGGAAUUAAGCAUAUGGAUUCAGCCGUUUUGUUUGGACCGUUAACUAAUAUGAAUAAGUAUUUUAUUUCCUCACAUACUUAGGGACAAGGCUAGUUAUUGGCUAUCUAUAUUAGAUAGAGAAUUGACUAAUUGGAAAGACAUAAAAUAAACUUUUCUCCGAAAAUUUUACCCCUUAGGAAAAACUCAAAACAUGAGAAAAAUUUCAUAUAUAGAGUUUUGCUCAAAAGGUCAAGAGAGAUUUUACAUGAGACAUGGAAAAAUUAAGAGAUUUACUUAGAAAAUACCCUCAUCAUGUUAUACCUAAGUGGUGGCUCAAUAGAUUUUUUUAUGAUGAAUUACUAGAACAACAUAAGAAUAUUGUUGAGUCUAUAUGUGGAGAAGCAUUUAUGGAGAAGACCCCUAAUGAGAUUUACAGCCUUUAUAAGAAUUUAAGUGAAAAUUCGAGAGAUCAAACCUCUUUUGAGUUAUAUGACAAGGAUAAGAGGAGAUAAAUGUAUGAAUUCUAACAUCAAGAUGAUUCUAAUUUAAGAAAUAAGGUUAAUAAGAUUAAUAAAAAAUUAGAGAAGAUUAAUUUAUUUAUUGACAAUUUUAAGAAGUUUCAUAAUCCUCAAUUUAAUUCAAAUAAUUCAUAUUCUAUGUAUGGUGAAAAUGAUAAAUCCAAAUUUCACUAUUACAAUUUAGAUCAAUCAUUUCAACCUAUGCAAGAACAAGUGUAAGUAGUCCACAAUUUUAAUUUAAAUAGAGAGCUUUUUUCUAAUUCCUAUAAUCAUAAUGGGAGGAAUAAUUUUUCAUAGAGAGACCCAAAUAAUAUUCAAAAUCUAGAAGCACUUAGGCCCAAUUUAAAUUCUAAAUUUUGUCGAAAAUUGAAAAACAUAUUUCAGAAACUUUAGCCCCCUUAUACUCAACUUGAUGCUAUGAAAAUGAUGCAGCAAAUGAGUCAAAUGAUGUAACAAACUAUGAAUCAAAUGAUGUUAUAGCAAAAACAAAUUAUAGAGGCUCUUUGGAAUAUGAGAGAAGAGAGACAACUACUUAGUAAGCCCAUAGAAAAUCUAAAAAAAUGCCCAACUAUAGGAUUUUAGCAAGGGGAGUUGUCUAACUAUUUUCUGUCGUUGCUAAGAAAAUUCAGCAAAUUUAAAAUUUAUAAAUUCUGGAAAAUAAGGGAAUUCUUAAUAGAGAAAUAUUUUUUAGUGGAUUUUCCAGGUCGAUCACAAGGAAGAUGAAGUACUAUUAAUUAUUUAUGAUUUUUAAUUGAUAUAUUAUUUUUUUAAAUUAUUUUCUGGCCAAAUUAUAACGAAAUAAGCUAAAAUUACGAAUUUGGGGGUUAUUGACGUCAGCUGACGUCAGCAUACGAAGAACAGCCCCAAACUCGCUGUCAAUAAAAAUAUGUCGACACGUAAAUGAAUCAAACCAAAGCCACAAUGAUGGAAAUAAGAGAUUAAUAGAAAAGGGCUAUUGUUUGAAACAUGAUGAAGGAUCGAAAGAUGUAUUAUUGGAAGCUAAAAAUAGUAAAAAUGAACAGAAAUUAAAGUUUACGGAAGAACUGGGCGGCGCAGUCGUCGAUCGGAUUUCCGCCCAAAUACGAUCGAUUUGUGCAGGCUCGGUGCACCGAUUGGUUUCCUACACCUUCUCCAAUCGAUGGUUGACAAUCCCAGCAAUUGUCACUUGCUGAAAUCGAGCAGCGAAGGUGAUUCAACUCCGAGCAUGCUGCGGCGUCCGGAGAAGGAUCCUCGGAAGAAAUUCUUCACCGUUUGUAUCGGGUGAAGAAUGGGGAAGAUUUAUGGAAGAAAUUCAGCCUCUGUAGCAGUUGAAUGAGGGGGAAAUUUGGACGAAAUCCAUCUUUUGUAUCGGAUGGACGGAUUAGGCAAAAUCCGGNNNNNNNNNNNNNNNNNNNNNNNNNNNNNNNNNNNNNNNNNNNNNNNNNNNNNNNNNNNNNNNNNNNNNNNNNNNNNNNNNNNNNNNNNNNNNNNNNNNNAGAACUCAAGGAUCAAGCUAAGGUCUAGAAUUAGAAUGAGAUUAGGGUUUCCAUCAUUGUCCAUAGUCUUUUUCCUUCCUCCAAGCCAUCCCAAGCUCAACAACCCUCCAAUUUUAGGACUAGAUGUAUAAGACUAAACAAUGAGAAAUCUGUUAUCAUCCCUAAUCUCCCCCUCUCUAAACAAUCUUUGACUCUAGCAUACUAGUCAAUCAAUCUGUGUGAUGCUGAAUUUAAUCUUGAUGGAACCAUAUUCUCACAAGAGAUUACCAACAACAUGUUCUUCUUCUUCUUUCAAUCCUCAAUUUUGAGGGUGAUAUGUCAUAAUUUUUUGUCAAUCCUAUGGUCUUGAGGGCAAUCUAUAUUUGUCUAGCUAUUUAAUUUCUACAAUCCUAUAUUCAUCCCCAAGACAAAGUAGAUUGGAAGCAUUUUUUUUCAUAAAAUUCAUAGCAUAUUUAUCAUCAACAUCACUUUAUCAAAUAUCUACUUUAUAAAUUCUCAAAAAGGGAACAUUAGUUAGAUAUAUUUUUUCAUCCUAAGUUUCAAGGCUUCUUUCAUUAUGUUCUAACUUAUAGAUCACUCAAUGAAAUCUUCAAGUCUAUCUAUUGAGAUGAUCCAUCAAAUCCAUAUUUCUUGCACUAUUCAGAUUAUCCAAGUUCAAUCCUAGAUCAUGAAAAUUAGCUUUAAAUAAUAAUACUUCAUAAAUUAGUGUUACAAUUAUUGAUGUUAUUCAUUCUCUAUAAAGAGCAAAGUUGGAUUUAUUGAUGGUCUACUAUCACAGCCAACUAAUGAAGAUCUAUUCUUUUAGCAUGGAUUUUAGCAUAAUAAUGUAAUUAUCUUUGAAUUUUAAGUACAAUUUCUCAGGAAAUAUCAGGCAACAUUGUUUUUUCUAAUUCUACACAUAAUAUUGAUCAAAAUUUAGAGCAAUAAUAAUGCUCAAUUACAUCAUGAAAUGAUUCAUCAUUGUCAAUGUCAAGAUUAUGCUAUUAUAUAUCACACCAAAUUUAAAACUCUUUGGGAAGAUUUAAAUGACUUUUUUCCAUCAUUUUUUUUUAAAAAAUUGUGUGGAAGUAUGAAAAAACUUAGUAAUUACCUUUAAAUAUAGUAUGUGAUGUUUUUAUUGAUGGGAUUGAAUGAUUUAAUAGCUCAAUUUUGAGCUUAAUUACUACUUCUUGCUUAUUUUUUUCAAUUGUCUCUUAAAAGGAAUUUUCAAAGAUAUAUUAACAUUCAAUUAAUCUUUGCUAGUGACACCUCUAAUGCUAUGCUCUUUGUUACCAAAUCUGCAACUCCUAAUAAUUUUAGAAAUUUUUGAAAAUAUCAAAAUUAUACAAAAGAACAUUGUCAUUACUUUCAUGAUGAUUUAUGUCUACUAUUGACAAGUUCCUUCGUUAUUUAUUAUAUUAUAGAUCAAAGUCAAUUUUUUAAAAUCAUUAGUAAAUCAAGUUUUUUAAAAUAUUUAUUUGAGUGCACUAGGUGAUUGAUAACUUGUAAAAAUUAUAUGUUAAUGUGUUAUUAAAUCAGGGAGAAUAAUGCAUAUUUGAGAAUUAUUUCACAAGUUAUCAUAUUAAUUAUUUUACUUGUCAUUUUGAUGAACCUCCUUAAAUCUUGAUUUAAAAUAAUAUUUUAUGAAUAAAAAGAAAAUUGAUGAAAUUUAUUUCAUAUGUUAAAGCUUAAUUUUCAUUUACUUUAUUUUGAAAUAAAAUCCUAUUGUGUUAGAUUUUUAUGAUUAACUGAAAUAUAUUUUCUAUAAUUUUUUCAAAAUUUUUAGUAUUAAAAUAAAUAUAAUAAAUGUUAUAAUAAAAGAUAAAAUAGGCGUACCAUUAGCCGCCCGGAGGCACGUCACUUAAUAGGCCUAAUGCGAGCUGGAGGCCACACCGCAUCUAGGAGUGGGCCCAAUGGGGCACACUGACUCACAACCCGUGUAAAUCGGGUCGCAAAUUCGAAUCAUGGGUUGAGGUCGAAUAGAUCACCUCUAAGGCCUACUAGGAGCCGGAUCUCAAUCCGGAUCAUCCCUGAGAGCUGGUAGUCAAGUCCUGUCAUCCCUAUAGGAGGUGNNNNNNNNNNNNNNNNNNNNNNNNNNNNNNNNNNNNNNNNNNNNNNNNNNNNNNNNNNNNNNNNNNNNNNNNNNNNNNNNNNNNNNNNNNNNNNNNNNNNCCUACUCUCUCUCUCUCUUCUCUCUCUCUCUCUCUCUCUCUCUCUCUCCCCCCCCCUCUCUCUCCCUCCCUCCCUCCCUUUCUCUCUAUGGGUUUGAAGGCUAUUAAGAAAGCCGAUGUAAUGAGAUCAUCCCAACUCAGGUUGAUGCAAUAUUAGGCUUAAAAUUAACCAUUUAUUGGCCGAUAAAGUUAGGCCAGGGCCAGGUCUCAUUGACUGCAGGCCAGGGCGCCACCAGCCAGUGCAGCAACCAAUUUAUCCGCCAAUGUUUUUUUGAAGUUGGACUGGACCAAAAGCCAAUUGUGGCGAAUGGGCCAGGCCCAAGUCCCCUCAAAUGCAGCCCAAUUGGGCCGAAAGAGAUCGUAGAAUUGGUCUGGGCCCAAUCGAUAUAGGGUGACUCACGUGCGAAUGAAAGUCGAAAUGUGAUAUAUAUUCAAUUUCAUAAUAUCUAGGGUUCAAACUACAAUUCACUUCAGCUUAGGAUGGACAAAAUUAAUGGGUAUAAUGAUAAUUAAAUUUAUAAAAUGUGUUUUUCACAAUUACAAAUCACUUCAGCUCCUAAGCAGCUCCACUCUAUUGCAGCCCAAAAUAUGACACGUGCACAUAAGCAUGGCGAUGAUUUACUCGGCCCAAUUAAAAUGGGCCGGCCCAACAUUACACUAGGCCGGGUCCAACCUAAAAAUUGGGUCGCUGCCUCAUAAAAUAGACUGACAGUAGUCGCCGGAUUUCUAUUUUUUGAAAAAUUAAUUAAUUAAAAAAUCGCCAUAAAAUCCUCAUCAUUAAUUAUCUGAUUUACUCGCCCUCUUAUCUCUCUCUGGGGGCAAUAACGGGCCCACCACGAAACUUUUUUAUGGGCUUUGACUCGGACUCGGACUCGGACUCGGGGUGGGCAUGGCCGCCUCGACUCGUCGACACGUGUCCGCUGCGCGGCCGGCAACCACAUUAACUCAGAUCGUUCAACCGUACAUUCACGUCAGGGCGAGUCGGUGAACGGAACCAAAAAUAGUCAUCGCGGUGACGCCACGCGCUCGCUGCGGAUCUUGGCUGUCUUAUUAGCAAGGGGUUGGGUCUAUCGGUAACCAACCGGAUCCGAUUACGGGUGUUGGCCCACGUGGCAGAAGACGACAAAUAUGGUGGGGCCCGCCUUCCUCUGCUGCAACUCAACUCGGCCAUACGGCCUAUGAACGCAGAGUUUGGCACGUGAUGAAGAGCCUCGAAGUAUAUUUUUUAAAUAUCCACUUUCAAAUUUUUUUAACUGCAGUUUAGCCCACUUGAAAUAAAAAAAGGACAGAGGUCCUCCGCAUUUUUUACUUGUACACUGAUGGCAUUCAAUACAGUAACACCAUGGUAAAUUCUACUAAGAGCUUUCCCCGAUGGAGAGGGUCUUUUCGUAAAUUCAGCACCGCAUUAAGUUUUGCAAGCGCGACCCCUGUUGGGAUAAGAUGCUGACAGAUAUACCCCCCUUUACGCGAAAAAGUAGAGGGUGCGAAUUCGCACUUACCGAGGACAUUGUAAUAUCAAAUAAUCGACAAAGGGGUGCCUACGAAAUUAGCCUCCGACGACACUGACCGCCGUGCAGGGCGGAGAGAGAGAGACGGGGGAUUCGAGAAGAGAGGCCCAUCUUCUUUACUGGUUGGCUGAGCGUACCCAGAUAGAGAGAGAGUAGAGAGAGAGUAGAGAGAGAGAGAGAGUUGAGUAAAUGAAUCCUGACAUAAUCAUUGGAGGGGGCCAAAGGGGACGGGCUCACAAUAGGAUGCAGCAACAGACCAGAGGAGAGGUGGGGGGGCCAGGAUAGACGAUGGCAGCCAGCUCCAGACGAGCAGGCUGGCCCCUCCUCUCUCUCUCUCUCUCUCUCUUUCUCUCUCUCUCCACUUUCUCUGUCUACUUUCUCUCUCUAGGGCCCUCGCGCCACCAUUGACGAUGGGCCUGCAUGGCCCUCGUGAGGAUAAGGCGGAAUUAUUUACUCCCCCGUCACUGUUCCACCAACUCGACAAACCACGGAAUAGAAAAAAAAGCCUAGAGAGAGAGAGAGAGAGAGAGAGAGAGAAGANNNNNNNNNNNNNNNNNNNNNNNNNNNNNNNNNNNNNNNNNNNNNNNNNNNNNNNNNNNNNNNNNNNNNNNNNNNNNNNNNNNNNNNNNNNNNNNNNNNNCAGUGUCAGACUGGUAACUCUUCCGUUAAGGAAAUCAUCCAUAUCGUAAUACUCUGCUCUUUCUCUCACUGUUUCGGCUGAUUAUAAAUUCACUCUAUGCAGAGCAAGGGUAUCUUCUAUGAAGUGCCCUCCGGAAGAAGGGAUGGAAAAGUCUCUUUGAGCUCGGAGACGUUCGCGAACUUGCCUCCACCCUCCUUUAAUCUCGAUCAGCUUACUCAGAGUUUUGCUAGAAAGGGCCUGACACAGGAGGACUUGGUCACCCUCUCUGGUGCGUACAUAUGUGAUGCCAUCGAUCGUCUAGGCUGCUUCCAUUCAACUUAUAAGUAAACAAUAUAUCAACUACCUACCUAUCGUCACUAAGAGAUGAUAUCCCGUGGUGUUGUAACCAGGUGCACAUUCCAUUGGGAAAGCUGACUGUUCCUCGUUCAGCAACAGGCUCUACAACUUUAACUCAACCGUGCAGACGGACCCGAGCCUGGACCCAGCCUACGCAGCCCAGCUGAAGCAAAAGUGUCCCCCGGGCACCACGGGUUCGAGCGUGCCCAUGGACCCUCCCUCUCCCGAGGUCCUCGAUUCCAGCUACUACAAAGGCGUUAUCGAGAACCGUGGCCUGUUCACCUCUGAUCAGGCGCUCAUGUCCAGUCCGGUAACGGCGAGGCAAGUGAGGGCCAACCGGAACAACAAUUUUCUUUUCAACAAGAAUUUCGCGGCGGCAAUGGUGAAGAUGGGUAAGAUUGACGUCCUCACUGGGACCGCAGGCGAGAUCCGCUUGAACUGUAGGGUCGUCAACAAAUGAUUUUUAUGGGUCAUCAACGUUAUCGCUAUACCUGUCCUGUGUAUCUAAUGGUGUCUCGCUCCAUGGGCAAAGUAUAAAGCUCCUGGAGAAAACCUAUGUGCACGUACUUUGUUCUGUGGCGUUAUACUGAAGUACGCCAUCGUUUGUCAAUUAUUUGUCAAAUAGCAAUAUAUUUGUUGUAAAGGUACUCAUAAUCGGCGCAAAAAAGGAAAGAUUCAAUGUGUCCUCGUACACCAUUCUAGUCACACAUUUCCAAUGGUACUCUUAUAUUUCUUAGAUUUUGAGAGUCGGGAAUACAUACCUAUGACCUUCGGACGAUGGACAUAUAUUCUGGGUUGUGUAAGAAAUUCCGUGAAUUUAGGGUUGAGAUGUGUAGGAAACGGACUUUGCCCUCACAUUAAAACUUUUGUUGAAAUUUGUUUUUCUUGCAGACUAAGAAACUAGACCCUAUAUAAUUUUUAAUGAUCUGAAUAAUAAAUGGUGAACUUAAGGAGAGUUUUGCGGCAAGUCCCAUAUCUGUGGAUUGCUAUUUAGGGAUUAGGAUGCGUGAAUAAAAAUUCCAAAUGAUUAAUUGAAGCUUCCUUUCUUUCGUAAACGAAAUUAUGAUGUUGAUCCCAUUUUGAUAAGGACACACCUGGUUCUUUGUUUCACGUAAAGCAAGUUAAAGAGUGAAGAAAAAUACUGAACAGCGGGAUGGGGAAAAAGGGAGAGGGGGUGGGGCGGCAGCGCAGCCCUACCCGCUGCAUGGAAAAGGUCAUACGUCGUGACAUUCGGACGAAUAUAGACUCGGUAUGUAACUCUUGAUGGAGUAUAAGAAAACGUCGCCUCUCUGUCGAACAAGUCACUAUUCGCUGAACAACGUAGAUGUGUGAGUUCUGAAUCUGAUUUCCCUUUUGGUCUCGUUCGUUUGUUCGUUUGUUUCACGUCUGUGAGAUACGAUGCAACAGUUCCUUAGAAGAUGGGACCUCUGGUUCCCCGGCCAUCAGGAGUACCGUCUUGAGGGGACAAUAGGCCUAAUCCAAAGGCUUAAUAUGUCCAAGCAGUUUGGGCACGUUCCAGGUCCGAUAUAAAAUGGCUGAUCGUAAUAGUAUUAUAUUGUAGUAGUACACGUGGUCGCUGACUCAGCUCUUAUCCACGAACAGCAUAGAUCCCAAUGAAGACUGCGGAUCAACGGGGAACCAAGACAUGGGUUCAGUGGGAUAAAGUAAAUAGAAAAUUAAGUAUGGCAAUAGAGCUUUUUUGGUUGAUUUNNNNNNNNNNNNNNNNNNNNNNNNNNNNNNNNNNNNNNNNNNNNNNNNNNNNNNNNNNNNNNNNNNNNNNNNNNNNNNNNNNNNNNNNNNNNNNNNNNNNAGAGAGAGAGAGAGAGAUUUCUUUAGCAACAUAAAAUAUGAAAAACAGGGUACUAGAAUACCCGAACCUCUUUUUGACUCCCUGUAGAUUGUCUACUUCUUUAAAUCGAAAGGAAGCCAAUAAAUCGAAUAAAUGGAAUCACUUAUUAUCACCUAACCAGACCCAAAAUUUUCUUAACUCACUUCCACUCUUUACAAAUGUUCCCGACCCCUACCGUCAUGCGAAAGCUUCUCCCAUGUAGCAACCUCUUCAAUAGAGGAAGAAGGGAAAGACCAAGGGAGAGACAAAGGGAGGGAGGGAGGGAGGUGGUGACCCUCAGAAUGAAGGUGACAUAAUGACCAUACACUUUCGAACUGUAAUUAGCUGCUCGGUGGCACUAAAAAUAAAAUAUUUGAAAUAUAUUUUCACUGUUCUCUAGUCGCUUUUUGAUCCACUUCAAAUUAUUUUUAUGCCCAUUUUCCAAAAGAGCACAAGCCAUGGAAGUCAACCGUUAAGCGUGGUUGCCCGGAAAAAUCGAGAUAGUUAAAGGGAGAUUAGUCGUGGGACCCCGUCGGCUACAAUUCGGCGGCGGCCGUGAUUUGGGGCAGGUUUUUCCUUCAUGAAUUCGUCAUUCUUGUGCUUUAUGACGUCAUCACCUGAGAUCGCUCAUAUCCGUUGAAGUUUGUGGCCAAUAUUUUUUCACCGGUUGCUGGUAACACCGGCGUUACAUCAACAAUUUUCUGACUUCACUGAUUUAAAUAAUAAAUAGGUCAAUUUCCACGAUCAAUUCUCCAAUUACAUUUGCGGCCAAAAGUCAGAGCCUAAUCAGAGUAUCAAAAUUUUCUUUGGCGUCGGAAGCUCAGCGACCGUGGACGGCGGAGAGGGUGACGUCGUUGACGGUGCAGGUAAGCCCCUUGAUCGACAUCGAGGAGCCCGCGGCACGCACCCUCGCCAGUACAAACUCCGGCUGCUUCGGGUGCGCCAGCGCUGCAGUGUCACCGCCGAGCAUGAGAACUACUGAUGCCAUCUCCGGCCGGUCCUCCGGCCGGUCCUGCACGCAGAGGAGGGCGACCUUUAUGCACUGUUGAACCUCCACCAAGGGGAUGGGGUACCCCAGCAAGGAGUCCACCAGCUCCAGCCCUCUGCCUUCCUUCCAUAAACUCCAUGCCUGCGAAGAGCACCCACCCAUGGUCAGACUAAAAGCUUCUCAUUAAGCUCCUCUAUGGUUGGUCUCUCUCUCUCUCUCUCUCGAUACUUACAUAGCCCAGGAGAUUGAGUUUUUGAUCGGUGUGCAAGAUGCCCCUGUUUCUUCUGCCGCUGACGAUCUCAAGCACGAGGACACCAAAGCUGAAGACGUCGGAUUUCGCUGAAAAUGUCCCCUCCAUGGCAUACUCCGGCGACAUGUACCCGCUGCAGCAAGGAGAUCAGCAGCUUCUAGAUAGGUCGAGCUUUGAAGAUCGAAAAGCAAAGUGAAGGUGAGGAGUCAGAGGAAGGGUGUGAGAGAGAGAGAGAGAGAGAGUGAAUUUGCCUGGGAGAUGAACUGAAGAGAGAAAGAAAGAGGGACAUGGCGCUGACAGAGGUAGUCAGAAAGAGAGACAUAGAAGGUUCGGAUGGACAGGGGAGCAAGACAGAGAGAGGAGACUAACUAGGUUCCGACGAUCCUUCGAGUGAUUCCCUCGGUCUCGUCGCCGGCAAAGAUCCGGGCCAUGCCGAAGUCAGAGAUCUUAGGGUUCAUGCCGUCAUCGAGGAGGACGUUGCCGGCCUUGAGAUCCCUGUGGAUGAUCCGGAAGCGGGAGUCCUGGUGAAGAUAGAGCAGCCCGCGAGCAAUCCCCCCUAUUAUCCGCCACCUCGUCGUCCAAUCCAACAGCGCUGCCUUGGUUUCGUCUGCCAGGAUAUAGAACUCCUUUAGACAGAGAGAGAGAGAGAGAGAGAGAGAGAGAGAGAGAGAGAGAGACGAGAGAGAGAGAGAGAGAGAGAGAGAGAGAGAGAGAGAGAGAGAGAGAGAGAGAGAGAGAGAGAGAGAGAGAGAGAGAGAGAGAGAGAGAGAGAGAGAGAGAGAGAGAGAGNNNNNNNNNNNNNNNNNNNNNNNNNNNNNNNNNNNNNNNNNNNNNNNNNNNNNNNNNNNNNNNNNNNNNNNNNNNNNNNNNNNNNNNNNNNNNNNNNNNNUCUCUCUCUCUCUCUCUCUCUCUCUCUCCCUCUCUCUCUCUCUCACUCACUUCCUUGAGUCCUCUUCCCCAUUAGUGACAAGGGGUUAAGAAUUUCAAGUAUUGAGAGCUUUGAUCUCCUCUCUCUUUGCUUCUUCUCACCCCCUUUCAGCCACCAAGCUCUUCUCAUCUUGAAGUGACACAAGGUGGGGAGAACUAAUUGGCCAUAAAGGAGAUUUACUUUCAAGCAAUUUACAUUUCAACAUUUAAGUUCAGUUUAUGUCUUUCUUUUUAUGCUUCAAUUUCUUUUAUAGAAUAAUCACAAAUAUCUCUCUUGAAGUCUUCUUAAACAUUUAUUGAAUAUCCACUUAUAUUUUAUUGUAAUUCGAUGUUUGAUUUCUCGCUUCCUUGUGGAUUGACUUGGACUCACCCUAUAUUCAUUUCCUUUGAAUUAAAGUCCAAUAUAUAAAUGUUAUUUGAUUAACCAUUAAUCCUAACGACAAUUUUUGGUUCAUCAAAUUGGCGCCGUUGCCGGGGAAGCUUUCGUCAAACAUCAAUUUUUUUUUAGAAAGUUUUUCUUAUUAUAUCUUUACUGACUUUUAGUCAAGCCAAGCACUCCAAGGAAUUUGCACAAAGGGUAAGUCUAAACUUGAAUUCAUUUUAUGCUUGGUAGAAGAUCAUUGCAUCCUAGCUUAACUUCAUUAGAAGCCACUCCCACCAUUUCCAAAUCUUCUAAAAUGGCUGAAAAUUCUGAAGAAAAAUCACUAAGAGAUUAUUUCAAUCCUACUAAUAGUUUAGAUCUCUUUCAAAAUCCUACUUGCACUCAUGAUAUUAUUCCAGGCAUUUUUCAAAUUCUCCCUCAUUUUUAUGGAAAGAUAAAUGAAAAUACUUAUGAUCACUUGUAAGAAUUUUUAAAGAUAUGUGCUACAAUUCGUAAUUGUGAUGACUCUUUGAAAAUCACUUUAUUUCCUUUUUCUUUGAAAGUUGAAGCCUCUCAUUGGAUAUCUACUUUGAAUUUACAAACCAUUACUUGGCCCAAAUUAGUGCAAGAAUUUUUAACUAAGUUUUACCCUAGAGGAAAAACAAAUAUGAUGCGCAAAAUGAUCAUGAGUUUUUUGCAUAAUGCAUGGACUAGAUUUAAAAAUACACUUAGAAAAUGCCCACAUCAUGGUGUUCCUAAAUGGUAGCUUAUUCAAAUUUUUUAUGAAGGGCUUAAUUAUCAACACAAACAAAUGAUUGAUGCAUCUUGUGGGGGGUCUUAUGCUAACAAGAGGGAAGAUCAUGUAUAUAAUCUCUUAGAAGAACUUAGUGAAAAUUCUUAUAAUUAUGCUUCUUCUGAUUAUGAUUGCACUAACCCUCCUCUCAAGAAAGAUGGAGUUUAUGAACUUGUUAAACAUGCAGAUAAGGAGCUUUGCAAUGAGGUGACAGAGAUUCACAAGAAGCUAGAGAAGCUUCUCUCUAUACAAGGUACAUCUAGUUCUAACCCCUCACCUCCUAAGGCUUUCAUAUGCUCCAUUUGUUUUAAUAAUGAUCAUGAUGAGAAUAGGUGUCCUGCUUUUCUAGAGGUAGUAAAUAAUGAGCAUGUAAAUGCAUUUAACCAAUCUCCCUUAGGAAAUUCAUGGAGAACCAAUCAAGUAUCUCAAGGAUAUCAAAAACAACCCUCUUCGAAUUUCCAAUCUCAAAACAAUUUUCAAAGACCUCAAGGUUUUCAAAACCCUCCCCAAUUUCAAAAUCCUCAAGGUUUUCAAAACACUCAAGGUCUUCAAAAUCAUAACUCUCCACCUAUUCUCCCUUACCCACCAAGGAAUGCCUAUCAAGCAAACCCUAACCAACCACACCUAAAUAGGCAACCAAUAGGAGGACCUCAACCACCACAACCGCCUCCCAUCACCCAACUAGAAGACACGGUUAGGGUCCUUAAAGAGUAAAUGGGACAACAUCAACAAGCCUUAAACCUCCUUAUGUCUCAAAAUCAACAACUUCUCCAACUUCUCCAAGGAAACCUAGCCCAAUCUAAUGAGUCCAACCCUAGGGGCCAACUUCCUAGCCAAACUAUCCCUAACCUUNNNNNNNNNNNNNNNNNNNNNNNNNNNNNNNNNNNNNNNNNNNNNNNNNNNNNNNNNNNNNNNNNNNNNNNNNNNNNNNNNNNNNNNNNNNNNNNNNNNNGAGAGAGAGAGAGAUAACUUCUGAAAAUUAUAUAUUAAUGUGUUACUAAAUCAAGGAGAAUAAUACAUAUUUGAGAAUUAUUUCACAAGUUAUCAUGUUAAUUAUUUGACUUGUCAUUUUGAUAAACCUCCUUAAAUCUUAAUUUAAAUUGAUAUUUUAUAAAUAAAAAAUAUUGAUGAAAAUUUAUUUCAUAUGUUGAAGUUUUAUUUUCAUUUAGUUUAUUUUUAAAUGAAAUAUUAUUGUGUUAAAUUUUUAUGAUUAACUAAAAUAUAUUUUCUACAAUUUUUCCAAAUUUUUAGGUAUUAAAAUAAAUAUCAAUUUAAAAUAUAAAUAGACAAAAUGGGUGUACUAUUAGUAGGCUAGAGGCACACCGCCUAAUAGGCCUGCAUGGGCUAGAGGCCACACUACGCUUGGUAGCAAGCCUAAGGGGCACACCGCCUAACAAGCCAAAUGCAGGCUGGAGGCCACAUUGUGCCUGAUAGCAGGCCUAAGAGGCACACCGCCUCUUGACCCGUGUAAACCAGGUCGUGGAUUUGGAUUAUGGUUUGGGCCGAAUAGAUCACCUCCAAUGCCUACUAGGAGCUGGGUUUCAAUCAAAAUCAUCCUUGGGAGCUUGUAGUCAAGUUCGGUCAACCCUUUAGGAAGUGCAUACAUUUAUUGAGGCAUAUUGAUAAAUAUAUAGAACUUUAUAUUUCUGUAACUUCAGAUAUGGGACUAAAUGGCUCUUCUUGUCAUUUUCAGAUUCAAUGAUAGAGCGGUAGCUGCAGCAAAGAUUCGAUGCACUAGAAGUGGCCACGUUACCGCCCACCAUUGCACAAAAAAAGUAGUGCCAAAUCUAAUGGCAGCUGCCAUCAGAUCGGAUGCACUAGAAGCGACCACGUCACCCCCCACCAUUGCACAAAAAGUAGCACCAAAUCUAAUGGCAGCCGCCAUUAGAUCGGACGCACCAAAGGAGGCCAUGUCCCCAUCCACCAACACGUGGUAGGGUGCCCACACAGAUCUCGAUAAAGCAUGUGAAAAAGUAGUGAGAGCUCUAAUAGAUCUGACGACGAUUAAGAGGCCAUGUCAUUCUCUUCAAAACAAAAUUAUGGUGCAAGAAUCCAAUGGUCUUCAUUGAGCCACCCGAUUGAGGACAUGUUGACAAAUGUUAGUUAUUAUUUGGUAAAAUAGACAUUUUUCAAUAUUGAUUAUUCUCUCACACAAGAUAAGGGUAUAUUUGUAAUUAUUGAUUAUCAUUUGGUAAAAUAGACAAUAUCGGUUAUUGCCACAUAAGAAAAAGGGAAAAUGUUAGAAAAAUCAGAGAAAAAUCAGAAAAAUAUGAGAGAAAAUAGGAAGUUAAAAUGGAAAACACGAUUUGUAGUUCUGGAGAAAAACAAAGGAGGAAGAGGAAAGAGAAAGAGAUACUUUUCGAGUUGUUUUUGAGUUGUUCUUGAGAGGAAACAAUUGUUUUUCUUUUUCAUGUAAAAAUAGAUUUCUAAAGAAUGCAUCAUUGAUUUUUGAUCGUUCUCUUAUACCCUUCUCACCUUAAAUCCAUUCCGUUGAACUAGAUGCAAGAUUGGGAAGUGCUACUCAGAGGUUGACAUCAAGUCAUACAUUCCAAGGGUUCUAAGUUUGAUUUUUAAUAAAGUUUUCAUUAUUUGCUUGUUUGAUCUAUGAAAUAAAUUUAUUUUCUUAACUUUAAUCAUUUUUUUACUUGUUUCUUUUCUAUUUUCAUCAUUCUAAAGUAUAUUUCAUUUUAGUAGAAUUUUCAAUUCACAUUUACAUUUAUUUACCAUUUUAUUUCCUUCAUUACUUUGAAUAUCAAAUUCAUAAUCCAUUAAAUAAGAUAAUAAAAGAUUUCUAAAAAGCUCUCCAUGAGGAGAUGACCUAGCUCACCAUUAUAUUCAUUUAAUAUUAUUUUUGGUGAAUUUAGUUUUAAAAAUUAUUAAAAUUGAAUGAUAAUUUUAAUAAUGACUUAGAGUCACAUUAGAGAGAGAGAGAGAGAGAGAGAGAGAGAGAGAGAGAGAGAGAGAGAGAGAGAGAGAGAGAGAGAGAGAGAGAGNNNNNNNNNNNNNNNNNNNNNNNNNNNNNNNNNNNNNNNNNNNNNNNNNNNNNNNNNNNNNNNNNNNNNNNNNNNNNNNNNNNNNNNNNNNNNNNNNNNNCUCUCUCUCUCUCUCUCUCUCUCUCUCUAUAUAUAUAUAUAUAUAUAUAUAUAUAUAUAUCACUAGGCUGAACAUUACUUAAGGCAGAUUUCCUCGUCUAGGAAAAAGGAACUAGGAAAAACCAGGUACGUGGGGUGAGGAGAGCUAAUUUUCAGGAAAAAUCCGACCGUUGAUCUCAUUUCGAUUGCAAAUGGCUUUUGAUUCUUUUGGCAUGAACUUUGACGGGUGGAAAAGGAGGGAAUGAAAUGCCAUCUAACAACUGGACUAUUUAUAAUGUGUUGGCUAGAAUCCUGUAGAGUCAGGUCAACAACAAGCUUACUCGAAAAAAUAGUGCUCGUAAAUCAGAGAUUGCAAGAACAUAUGCUUUUGUUGGGAACAUCACUUUUAAGAGUAUUUCUUGUAACCAUCGAAGGAUUCUAGGAAGAAGAAUUCACUUGUUGCAGGGGCAUACUGACAGCUGCCGCAUGUACCAACCCCUGUAAUGAAUUAAGGUAGCUUCAUGAACACUGAAACAAGCAAUGUUGGCAACGGUGGUUUACAAGCACGUCCUUAUUAUGCCCAGGAUGACUGUCAAAAGGGGAACCUUCAAAGAAGUGGAGAGGAAGAAAAAUAGGGAAGAAUGAGCACAAAAAUAUUGUCAAUUGCUUCAUUUAUUGGCUAAUGAACCCGGUUGUUCAUUUAUUUCCCAAUUUAGCAGGCCCAUGUCAAUUGGGCAUUGUCAAGGGCUAAAUAUUCAGAUUCUUUAGAGCGCAAAGAAUGACACAGUAGUAUGAUAUGAUUAGACGGUUCAAAUUAAUCAGCCACACCCUUUUGAGUCCCAGUUACAGUCAGCAUAACUACUGGCUCUUACCACUUCUGGCCAAGCACUACCUGCAACUUUUUCUUAUCGCAGCUGCCUGUUUUGGUGUAUCCAGAGAUCGGCCUGGGUUUGACUGGCUUUGGGACGCUCUUCUCAUUUCUGGGCAUCAUCUUCUUCUUCGACAAGGGUCUCCUCGCCAUGGGAAAUGUAAGUGAAGCUUCCAUGAACUGGAAAGACCGAGGAUCUCUUCCUUCCUGAAGCUGUUUUGACUUUGAUCCUUCCUUCUCAGAUCCUCUUUGUGUCGGGGGUGAUGUUGACCAUCGGAUUGAAGUCAACCGUACAGUUCUUCACCAAACGCAAGAACUACAAGGUUUGACCGCGCGUUCACUGAGAGAAUCCCCACAAGCCCCUUUUCCCUGGCCGCCUUAUGACUCACACCUGGGCCAAAUUUUGCUAAUUUUAUCAGGGUACGAUCUCAUUUAGCAUUGGGUUCUUUCUAGUCCUGAUCGGAUGGCCCGUUUGUGGGAUGAUCUUGGAGGCGUACGGCUUCAUCGUUCUCUUCAGGUAUGUCGGCUUCUUCUUUCUUCCCUCUCAUCAAGCUGGGCCAGUGGGCCCCAUGAAGCAUGGGCUGGGCCACAGCGAAGCCCGGCCCGAAAAAGUCUCCUGUAGGAAUCACAGUAGAAUCACAUGUGGCCCACACAAAAACAUGGGAAAGUUGGGUUCAUGCCGGGCCAAAUGUGAAGCCCGGCCCGGAAAAUAUCCUCUGGAAAUGAUCCUGGGAUCUCAUGGGCCCACCGAAAAACCUAGAAAGCCUCUUCUGGAGAUGACCCGGGAAUCAGAUGGCUUCUUCUCGUGGGCAUCCCUCUUGCGUUGACCUCCAUCUGCUCUCUGAUUCUUCAAGGUGUUAGUUCACUAACUGGCGGCAAUUUGGUUGUCUGGCAGCGGGUUCUGGCCGACCCUGGCGGUGUUCCUCCAGAGGAUCCCCAUCCUCGGAUGGCUCUUUCAGCAACCCUUUGUGACGGCGGUAAGUCAGCCUGCCACAAAAGUCAACUUACUACGAUAAGUCAACCCAUUAUGAAUCUCUCUAUGAUGUUUGACCUCGGCCCCUCCAUCUCUGACUUCAGUUCUUGGAUCGUUACCGGGGGAAGCGGGUCCCAGUGUGAGGCUGCCUCUGUAAGAUAUCGAGAACCCGCCUCUCUCCCCUGUCCUCUCUCUCUCUCUCUCUCUCUCUCUCUCUCUCNNNNNNNNNNNNNNNNNNNNNNNNNNNNNNNNNNNNNNNNNNNNNNNNNNNNNNNNNNNNNNNNNNNNNNNNNNNNNNNNNNNNNNNNNNNNNNNNNNNNACGAGAGAGAGGAGGUCGUCACUCAGAAGAAGGAGAGAGAGAGAGAGAGAGAGAGAGAGAGAGAUUCUUGGGUCUGACGGACAAUGGAUACGCAUAAAUAUCAGACCGAGUCAGUCUUCGGAGUCUGGUGGUGGGAGGACGAGGUAGUCGCCGCGGGGGGAACGUGGCCGGAUUUCCGGCCGGGGAGAGACGUACCCGGCGAGGAGAUGGGAAUGGGCUGGGCGUGACCACGGGCAUGGGAUAUUCGCCCCGGGAUUCCGGGCCUUGGAGCCCUCGCCAACGACCUCCUCCCUCCUCCAAGGAGCGGCUGAGUGCGACGGGCGGCGACGGCCGGGCGCAGGGGAGAAUAUUCAACGCAAGCGGGGGGAAUAUCCGCUUCCCUUCCGCGUCUCUCAUUCGACCGCCCGCCCGCGGGAAUUAUCUAUGGAUCUAUCUGUCCAUCGCCUGGCCAACCCCGAGCGGGUUGGCUGUCCCCCGCCGUCUCUCACUCGACCACGUUGGCCCUCAGGUUGACGUGUGCCGGCCGGCUGGAAGCUCCGCGGCAACGCUCCCCGACGGACGAGCCGUGGCCAUAAUCUUCCAGGCGUCAGAUAUCCACGCUCAACGAAUCCGCGGCCCCGUCGCGGUCCAAGAUUUUCUCUCCGAGUCGCACAUCUUUUUCCGCCGACCGCGAGCGCUUCCUCCUCCCUCACAGAGGCCCCACUCCGGCGCGCACCGUGUGUGCUGUAAGGAAGCAUGCCGCUCUCAGAGACCCCAAAGUCUAGGGUUCGCCGAUCAUGAUCGAUCGUCGAUCCGAUCAGCCAUAAUCGCUGAUCGUGAUCGUUGAUCGUCGUGAUCGACGAUCUCACCGAUCGUGACCGGGUGAUCGUCAGAAAUAAUAUUAUAUUAUACUAGUCCUUGAUAUUAUAUAUAAAUAAAUGCACAAUAAAUAUAUCGAUUACUUAUAUAGGUAAAUAAGAUAUAAAUAAGCGUACAAAUAUCUAAAAGUAUAUAAAUAUAAAUAUAUCGUACCAGAUAAACAUAGGCGUAGUAUAUAUUGUUAUAAUAUGCCUAAAUGUUAUAUAUGACUAUGCAUAUGAUAUAUAUUAUACGUAAGUAUUACAUAUAAAAUAUAUAAAUUUAUAAACUACGUAAUAUGAUGAAUAACGCAUAUUUGUAGUAAACACGUAAAAAGAGUAAAAAGAGAGUAAGAGAGGGAGGGGCCGUGGUAGCUGACUUGGCAAUGGAAGUGAUGUUGGUGGCGACAAAGUCAUGGGGAGGAGAGAGAGGCUGCAGUGGUGAAGCUUUUAGACAAAAAGAGAGAGGAGGCGAUUGGAAGGGGGGUGGGACUCGGAGUUGAGAGAGAGAAAGAGGGAGAUUUAAUCUUUCUCUCUUAAGUUAAAUCACAACUGUUGGAUGAUGGAAAGUCAUCAUGAUCCAAUCGAUGGUUAAUUGUAAGAUCAUGAUCCACCCAUAGAUCGAUGAUUGAUCAAGGCCCUAGAUCAUGAUCGUAAUUGUCACCAUUUUCACCGAUUAUGAUAGACGAUGAUCAUGAUUGUCAAUUUGAUGAUCGAUCGAUCAUUGAUUGAUGUACCCUAGAGAUCGAUCAAUUUGAUCGAUCGAUCGAUGAAAAGUCAUCAUUUAAUGGAUGGUCAAUCGUAGGAUCAUGAUCCACUAGUUGAUCGAUGAUCGAUUGAGGGCCCAUAUCGUGAUCGUGAUCUUCACCACUUUUCACUAAUUGUGAUUAACGAUCAAUCGAUUAUGAUCGAUAUACCCCCACCCCAAACAGUAGCCAAACCACUGCACGUCGAGAGCAGCCCACCAAGAGGCUUUGGUUCCACAGAGAGGAAGUGGAGCAGAUGAGGGUUUUUGAGACUCAACCGACCAUCUGCGGUCCUCCACCGAAGGUCGACCUUCCUCCCCGGCUUGCAAAAGUUGCGUUGAGCUCAGAGCCCCCCACACCUCCCCCCCGGGCCCCAGAGAGAGAGAGAGAGAGAGAGAGAGGACGGUCGUUGGUUCGUGGUGGUCGGUCGACGGUCGGUCGGUCGGGACGACGNNNNNNNNNNNNNNNNNNNNNNNNNNNNNNNNNNNNNNNNNNNNNNNNNNNNNNNNNNNNNNNNNNNNNNNNNNNNNNNNNNNNNNNNNNNNNNNNNNNNGAGAGAGAGAGAGAGAGAGAGAGAGAGAGAGAGAGAGAGAGAGAGAGAGAGAGAGAGAGAGAGAGAGAGAGAGAGAGAGAGAGAGAGAGAGAGAGAGAGAGAGAGAGAGAGAGAGAGAGAGAGAGACAGAGAGAGACAGAGAGACAGAGAGAGAGAGUGUGAGAGAGAUUCCUGGUUGCUAAACGAAGCCGGUGCCGUCUGUUUUAUAGCACAGAAGCAGUGGAGGGAGGAGUGGAGAUGGACGAGACCCUCUGCGGUUUCCCCGUGAAGGGAGAGGAGAUGCCCGGCGAGCGCCAGCUGACGCCGGCCGCACGUGUCCCUCGACGAGAAGGGGGCGAGGCGCCGCCGGCGGAAGUGGGGCCCACAACCACGCCCGGCUUUCCCGCGCAGCAGAAUCAGCCCGAAGCGGAUUAAUGUCUCUGUGGGUCCCCGUGUUUAGACCGUUGCAACUUGCCUAAACGACGCCAUAUGCUGAGUUGGAAGAUAUUUACUAGCCCCAUACUUAUCUUCAACUCUAAUUUUUUUUUCUGCUUACACUUUUUCUUUACGGAAAUUAAUUUAAAACCCAUUAAUCUCUACAAUGUCUACACCUAUGUUUCUUCUUCUUAUUGUGGUCUCAGCCAUUAAUUGAGAAUAUGAAAAUGCGUUUAUAGUGGUCAUGCUAUUAAAAAUAUCCCAUUUUUACUAAAAAUAAUCCUCACUUCUGAUGAAAGUUCUUGAUCCUGUAGACUAGAUUAGAUGUAAGAAUCUUCUAGACUAAUUUUCUUAACUUUGCAUUAAUGUAGGACCCAUUAUUGUUAAGCAUCAAUUGAAGGGCCAUAUGACUCCACAAAGAAAAAAAUAGAAUAACAUGAUAAAAUCUUUGGAUUAAUCUGUUUACUUUGAUAAACCCAAGUCAUUUUGAGAAAUAAAGAAGUAGAUAAAUGAUGUGGCAUUAUUCCUAUGACAAUAUCAUCCAACAAAGAUCCUUAACAUGAUGAACUAGCACAAGAAAGUGGAAACUUGCACUUUUUCGAGUCGACACGAAGAGUAUUAUGGGUUGUGAUCAUUCACUAUCACUAAAUAAACAGCUUGAGGGCAGCCAAAAGCAUGUUUGGAAAUGUGAUCAAAGGAUUAGUCGAGAAUCAGGAUGGCAAACACCCUUGCUUGAAUGUGCUAAAAUGGUACAUGGUAUGAUGCCUAAGCAGAUAAAGAUGAAUAAGAAUCAUAAUUUUUUUUUUGUGUCAAUGUGAUAGGAAGACUUACAAUGGGUCAUAGUUACAACUGGCACCAUUUCUAGUGGUAUGAUUUCUUCAACUUUCAUCAAGGAAAAUCUAAAAGAAAUAAAAGCUUGCGAUUCCUGAAGGGGUUAAUUAAUUUCUUGUCUUAGAAAAAGUUAGUGGACACUUGGUACAGUGCCAUUAGAUAGGACUAUAUAAAAUUAGAGGCUUGGGAUUAUUACCAUAUAGUGAUGCAUCACAAAUCCCAAAGACGUUUUAUGAAAUGGAUCUACCAAAGAUAUGAUAAACUACUCAAAUGGGAAGCAAUGAUAUGGUGGAUGCCCAAUGGAAGAAAUAACAGUAGAAAGUCUAUAAAGAUACUUAAAUGGAUAGAGCUAACAAAUGUAGGCCCAUGUGACUUUUUAUUUCAAUGGGUCAACUUGUAGUAAAAAAAUCAACUUUAAUUACGAAUAUUUGAAAAAAAUGGUUCAACUUUCUACUUUUCUCACAAUAUAUCUACAUAUAUCCGUGUGUUAUGAAAAUCAUAGAGUAAACCAUGGCAUGAUAAAUGGUCAUCAUUAGGACGUUGGUAUUUUCACAGGACUACAGAUAAACCUACCCCACUUUUUGUAAACCUCCUUGAAAAAGAGACAAGUUGUGUAAAGUAUCACAAUUUGUCGUGAUAAUCAUACAGUCUAACAACAAGGAACAAAAUUGGUGUUAUUGGUUAAAAAAAAAGAAAAGGAAAGCCAAUUCCGAGCUUCUGUGCUUGGACUUUUGAUGCCUUGACUAGCUUGGAUCCCCUCAAAGACUCUUAAGUUUACCCUCUCUCUCUCUCUCNNNNNNNNNNNNNNNNNNNNNNNNNNNNNNNNNNNNNNNNNNNNNNNNNNNNNNNNNNNNNNNNNNNNNNNNNNNNNNNNNNNNNNNNNNNNNNNNNNNNUCUCUCUCUCUCUCUCUCUCUCUCUCUCCUCUCUCUCUCUCUCUCUGUGUCUCUCUGUAUAUAUAUAUAGAUGUAUGUGGAAAAAGCAAAUGGGUGAACGGCACCAUGGAGUAUAAACCAGGAAAAAGGACGAAGAGGGAGGAGAAUAUCUUAAUUCUCUCACUUCCCUAUCUCUAUUUUCCAUCUCCCGGCAGCCCCUCUCAACCUGGCUCCCCCACCCUCCCCCACAGUCACGAACGCCUCCUGCUUUCUGUGCCAUGCCCACCGCCCCCCGCCCAAUACUCCAUCGCAUUCUCUACAUCCCCCUCCUCCUCCCUUAUUCCCCCUCCCCCCCUCCUCUGUCUCUGUCUCUCUCUCUCUCUAUCUCCGCCCUGAAUCCAUUCAUCCGACGUCGGAGCUGAAGGUUGUCGACCCGCAGAGUUUCCCGACUGGGUCUGUAUUUUUCGAGGAUUCACAGCGACGAGGAGCUCCGUUCGGGGGAGGAUUCCCAGAAUUUCUACAUGGAGGGCAGAGGUCUGCGAUGCCUGCCCCUCCUCCUUCUGCUUGCUGUACCCUUGAACCUCCCGUAGUUCUGCCCUCUUCGCCCUUUCUCUCUCUACUGUUAGUUUCCGUCAACCGGAGCCGUUUUGGGUCCUCUCGAAAGGGCCUCGAUGCUCUCCCCUACGAGGGUUUGGAUCUUGCGGCAGCUACACCGGCAGUCUGAAUUAUGCAGAUUUUCUCUCUCUAGAACAGCUGAAUCCGCUUCUUGGACCCCCAGCCCUUCUUCCGGUGAAACCGGCGAAGGAGCAUGAACAGCGAAGAUAUCUUCCUGAAGAAGAGAGUACGAAGAAAGGGGGGGAGAACCAGAGCCUUCUCCCCGUCUUCAACAUUGCUGACUUCUGCAUCUAUUGGCCUCCCUUUCUAAUCAGGAAGCGGUGGAUAUCUUGGGUUUUCUGUAUUUUAUGUUCGUGUUUAGAAAUAUUUUCAUAAUUUCCUUGGCUCAUGGUUGACCCAGAGAUUCCCAUAAAUUUGAGUCAACGAGGGCAGAUCUUUUCAUUUAUUUCAGCUCCAAUUAGUCAACGGCUUUAAUGCCUUCUUCUUCUUCUCCUUCUUCACGAGGAUUUCAGCGCCGGAAUGAUUUCGGUAGAAAAAGGCCGAAGAUUUUCAGCUCCACGAGGAUGAACAGAUGCAAUGUGGAGCCCUCCGAGGCCACGUCGGAGGUCUGCAGCCAGGUGGCCUCCAACCGCUCGAACCAGGAGGAGGCGACGGCCACCUCCCCGGGGAAGCUCUCACUGGACCUCUCCCUCUCCAGUACCGGCGAGAGCUUCACCGGAGCUCCUCCCCGCAGCGGCGGCGCCCCCGCCGCCAUGGCCCCCAGAGUCUUCUCCUGCAACUACUGCCGCCGCAAGUUCUUCAGCUCGCAGGCACUGGGGGGCCACCAGAACGCCCACAAGAGGGAGAGAACCAUGGCGAAGAGGGGCCUGCAACUGAGCUCCUUCCCCUCUUGCCCCAGCCUGGCUUCCCUCCCCCUCCAUGGCUCCUCUCAGGUGAUGGCUAUGGAGAUCAAAGCUCACGCCUUGCCGCACCGCGAGGGGCGCCGUGGCCGGGCGCCGAUGCUCUUGGAGGAGAAGGGAGAUGGGUUCUUCUUUGCCCGGAGCUUCCCCGGCGCCGGAAUCCCCCCCAGCUCGCCGGCGCCGGCGCCGGCGGAGGAGCUCGACCUCACCCUGAGACUGUGAACAAGUCUCCAUUCACUGUCCAUUGGUUUCGGAUCGGAUAGCUCGAUACCGUUCUCAAGUCAUCGUGAUCUGUGUGCGCUUUACUUAUGGAUUUGACCACGAUGGUUGACUUUAAGCAGGUGGGGGCGCUGACUUGGAUGUUGGUGUUCUUGGGGGAGGAGGAGGGGGAUGGACACCUCUCGUUCUGGAAUUGGAUGACUCAGAUCUUAUGGCCACAUAUCUGGAAUUUGAGAAUGAGCCAGGUUUGACUCUGAGCAGGUUGGUUGGGUUGACUUUGGCACAAUGUGCAGAUGCUAUGUCUUAGAGGGAGAGAGAGAGAGAGANNNNNNNNNNNNNNNNNNNNNNNNNNNNNNNNNNNNNNNNNNNNNNNNNNNNNNNNNNNNNNNNNNNNNNNNNNNNNNNNNNNNNNNNNNNNNNNNNNNNCGUCUCUCUCUCUCUCUCUCUCUCUCUCUCAUCUAUCUAUUUAUCUGUCUCUCUCCCUGGGCAUUGGAAUGGAGAACCUGCAGCACCACCACCGUCCACAGCCGGGCCUCCCCGGCGUGCUGAUGAAACGGCUGACAGGCGCACCCCUCCGUCUCUCUCUCAUCACCCCGCUCUCUCUCCUCCUCCUCGUCGUCUUCCUCCUCCGUCUGGUGUACCCCCCCCGCGAGCCCCAUCCUCCCCCUCCCUCCGCUCAUACCUCUCUUCGUCCGCUGCUCAUCCGAUCUUCCUCAGCUGACUUCUCAACGAGGAGAUGCAGCGACGGAAGGGGAGGCGCCGAGGAAGAGGAAACCGGAGCUGGACAGCUCCCGGAUCGCGGUCUGCCUCGUCGGCGGGGCCAGGCGGUUCGAGCUCACCGGGCCGUCCAUCGUGAAGAACAUCCUGGAGGAGUAUCCCAACGCCGACCUGUUCCUCCAUAGUCCGCUCGACAGGAACGCCUUCAAGUUCUCCAUUCUCAAGGAAUCCCCGCGGGUCGCCGCCGUCCGCAUCUUCGUCCCCGAGCACAUCAACGAGACCGAGCAACAGGCCAGGGUCCUCACGUCCAACGGCUCUCCCAAUGGGAUCCAGGUACGCGGCCCUCCCCUGUAGAUAGAGAGAGAGAGAGAGAGAGAGCAGCUUGCUGGUUAAGCUCAUCUGAUUGCUUUCGCAUGGCCGUGGAAUUUUGGCAGGGUCUUCUCCAGUAUUUCAGCCUCGUGGAGGGGUGCCUAGGGAUGAUCAGGGCUCACCAGACCCACAGCAACUUCACCUACGACUGGAUCGUCCGCACCCGCGUGGACGGCUACUGGUCGGCGCCGCUUGAUCCUGCUGUCUUCGUCCCCGGGGCUUACCUCGUCCCACCGGGCUCCCAGUACGGCGGCCUCAACGACCGGUUCGGCGCUGGCGACCAGCGCACCUCCCCGGCGGCUCUCUCCCGACUCUCCCUCAUCCCCCGCCUUGACGCCGCCGGCCGCCGCGGCCUCAACUCGGAGUCCGCCUUCAAGGCCCAGCUGGAAGAGUCCCAUGUCCGGUACGGGGAGCAUCCUCUUCCCUUCUGCGUGCUAAGCGACCGCCGGUACGGAUUCCCGCCGGUAGGGAAUGGCGUGCCGGUGGCGUCUAUGGGGAGCCGCGGGCCGCUCAGUGGCGCCAAGUGCCGCCCCUGCAGGCCGGCCUGCGUGGGUCUGUGCAUGGAAAGGGUGGGGAAGGCCUUGACCAGGGAGUGGAGCUGGACGGAGUGGAGAAACGGGAGCCUGGAGCUGUGCGAUGCCAGAGAGGGGUGGGAGGAUGGCUGGGAGAGCAUAUUCGACCGCGCCGCCGGGAGGGAGGCGGCAACGGCGAGGAGGCGGAUAGCUUCUCUCGACAUGGCCACCUGCGUCGAGGACCUUGAGGAGUUGAAGCGGAAGUCGGCCAGCUGGGACGCGCCGCCGCCAGCCGAGAUCUGUCAGAAAAAGUCAUCUUGACACGUUGAACUGUCCAAUUUUGGUCAAAAUUUUACACGAGGUUUCUUGAGCUGCAGUGGAGACGGACCUAACAACAUCAUAGACAAGACUUAGACGACUGUUUCCCAAUCUUGACUUCGAACGUUUUAUAAACAAGCGGUCAAUCGGAAGAUGAGAGACGUUCCUCCAGUCUGUGGCCUCGUGCAUGGUCUGUCCAAGACGAAAUCAACCUUCGCAGCUUCUGGGAAGCUGGGCCAAGUCGGACGAGCAUGAACGGCGAUGGUCAACGCCUUCUCACUCAGACCAGUGGCGAUAGAAGAGAUUUCGCAUCUCUCUCUAACGACAGUUCUAACUGGGGAGUGAUGUUCACCAAGCUUAGGUUGAAUCUCGGUGCCGGCAUCUUGGCCGUGACUGAGGUUCGUAGUCGUCACUGGGGACGUGAACGCACACUGCAUGCAAUAACGGCCCCAGUCAUCAGAUCAGAGUUUCUCUCUGAGUAACUGUGUGUGUGUGUGUGUGUGUGUGUGUGUGUGUGUGUGUGAGAGAGAGAGAGAGAGAGAGAGAANNNNNNNNNNNNNNNNNNNNNNNNNNNNNNNNNNNNNNNNNNNNNNNNNNNNNNNNNNNNNNNNNNNNNNNNNNNNNNNNNNNNNNNNNNNNNNNNNNNNCACACACACACACACACACACACACACACACACACACACACACACACACACACACACACACACACACACACACACACACACACACACACACACACACACACACACACACACACACACACACACACACAUCUGUAGUCUCACUUCGGGAUCUCAUGCAGAGAGCCAAGACCUACACUUUAUUGACAGGCUGUCGGUGGGUGGGAGGAAGAGGCGAAACAUGCGGCUCUCUCUCUCUCUCUCUCUCUCUCUCUGUGGUUUCGUUCCGUCGAGAGGAAGGAUGCGGAGAUGACGUUACGGUCUGUUGUGAGCCUUCUGGGUUGGCGGAGGGGGAGCGGCCGCCACCUGCGUCUCCGCCGCUGCCGUCUUUGGCGACCCGCUCCGGUACCUGUAGGCCCGUGCCAAGAUCAAGAACAGCCCAAGGUUGACUGCCCCGCCGACCGCCAGGGUCCAGUAGACCCUGUCGAGCCUGGAUGCGUUAAUGUUGUCCGGAAGCCAGUCCGUCGCCCGCCGCACCAGGUCAACCAGGGCGGUACUGAGGUAGAACCCCAGGGCGAUGAUCAGUGCCAUCAUCCCCGUGGCGGUGCCCCGCAAAGCCGGAGGAAACUCCUGGUAGUAGAGCGCCACCUGCCCGGGGAAGUGGAGGGCCUCCGCCACUCCGACGAGUACCAGCGGCGGCAGCAGCCAGAGGACGGACACCGGAACGGUGGCGCCGCCAGGGUUGUCGGCGAGGCGGUGGCUUCUCACGGCGCUCAUCCGCAUCCUCUCCACCAGGGCCGACGCCGCCAUGGCGGCGAUGUUGAUGGCGUGGCCGAGCCCGACGCGGCGGAGCAGCGAUUCCUCGCGGCCGGUCAACCAGCGCCAUGCGGGGAAGAUGAAGCGGUCCAGAAGACACAGAGUGACCGCGGAGGCGGCGAAGGAAGCGACGAUGAGGGAGCCGGCGGGGACGGAGAAGUGGGGGCCGAGGCGGCGGUCGACGGUCAACGCCUGGAGGAUGGUAAGGGUGGCCUGGAUGCCGAUAGAGACGCUGAGGAAGAUGCCGGUGGACCAGAGCGGGAGGAUCCUCACGAUGGCCUUCAGGUCCUCCACCUCCUGCACCGUGCACAGCCGCCAUGGCUUCGCCAGAGAGCCGUCCUCGUUGGUGUCCCCUCUCGUCAGUACCGCCGCCUUGUUUAGCCACCUGUCGUCAAGUCAAAGCCCACAAAUAAAAAAGUACACUUUCAUCUCUUUCCGACCCAUCGAUCUAAAAAGUCAAAACCUUUUUGACCUUGUAAUUCAAUGAUAUUUAAUGGUUAAGUACCUCAAGCUCGGCGAUGGAGGCUGAUGAGAUUGGGGCGCCGGCCUGUCUUGCCCGUAGAAGAGUUCCUCGCCCUCCGGCGAGGUCGGCAGCCUCCACUUCCUCACGGCGGCGACCGCCACGCGGGCCAAGCCGGUGAAGGGGCUCCCCGCCGGCUUGGGCCGCCGGUAAUGGCGCACGCCGAGGAGCAAGACGGCCGUGGCGGCGGCGCUGGCGGCGGCGCAGAUGCCGAAGCCCCAGCCCCAGCUGACGCUAUCCUGCACGUAGACGAUCACGGUGGCUCCCAACACGAAGGAGACAUACUGCGCUACGAAGUACCAGUUGAAGAACACGUUCUGAUCGGUGGUGCUGUCGAACUGGUCGGCCCCCAUGGUGGCGGUGGUGAACCUCGUGCCGCCGGAGACCACGCAGAUCAGGGCCACCGCCGCGUAGAGCGCGGCGAGCUGGGCGGGGUUGGCGGCCCGACAGGCGUCGGACCCCGUGGCGCACGGCGCCGGCCGCAGUGAGCUUAUGGUGGAGGUCAACGUGAAGAGAGUCGUGCCCUGAAAGCAGAGAUAAUGCAUUAGGAGUUUCUGAAGCCAACCAAUCUCUUCAGUCCGUGAUCAACUUUGAAGGAGUCCAUGAGAAGGAAGGGAGGAAGAAAAUGGGUUACCAGCAUGGAGACGGCGGUGGAGACGGCGAGGAUGGGGAAGCAGCCGAAGAAGGAGUCGGAGAUAACAGCCCCGAGGACGGGGGCGAGACUNNNNNNNNNNNNNNNNNNNNNNNNNNNNNNNNNNNNNNNNNNNNNNNNNNNNNNNNNNNNNNNNNNNNNNNNNNNNNNNNNNNNNNNNNNNNNNNNNNNNGCUUUUUUCUUGGGGUAAAAAAGUUGAAAAUGGGGAGAAUUCGGAGAAUUCGGGUAAUUACCCAUUUCCAUCGAGGUAUCCAGAAGACCCCCUACAAAAGGCCACAGUUCCUUCCCUCGCGCAUCAGCGCGCGUAGCUACUGAUCCGGCCACUGGAUCAUCGUAUCUUCAUUCAUGCGUAAAUCGAUAUCUAAAAGCAUCUACGCCCUGAGGCAGAUAAGCCCUAAAAGUUUGAUCCUUCGUAUCAGCAGUGAUUAAAGCGCAGAAGGCGUUUUCUGAUCAUUGGUAUGAAGAUAUGAUCAUCUCCCUUGUAUGAAACCGGUGUCAAUUCCGCAACAAUCAGUAACAUAGCGAAGGCCGAUCGAAACAUCAGGUUUCCGGAUGCUUUUGGAAUUGACUGGGCCCUCUACUGUUCUGCAGACGACAAUCCAUUGCAUUCAUUCUUAGUCAAAUGCUGAAGGCCAAAAUUCGACAGUUGGUCCACCCGAGUACUCCCUCCAGUCGGAAAAUGUACUCUGUCUAAUCAUUAUCCCGGCAUCGAUCCCUUUCGCCGUCCGUCUAAUCAUCGUCCUCCGUACGACGUUUGGUCGGCGCUUCUCGCGAACGCUACCGCCAUAUCUUGGAUCUCCGACAGUCCCGGGUGAGUCACCGACCCCCCAUCUCACCUUGUUGGGCCGUUGGGAUCAUUCAGAGAUCAAUGCUUGAAGCCCAGCCCGCUCCACCCCCGAGGUUUCUAAUACUUUAGGGUUGACGGACUAAAAGUUUCAGCAGACGAGAGGCCGUCAGGGCUCCGGUUCCAUGGGGUGGGAGGCCCGUCGGUGAUGGAGAACGGGGACGAGUGGCUCGCACUUGACAAGAUCCAGCACUUCGUCGCGUGUCUCCUCAUCACCGCCUGCGUGUCGGGCGUCUUGAGCCGGUCCCGGUAUCGCUUCCUGAGACGAUGGUCAACGCCGCUGGGCUGCGUUUCGGCCCUCGUCGCGGGGAUCGCCAAGGAGGCCGGGGACGAGCUCGGGUUCUGGGAAUCCGCCGGAGCCUCGCUCAAGGACGGCGUCGCGGACGUCCUCGGGAUAUUCGUCGCGGCGGUCUUCCUUUCCUUCUCGAGGAAGCCCUCUCCGUCGCCGGCGGAGAAGGUGGAUCGCGAUCGAGACCGAUCAAUGGUCUGAUUCGCCGUUCAUCGUCGGACUGGACUUUCUCCUACCAAUUUUGACCGCCGUGGCGAAUAUGAUCGAUCAACCCUGGAGAGGGGCGUUUGACUUGUGGUCGAUCUGGGUCUCCGAAAGACAUUCUCUCCCUGCCCGAAGAUUCUCUCUCUCUCUCUUCCUGUCUCUUACACACACAAAGACUCUUUCUCUCUCCCUCCCUCUCUCUUACACGCACAAAGACUCUCUCUCUCUCUCCCUCCCUCUCUCUUACACACAGACUCUCUCUCUCUCUCUCUCACUCACACACACACAAUCACUCAAACGCACACACUCACACAGACAAUUAGAAGUCGUGGACGAGCUUCCGGAACCUGGUCAUGUGGUCGGACUGGAGGGAGAUGGCGAGUGUGAGGCAGCCAUCCCCCGUGGCGCUCGGGAUCAAGUAGGCCAGCCCUUCGAAGAAGAUGCCACCGGGGCCCAUGAACACCGGCCUGCCCCAACCGAAGUCCGCGUCGUGGAUCGGCAGGCGCACCCAGCUGGCGACUGAGAGGUUGGGGCACCGGAAAGUUCGGGCGCCGCGCAUCAGCUUGGACAGGUCCGGCUGGAGCUCCAGGUAGUCCAGCGCCGAACGGAGGUAGUCGUCGUCCAUCCGCAUCAGCGCCUCGCGGAUCCUCCCCGCGACGCUUGUCACUGGGCCCUGCAGGAGCUCUCCCGCCGUCGCCAUUGGAGUCGUCGUGAAGAUGGCGUUCCCAAAGUAUCCCGGCGGGAGGCUGGGUUUCAGGCGGGGGCGGCAGUUCAUGGCAAUGUACAGCAUGGUCUGCUGAUCGGCCUCCAGGCCCCGCGCCUUGCAGACUCUCCGCCAUAUGUGCGCUGACAGGAGCUCGUACGAGCUGUACNNNNNNNNNNNNNNNNNNNNNNNNNNNNNNNNNNNNNNNNNNNNNNNNNNNNNNNNNNNNNNNNNNNNNNNNNNNNNNNNNNNNNNNNNNNNNNNNNNNNAUAUAUAUAUAUAUAUAUAUAUAUAUAUAUAUAUAUAUAUAUAUCUAUCAUCUAUUAAUAGGGCUUCUCUAGAAACCCACCUUCACCACCACUACCUCUCUAAAGACAAAUAAUGUUGUUGCCAACCUCGCUGCCAUUGCCUCUUUCUCCUCCUACUCUUAGAGACAAACAAUGUUACUGCUAACCUCACCGCUGUUGCCUCUCUCUCCCACUCUCUCCAUCUCUCACUCUCUCUUGUAUCAGCAAGCUUUGUUUGAUUUCUCAUUUAGUUUUUCUUGCAAUGUGUCCAUGUUUUGUUAGUGGUGAUUGUUAAUAUAUAUACACAUGUUUUGAACCUAUAUAACUUAGGCCCACUAUUAUAUUAUCAUUACUUUAAAUGAAUAUUUAUGUAAUGUAUAAGUUAGAUAAAAAGUUCAAUGUAAUAAUUUUUUUUAUUGUAUCGUAGUAAGUUUAAAUUAAUAAAGAUAAAUUUUUUGGCUCAUAUAUUUAUAUUACUAUCUUAUGAAAUAUAAUUUAUGUGUAUCGUAAUAAACUUGUUAGGCCUAAUAUUGAAAUAUAUGUUAAACAUAUGUAUCUAUAGUAGGAUAUAUAUUAUUCAUAUAUUACAUACAUAUUCUGUAUAUUUAUAUCAAGAACUUUGACCUAACAUAUAGAUUUAUAUCAUGUGAUGUCUGUAUAAUAAUAUAUAUAUUUAUAUGUAAUAUAGAUAUCUAUUUGAUAUACAUAUUAUAUUUUUUUCAUUUAACAUAGGCCUAAUAUGUAUAAAUGUAUAUUAUGACUAAGUAUAUAUAGUAGUAUAUAUUUGUAUAUAUUUCCUAUAUUUUAUAUAUAAUACUUAUAAUUAUAUUUAUUUAAUACAUAUAUUUGUAUAUAUAAUACUUCAAUAUAAUAUAAUAUAAUAUAAUAAAUCGACGAUCACUCAAUCAUGAUCGAUCGACGAACAGCAAUUUUGGCUGAUCAGAUCGACGAUCGAUCAUGAUCGCAAGAGUCUUGCUGCUGCAGCAGAGUGUCAAAAUGCUAUUUGCCUGUCUCUUAUUAAUUCAAAAUCUAGGGGUUCAGAAUGCUAUUUUCCGAUAAAACAAGGGCUUUUUUGCAAGAUGUAAAUAGCGCUUAUCGCUUCAGCUCGCGUCGCUGCCUGUAGCAAUCACAAAGGGGGACGAAGCCCUGUUCAUUAAAGCCUGCGUGUGCGAUCCAAAGAGGAAAACCACAGGCCCACGCGUUGACUUUGAGGCCGCUAUAACCAGUCAAACGGUUGACUGGAGAGCCGAUCAGGCCGCCCAGGCCGCCCACUAAACAUCCAGUUGAGAGAAUUACUGUACAAGCGGUUAGUCAACCUUCUGCCAAUGUACUUACAGGGAUAUUUACACUGCUAGCUAGCGACGUACUGGGAAGAAUGCACAUGAAGUCUGUGGGGCCAUCGUCGGUCUUGAAGUCGAGCUCAGCCCCAGCCCAUUAGCAUGUUGAGGACCCCCUCCUGGAUCAUAUUCAGAGUGGCGGGAUUCCUGUGGCCGUCGUCGAGGAGGACCCUGUAGACCUCCCACUCCCUAUCUCCGAUCAUGUGCCUUCCGAUCUCCGCCUGAGAAACGCGGUAGCUGGGUUUAAGUUGGGCUUCUCCGAGAUAAUGGAAAAAAAUGAGUAGAAGGAUUUUUUUUAUUUUUUAUUUUUACCGAGAAGAUGCAGGCGUUGAGCAGUUUAAGAGCGAGGGUGAUGUCGUAGAAGACGAGGGGUCGGCCCCUCCCCGAGAGCUCAACUGGGUUGGCGACUAGAAUCUCUGUCUCGGGUCCACGACUGAGAACGGCGACCCGGAGGGGGCGGAAGAGCUCCAUCCUCAAGCGGGAGCAUAAGGCCUUCUGCUUGUUUGGGUCGAGGAUCUUCUUCCCAUCCGCUUGCAUCACGAAGAGGUCAAAUUCGCAGCUUUUGCACUGGUUCGCGUAAAAUCGUCCAUAUGAUAUCUGCCAGGAAAAAAAACCCAUGCAUGUCACAUUGUCAAGAGAGAGAGAGAGAGAGAGAGAGAGAGAGAGAGAGAGAGAGAGACNNNNNNNNNNNNNNNNNNNNNNNNNNNNNNNNNNNNNNNNNNNNNNNNNNNNNNNNNNNNNNNNNNNNNNNNNNNNNNNNNNNNNNNNNNNNNNNNNNNNGAGAGAGAGAGAGUGCGGCAGUUUCGGCUUAACAAGGUAGGUAAAGGCACUUGAGAGAGAGAGAGAUCAAGUGGACCUGAGAAGGGAAUAUCGAUUGUAUUGAAGAGAUUCGUUAGACGUCCGACAGCCAUAGUCCGCUCUAUGUUGUCCGGCCCGGCCCGACCGUCCUUACCCGGUCCUAGGGAUCAGCGGUCACGACCGGUGACCGGUGCGGUCAGGGUCGUCGGACUGGUGACCGGUCGUGACCGGAGUCUCUCUCCUCUCUCUGUGAGAGAGAGUGAGGGGCUCGGGCCGGGCCUCUCCCUCUCUCCCGCUCCUCUCCGCCUCGCGCUCGUCCAGGUUAUGCUCGCCCUCUCUCUCUCUCUCUCUCUCUCUUCGCCCUCUCCCGCUCAUUUCCCCCCCUCAUCCUCCCUCUCUCAUUGGCCUUUUCCCUAUUCUCCCACUCAUUUAAAUGUUAAAAUUUUAGUGAUUAUUUUAGAUAGUUUAAAUUAUUUAUGUUUCACAUAGUUAUAUAAAUGCAUGACCCACAUCUUUUUUUCAUUUGAUUUCAUCACGAUGAACAUUCAAGAUGACAUCUAAUUACAAAUAUCUCAUUUACUUAUUUAUAUAAUAUAUAUUCUACUUUAUUUAUAUCAUUUAUAAUUAAUGAAUUAUAAAUUUUAAAAAUUAGUAAGUACUAUCAUUUUGUUAUUUUUAGAUAACUUUAAUUAACCAAAUAAUAUAUAAAUAGCUUUAAUUUUAAAAGUAAUAUAAUAAUUUAUAAGUCAUAGGUCAGAGCCCUUGAUUGAACCAUGAUCAUGACUAGUCUUUGACUGUGAUGAUUGAUCCCUACAACAUACACACACAAUCUCUCUCUUUCUUAUAACAAUGCCAAAAAGUCCACGGCUGGAGAUGGAGCGGCAUAAAUCAAGUACUAAAAAUACUACCUUUUACAGCAAAAUCAUGUAAAUAGUGAUCAGAAUACCAAAAUAAUACAGAUUCUUCGGCAUGUCAGAAGAUCACAACGAAUUAAUUCCCUGAAGAAACCGCUCGGAAUCCCAUCGCUCAUGAAUCUGAAAGAAUCACAUGUAACACAUAAAUAAAUAAAUAAAUAAAUAUUGUUACUGUGGUAAAAAAGUCAAAGCAUUGGGGCUAAUAAUGGGAAAAGAAUUGGCACACCAUCAUUGUCGUUGUCGUCCUCCGGCCGCAGGGUGGGAACGUCGUCUGCAGGAGUGUGUUGACUCAAGAACAGCUGGAUCACCACCCAGUAUCUGUCGCCACCAGAGAGCCAAGUGUCCAUGUGCCUGCCGGCCGGAAAGUCAACGAAUGUGCACCGGCGACCCCUUCUGGUAGCCUCGGCGUGGAGCAUUUGCAUGUGGGAAGGAGGAACCAGCUCAUCUUGCAGCCCGGAGAUGAAUAGAAUCGGCGGCUCAAUCUGCAGCCCGGGUUUUGGAGCAAAAAUUUCUAAUCAAACAAGGUUCCAAGAUGGAUCAUUGGGGUACAUCCAAGUUCAGCUAAAGUCAACCCUGUUCUUCUAAGCAAUCCAGCAUUCUCCUGCCCGAGGGAAUUGUCAUGCACAGUGAAAUGGAGGAGUAUACGAUUUGACCAAUUGAAUCAUGGUAGAAGAUGUUUUAUUGCAAUUAAAACGUCUAUAAUUUAACCAGUUUUACCGACCAGAUGUAUGAUAGUCAACGCCCCAAUGCAGAAAGAUGAGCAUGCAUCUUACUUGUCCGAUGAUGUCAAUGGUUCUCCAGGGCGACCUCACAAAAUAAUUCAGAACUCUAAGCCCCUUUGAUCCGGAGCCUCCAAUGAACCACUUCAGGAAAGGCAGCACGACUGCAGCCAUGUCUGGAACAGAGGUGAAUGUGUUCUCCAGUAUCAGUGCCGAAACCUACAAGUGGGGCCAUUAUUCAACAUACUUUUAAGGCGUUUGGCUGCAUCAAGCGAGAGAGAGAGAGAGAGAGAGAGAGAGAGAGAGAGAGAGAGAGAGAGAGAGAGAGAGAGAGAGAGAGAGAGAGAGAGAGAGAGAGAGAGAGAGAGAGAGAGAGAGAGAGANNNNNNNNNNNNNNNNNNNNNNNNNNNNNNNNNNNNNNNNNNNNNNNNNNNNNNNNNNNNNNNNNNNNNNNNNNNNNNNNNNNNNNNNNNNNNNNNNNNNAGAGAGAGAGAGAGAGAGAGAGAGAGAGAGUGAAGUGGUUUUGGGAGGGAAUCCGCAGAAUUACGAUAGUUUUUCGCAUACCCCUUUGGGAUCCACUCUCCUCCGUCAAUCUAAGACACUUGUCGUCCAUGUCUACUUAACUUACUCGAUUAAUCCCGCGUUCUUCGUGGUCAGAACCUGUCGAAUCUCGUUCCCCAGGAACAAUGAAGCCAAUAAUUUCUCUCUCGCAACCUGAACAAGCCAUUAUAAGACCUCCAUUAUUAAAGCCGGUUAUUACGACGAGACUGUGGACGUCUAAAGUGGUGGCUUGCCGAAACACAAACAGUGUUAAGAAGGGAAAGGAGCAAGAAGGUUUCAUAGUCCACUUUCACCUUAUCAUUUACUUGAAUCCAUGAAAUAGAAUGGAAAAAAUUAUCUAAAAGGAUCUAAUGUCUGCAACAAUUUCUUUUCAUUCGUUUAUCGUGUCGGUUACUAUUUGCAGCUACGCUUACACAAUACCAAGCCAACCAAGUUAAGAAUAUCAGACUUGAAUACGAAGAACUUCCGAGGACGUUAUUAUUCUCACUAUGUGUCGAACCAAGCCAGUGUACACUGAAUACUGAAAAAAACACAUCAACGCCAAAGGAGCAGCCCUCCUCUCCAGCGACUAUCGGAAAGGUUGUCAUACACUAAGUUACUCAUAGCUUUGAAAUCUGAAGGAUGUUCAGGGAUAGCGUCCAUGAUUAGAUCCAACGGUAAGUCCUCACGAAAGCUAAGAUGCAUGUGUUCGUCUCGUAAAUGUGAUUUGACCGCACGGUCUCAUAAAGGUCAUAUCAUUCAACUUUCGCUGGGUCUGCAACUUGUGCUUCAACAAUAUUCCCCAACUUCUCUGCUAUCGUCUAGCGUUCUGUAAACCAGCUCUUGUCAGCUAAUCUCUUUCAGCAUCAACGGUCGCACACAUUUGACCGUCGGUUGCUUGGAUUAGCAAGACCGCAUUUUAUAACAGCAUUGAUCUCAACUGUACAUCUUCGCGAAUCAUGUAGAAUCAAAUAGAGCAACAGCUCCUAGCAAGAAGGCUUCUUUCGCUAUCUACCGCCGACGGUAUUUUCUUCCAUCUAUUUAUUCGGGUACAGCUUGGACAUCAACUUCUGAUUCAGUGAGCAUCUAUCUCAACAAGACUAUACCUUCUUUCUCAUAAAGGGGAGUUGAUUAAGAAGGUCUAAACCAAAUUCACGGUUUGAAGGAAGCAAGUUCUAAUUAUAUCUCACUCCUUUGAGGAGAAUCAGACCGUGUGUGCGUGAUUGAGCGAGCAAGUGAGUGAGUGAGUGCGUUGGAGAUAGACACAGAGAGAGAGAGAGAGAGAGAGAUAAGGUAGGGUAAAAGAACAGGGAACAAGUGAAUAGGCAAGAAGGGACCAGAAGACCUGGGAUGGACAAGGCGAAAACAACAGCAGCAGAAUGGAAGACGGGGGUACUUCAUGUUCGCUCAUUGCUUGUCCUUGAAUUACUUCCAAGAGUUCCAAGUAACCAAAGGCUUGAAACACCCAUUGGCGUUAUGCAGCUAAAUAUAUGGAUAGAUGUACAGAAAUAGAUAAAAAGGCAUAUAUAUCCAUAUUAUAUUAAAUGAAAAGAGGGGAGAAUAGAGUCUAAACUGGCAUUGAUAUAUCAGCACACGUCCGUAGAAGGAUUAAAGAUGGUUGAGGGAGGAAAGGCGGGUGAGGAGCGCAUGAGUGAGAGAGAGAGCUCUAAUCGACCCCUUUAGGGAGGACAGAAUAACAGGAGUUUGGGGAGGGCCCCUUCUCUAUAAUCGAGGAUGGCAUCUAAAGAUUGACGGUGCUAGCGUGAUUGACGCAGAAAGGGAAGAUAGCUACCACUAGGAACCUGAGGGGUCUGAUAGGAGCGUUGUUGUUCCGGGCAGUGGGGGCAUGGUGAGUGUCACCUUCUCUAUGAUAC